GGACCUGAGUUCGCUGCCAAAUACAAGACCCUCAUCUACCUUGCUGGUUCUGCUUCCGCUGAGGUCAUUGCCGAUGUUGCACUUUGCCCUUUUGAAGCUGUUAAGGUCCGUGUUCAGACACAGCCUGGGUUCGCUAGAGGAAUGUCCGAUGGGUUUCCUAAGUUUGUCAAGUCCGAAGGAUACGGAGGGUGAGUUUCUGGACACAAAUAACGUUCUCUCCCUUGUUAUUGCUCUAGCCAUUUGUGUCUGCUACAUUUUUUUAUUAUUUUCGCAGCUUGUAUAAGGGUCUUGCUCCACUCUGGGGACGUCAGAUUCCUUGUAAGUUUUGUCCUCUAUUUUGAAACCUUUUGCACAGUUUAUGUUUUCUUUGUAGUUGGUCAUGAAACAUAAUACAUGAUUCGUUACAGACACAAUGAUGAAGUUUGCUUCGUUUGAGACCAUUGUUGAGAUGAUCUACAAGUACGCAAUCCCCAACCCAAAACACGAGUGCAGCAAAGGUCUGCAACUCGGGGUGAGUUUUGCCGGAGGUUAUGUUGCUGGAGUGUUCUGUGCAAUUGUCUCUCACCCCGCAGAUAAUCUUGUUUCGUUCCUAAACAAUGCUAAGGGAGCAACCGUUGGAGAUGUAAGUUAACAUGUUGACAACUGUUUAUUCGUUUGUACUAUAUAGGAUUAGUAUUUGAUUCUUUUGAUGUGAUGAAAUGUUGUUGCAGGCGGUGAAGAAGAUUGGAAUGGUGGGACUGUUUACCAGAGGGCUUCCUCUAAGAAUUGUGAUGAUAGGGACAUUGACUGGAGCACAAUGGGGUUUAUAUGAUGCUUUCAAAGUGUUUGUUGGCCUGUAAGAUCUUCUCUCUCAUUACUUCCUUUCUUCCUUCCCUCAAUACCUUCUUCAAAAGUGAAGAGUGCAGAAACUCAUUUAUUUAUGUUUUAUCUGAUUCAGGCCAACCACCGGUGGUGUUACUCCAGCCCCUGUCAUCGCAGCAGCUGAAGCCUAAGACUAAAUGAUGAUGAUUGAAAAAAAAACUUAGGAUUUUUGUUUGAAAGAAUAAAGAGAAACGUAUGGCAAUGAGGAAGAGUAAAGCUCAUCCUCUGGAUUCCAACUUGAUUCAUUUUUUUUGGAAAUUUGUGUUCUUCAAUUGACGAUAGUGCUCUCUCUUUUCACAAUACUAUCUCCCUAUUUUUGUUUGUGUGAUGUAAUCUUAAAAGAUGAGCGGUACACACGCUAAGAUAGAGAGUGUGGGCACACCCACUUACUACUUUUGUUCUUUUUCAUUUGGAAAAAUCUCUUUUGGUAGCUUUCCCCAAUUUACAGCUUUACUAUUGCCGUCAAAAGUUACUGCAGUUAGGCCAGGGACGGAUCGGGUAUCCGGACAAUUUUAAGAUAUCCGGAUCCUUAUCCGGCGGAUCCAUAAUUUUACUAUUUUUAUCCGGAUCCGGGGUUCGUGGAUAUCCGGGUGUCGGAUAUCUUUCUAAAAAUUAGGGGUGUUCAAUCUGGUAAAACCGAACCAAUUAAAACUGAACCGAACCGAAAUAGAAAAAAUGAUUUGGAUUUGGUAGUACCGAAUAUACCGAAUGGAUGUCAUUUUUAAGAAACCGUGGUAUAAGGAUAUGGUUUGGUAUAUAAACCGAUCAAACCGAAUAAACCGAUCAAUUAAAAUAUAAAGUAUAAGUAUAUGUAAGUUAUAUAAUAUAAUUAAUAAUAUAUACCUAAUUUAUUUUAUUGGUAUGAUUUUCCUACUUAAAUGUUUAUUUUAGUUAUUUAAUAUUUUAUUUUAAGUUCAAAUUUUUUUUAUCAAAUUAAAAAAAACAUAUUUUUUUACUUUUUUGUUUAAUAGUAUUAUGGAUUACUGAUAUUUCUUACUUUUAUUUCAUAAAACUAUUACUGUUAUUAAAUAAAUAUGUUUACUGAUUAUUUAAAUAGUAAAAUAAAAAAUAGAUUAUUUAAAAACCAAAAUAUCGCCAUGUUAUAAUUAAAUUUAAAGCCGAUAUCUAAUAAGAUGGACCAAAGCGUAACAAUGUGAUCGAUCGAUGGAUAUAUGUUCAAAAACGCAUCGAUCGAUCGAGUAUAUCAAGUGUUCCUCGGAAUUUCCUCGGAAUAUACCGACAGAAUUCUGAGGAAAACAAAUUUUGGGUUUCCUCGGAAUAUCCUCGGAAAUUCCGAGGAUUUCAUUUUCCGUCGGAAUGUCCGUCAGAAUACCGCUGUUUUCUUGUAGUGUUGUGUCUCCACCCUAUUCACAUCUUCUCCUUAUCACUUUCUUCAGUUCUCGAAGUCAAAAGGUCUCUGCCUACAAUCUGCUCCAACGCCUCGCCUCUGCCUGCAAUCCAAUUUUCAUCUCGGUCGUCCUCCCUUUUAAUCGUGUUCGCUGUUAUAGGGUUCGGCGGUUGGGUUUUGCGUUACAGUUUCGGCGGCGGUAGUAACACAGCCAACCUCUCCAACUUCACCAACUCAAUUCUUAUCAGAUCUUUGACAGUCUCGUAAGUUUUCGGUGUUUCUCCGUCGAUUCUGGUUACUAAAAUUUCUUCUCAGAUCUUUAUAGCGGUGAUGCGAAAUAAGUAGUGUAGUAAUUUAGGGGAAGAUGUGUGGAAUAUCAAUUCUUAGAAAUGCUCAGUCGGUACACAUAGUAUGAUAUUUUGAAUCCUGUUUCCAAUUGAAAUGUAAUAGUAUACUUAUCUCAUACAAUUAUUCCACUGAGGAUAGUAUCACUUGCUAUUAUGUUUUGCUUUGCUGCAAUUUGUGGUCGGUUGUGGUUCCCUCUCUGAUGUUCUUAUUCUAAGUUAUGAUUGAAUUGGGGGGGGGAGAUGUUUCAUCGUAUGUCCGUAUCAGUAUAUCUCGUUGUUAUAUGUCAUUUUAAGUGGAAUAGUAUGAGGUUCGUAUUAUUCCAUUUUACAUGGAAUCGUACUUUUACAUCAUAUGCCUUUCCAUUCAUUAGCCAUUCUUAUUCUGUUUGACUCAUAAUUCAUUUUUAUAUUGAAUAUUACAGUGUGAACCGUCCUCACUCUUUGCCUCUCUUACUUUUCAUUCUUCAGGUUUGGUAUGGACGAGUUAGACCAUCCAAGUAGAUUGUUUGAGACAGACUUUGAACCUACCGGCAAAAAAAAAAGGUUAACACCUAUUUCCAGUAUUAUGGCCGGUGGAUUUAAUUUCACAAAGACUUGGGUUGCCAAUGUAUUGGGGUUUAUAUUUACUUAACUUGGGUUUAGUGUUUACUGUCAAGUGUUCUAUUACAUCCAAUUUUUAUCUCGGUCGUCCUCCCUUUUAAUCGUGUUCGCCGUUAGGGUUCGGCGGUUGGGUUUUGCGUAACGGUUUCGGCGGCGGAUAGUAACCCAGCCGACCUCUCCAACUUCACCAACUUGAUUCUUCUGAGCUCUUUGACAGUCUUGUAAGUUUGAAGUGUUCUUCCGUCGAUUCUGGUUACUAAACUUCUUCUCUGCUUAUCUGAUUUUAUUUUGGGAUCCUCUAUGAUGUUCUGCUUGGGGGGGGAGGUUUGUCUCUGCAGUGCAUAGUUCAUGGUGUAGAAAUAUCAAUUAUUUUGUGGAAUAGCAUCUGCAAUACAUAGAUGUUUCAUCGUAUGUCCGUAUCAGUAUAUCUCGUUGUUAUAUGUCAUUUUAAGUGGAAUAGUAUGAGGUUCGUAUUAUUCCAUUUUACAUGGAAUCGUACUUUUACAUCAUAUGCCUUUCCAUUCAUUAGCCAUUCUUAUUCUGUUUGACUCAUAAUUCAUUUUUAUAUUGAAUAUUACAGUGUGAACCGUCCUCACUCUUUGUCUCUCUUACUUUUCAUUUUUCAGGUUUGGUAUGGACGAGUUAGACCAUCCAAGUAUAUUGUUUGAGACAGGCUUUGAACCUACUGGAAAAAGAGGGUUAACAACUAUUUCCAGUAUUAUGGAAGGUGGAUUUAAUUUUCCAAAGAUUUGGGUUGCCUAUUUAUUGGGGUUUAUAUUUCCUUAACUUGAGUUUAGUGUUUACUGUCAAGUGUUCUAUUACCAUCUCCAUUAGCUUUGUAUUUCAUGUGGCUAAUGAGGAAUGUAAAUACAUGUCUCUAGUAUUAUAGCAGGUGGAUUUAGUUUUCUGAAGAUUUGGGUUGCGGAUUGGGAUUUAUAUUUCCCUAACUUGGGUUUAGUGUUUAAUGGUCAAGUGUUCUACUACCAGCUCUAUUAGCUUUGUAUUUCAUGUUGCUCAUGAGGAAUGUAAAUACAUGUCUCCAGUAUUAUGGCAGGUGGAUUUAAUUUCCUGGAGAUUUGGGUUGCCUAUGGAUUGGAUUUAUAUUUCCUUAACUUGGGUUUAGUGUUUACUAUCAGGUGUUCUUUUACCAUCUCCAUUAGCUUUGUAUUUCAUGUGGCUCAUGAGGAUUGUAAAUAUAUGUCUCCAGUUUUAUGGCAGGUGGAUUUAAUUUCCUGGAGAUUUGGGUUGCCUAUGGAUUGGAUUUAUAUUUCCUUAACUUGGGUUUAGUGUUUACUGUUAAGUGUUCUAUUACCAUUCCUAUUAGCUUUGUAUUUCAUGUUGCUCAAUCUUGGCUCUAGUAUGCACAUAGUAUCAUUUUAAAUAGUACAUUGUAUAUAGUAUAGAAGUCUUCUCGUAAUGGACGGUGCAAAUGUGUACGUAACCCUAUAAUACACAUUUAUAAUCAUUAACCUACACCACUUGUUUAAAUUUACACAGUAAAAAUAUCUUGGUAAAUCGACUUCAGUAUGUGGCAUCCUCCUACUCUUUCAUUAGGAGUAGCUGUCACCAACUAUCCGACCUUCAUAUUUUCCUAAUUUGUGUUUAGUGUUUAGUGUUUAGUGUCAAGUGUUAUUCUACCAAUUCCCCAUUAGAUUUUGUAAAUCAAUCAUGGAUGUAUGCAACUAGUAUAUAAAUAACAUUGUAUAUUUUAUAUGGAAUAGCAGUUCUCAGAUAAAUUACAUAGUGUAUUCUAUAUGGAAUAGACCUUCUCACGUAAUACACGUCAUAAACGUUAAUUCACCUUAUAAAGGAUAUAUAUUAUCAGAAGUUAAUAUUGGCAUCAUUUCAUUUAACGAAAAUAGAAGGUCGCAAGGUUUUCCGUACAACAAACACAAUAUGCCCACAUUCCAUUAAAUUUGGGUUAUGCUAUAUAUUUUUCUGUGUGGUUUAUUGAAAGUUUACAUUUCCAUACUAUUUGGCUUUUAGUUUAUAUCUGUGUGGUUGAUAAAUUUAUUUCUGGAAUAUUUGGCUUGCUUUGGGUAAAACAUUAUGUACUUUCCUUGCAUCAUGUGCCUUUUUAACUGUAGCAAAAUUAUGAAGACCAUAUUUCACUUGGAACUACAUUUAUAAUAUUACUAUUCCACAUACGGUAUAGUAAGGAAACUCAUACAAUCAGUAUAAAAUAUACUUGUCAUCAUCUUCAGUUCGUCGUUAGGUUAGAAUUGUUUCUGGCACACUUACAACUGUUAUCCACUCCUCUCGAUUCAUACCUUUACAUUAUAUGUGUUGAAUACAGCUGCACAACGCGAUCCGUAUGUUAUUUUAUUGUUACGAUGCCACACAAAAAUGCCACGUCGUUUACUUUAUAAUAUAGAACCGAUAACCUGUUACUUGAAAGGGUAUAACCAGAUGGAAUGAAGCACAAAAAUCUGACAAUGAAUUAUGUCAAAAUCAUAGCUACUUACUUAAUUUAUCACCAAAUAUGGCCAUUUGGCCAAUACGCCCAUAAAAAAAUGAACGACCGUUUCCAAUACACUGAUCUAAAAUAAAUCGUCUUGGGGUCAUAUCAACAAAAAUAUUACCAAGUAAAGACCAUCACAUCUUCUUACAUUUCAAGUACGAUUGGACCAUUAAAUAUUUGUUUCAAUUUUACUAUAAGUAAAUUAAGAUUUCGAAAGAAAAACAAAUACUGGAAACUAAUAUACGAUAGAAAAUUGGGUUUUGUGAUUUCUCUAUAAAAUCUGUAAUUUUCUUGUAGAAAAUCUUGAGUACCAGAUGACAUUCUCAUCUUGAGAAAUCUUAAAUAUUUCGUCAUCCCUUUUCAGCUUAUAUCAUUCUCAUCCUAUUUGCGUCAUUUAUUUAUGCUAUUUUAUAUCUUAUUUCAACAAUAUUAAUUAGAAAUCUACGAAUGGUACAACCUGUUUGCUGAGCUGGUGCCUACGUUAGUUCGUGGACUUCACGUUGCCGACCAAAUCUAAGCUCCAUUUGUUUUCCUUGCAUGUUCCAAGCCCUUCUAAUAAUAUUAUUUCUGAAGUUAUAUAUCAGAUCUUCGUGGCCACGAGUGGACUUUAGUAUUAAGUAUUAACCAAUUUUGGUUUUCUACUUUCUAAAUAACUAUUAGUUUUUCUUGUUUUCUAUAUCGAAGUUUUCUAUAUCGAAGUUUUCUGCUAUACUUGAAAAUAAAGAAAAGAGUCUAUAAGCCUCUCGGGCCCGACAAUCGAGGAGCCGACAGUUAUCAUCUUUCUCGACGCCGGCGAGGCCUCUGGCCGCUGGCGUCGGGUCCUCUGCUCUGCCUCCNNNNNNNNNNNNNNNNNNNNNNNNNNNNNNNNNNNNNNNNNNNNNNNNNNNNNNNNNNNNNNNNNNNNNNNNNNNNNNNNNNNNNNNNNNNNNNNNNNNNUAAAUCUUUUUCUGUGAUUAAAUUAUUUGGGAUUUUUUUUUAAUAAAAAAAAUAAUUUAUCUAUUUCUGUAUUUAUUAAAUAUAUUUUUUUAAUUUACAGGUCUCAUGAUGAUCAGACCCGGCCUCGACAGCGUCGUGGUCGUGGUGGUACGGGGAGCCAGUCUCGGGAUUCCAGCCAUUUUCAGGAUUCCCCUUCGCCCCACAGCUCCAACCAUACAUCUCCCUCUGCUGCACCCGCUCAUGCUCCUCUCGCUCCCGCUGCUGCAUCCGCUCCUGUUCCUCCGGGUCCUCCGGGAGUGAUGAGGGUUGCGGAGUUGGUUCAACAGCCCGGUCGUGACCAUCUUCCGUAUCUCACUCCUUAUCCACAUGGACGGGGUCAAACUUGGUAAUUAAACAUUUUUUUUCUUUAAAUUUGGAUUCAUUAUUAACCGUUUGUUCUUUUAAUAAGGUUCAACCGAUCCGGGAACGGGAUCAGCGCAUGGAUCAACCGUAUGAUGUACUCGGCCCUCGACAGUGGACAUCCGACUUUCACUCACUUCCCAACCGACAAGCAGGUUCUGUGGUUUCGUCAGUUUGCGGUAAGUAUUCUAAUUUUUUACUUAUAUUUUUAAUUUUUAAUAUAAAUUUUCUACUAAUUGUGUUUUUUUCAGCAAGAGUUCAACUGGAAUUCCGAUGAGACGCUCUUUAUCUAUCACCACUUUGUCCAUAAAGUAAUGGACAACUAUGGGAAGCAGAUCCACGAGUGGAAGAAGAAGUGGGAAAUCAAUAAGGUUCGAUUUAAUUUAUUAAACAAUUUUUUAAUUUAUUAAACUAUUUUUUAAUUUAUUAAACUUUUUCUUUUUUUUUUUAAUUAAAAGGUCCCAAAGUCGAUGAACGACACGGUCUGGAAGGAGUUGUGUGCGCAUUGGGAUAAGGAGGAGACGAAAGAAACUUCUUCCACCAACUCCACCAACCGCAUGAGCGACCGUAAAAGGAAGGGCAUCUACAAGCAUAACUUGGGUGCUCAAUCUAUUGCCACUCUCGGAGAUCGCAUGGUAAGUUCAACCGCUUUUUCUUCAAUUAUUUGAGUUUCAGAAUUUAAAUUUAUUGUGCAUUUCUUCUAAUUUCUAAUGUUUCUUUAAUUUUAUGUUUUUUUCAAGGUGGAAGAAAAUGAUGGCGAGUCGGUCGAUGAUCUCGCCCUAAUGAGGAGGGCGUAUACCAACAAGAAGACCGGCCAGAUUGAUGACGGUCUUGUGAGGGACGUGGUCGACCUGGUCCAAACUCAGGUGGUAGACGAAGUGUCUCAGCUUCAAACCGAGGAUGACGCUUCGACGGCUUCGACCAACUUGUCCCGGUUUCGAAUCAACGAAAUCGUUGAAUCCGUAAGUUCUUUUUUUUUUAAAGUUCAAUUCAUUUAUUUCUUGGUUUAAAUUUCUAAAUUUGGUUUUUUUCUAUUCAGUCGGUUCCAAAGAAGAAGGGACGUUUGUUCGGUUUGGGUCGUCACACCCGGUCGGUUCCUCCUUCUUCUGCACCAAAGCCCUUUGUUGAUCCAGAAGUACUUACGGCUCAGUUGAAGGACAAAGAUGAUCGAAUAUCUUUGUUGGAGACCCAGAUGGCGGCUCAACAGGCGGGCUAUGAGGCACAGAGGAGGCUGAACCAGAAAAUGAUGGAGAUGAUGCAGAGGAUGUACCCGAACGAGGUGUUCCCGGACGUGCCAGACCCGUAGUUUUUUUUUUCCCCAAUCUCGGAAUGUUUUAUUUUUAUUUGUGAAACUUUGAAUAUUAAUUAGUGUGAUUUCAAUUUUACUUUUAAUUUCAUAUUUUCGAAUUUAAAUUUCAGAAAUUUUAUUUUUUCAAAAAAAUUAAUAUUUUUUACAUUCCGAGGAAAUUAAUUAUAUUUUUCACUAGAUCGAUCGAUGCGUUUUUGAACAAAAAGGCAUCGAUCGAUCUGUUUUUUUUUUUAAAUAUAGCGAGGGACAUUUCCCUCGGAAUUUUCCGAGGGACAACUCCCUCGGAAAAUUCCGAGGAACGGAUCCCUCGGAAUAUACCGAGGGAACAGUUCCUCGGAAUAAACCGAGGGAAAAGUCCGUCGGUAUACUCCUAUCGAUCGAUGUAUAUAUGUCCAAACACGCAUCGAUCGAUGAACUUCCGAGGAAUUAUCCCGACGAAGUUCUACCUCGGUAUAUUCCGAGGACUUUUCCGACAAACAAGGGAUCCUCGGAAUUUCCUCGGAAAUUUAUUUCCUCGGAAUUCCGUCGGAAAAUUCCGAGGGAUUUCAGAGGAAAAAAGAAAUUCCGAGGAAUUAUUUCCGACGACGUGUUUCGUCGGAAUUUCGUCGGAAUAACGAUAUUCCGACGAAAUUCCGACGAUUUUUUCCCUCAGAAUCCUUGAUGUUUUCUUGUAGUGCCAGAGCAUAGAGGUGCCAUCCUAGAGCAGGGGAACUCAAAGCUCCGGUUUAAAUGUGGCGCAGCGUAUCAACGGUAACUCAGCUCAAAUCUAAAGAUUUAGAUUAAACCUUUAGAGACCUGACUUCUUGAAUCGAAGAAUUGAAUCAAAUUCGAUGCAAGGCUCUCGGAUUGAUGAAUUUAAUCGAAUCAACACAAGGCUUAAGAGAAAUCUUUUGAUUUAUAACUUUUCAAAAACUAUCAUAUAAAAGCCAAAGCAUCACGACUUAUAUAAGUCUUAAGGGUCGGUUAUAAACUCCUAACCCUUCCUAAAACAAGAAAUCUAAUAACUUAAAAGGAAACAUGACUUAAACAAGAAAAAGGAAACUAGGAAACUUUACGAAAAGCUGACAUAGUUUGAUAACGUGGCGGUGAAGGUACUAUGAUGCUGCAUCAGGUCCCCCGGGGUUAGGAAGAUUUGACCCCGAAUCGUGAACCGUAUCUGGAGGAAUGUAACGAGACAAAUAACGGACAUUGAACACGUCAGAAGUGUUGAUAUGAGCAGGGAGAUGAAGACGAUAAGCAUUAUCGUUGAUACGUUCAAGAACUUGAAGGGGACCUAUCUUCUUGGCUUUCAAUUUGUUAUAGUCACGUGCUGGCAUCGAUCCUAUCCUUUGUAAAAAAUGCCAACACAAGAUCGCCUACUUCGAACACAAGGCGUCGACGAUGGAGGUCAGUUGUAUUCUUAUAACGGUCGGCCGAAGACUGCAAGUUAGUCACAACGCGAUCGUGAACUUGAUGAAUGGUGUCGAUGAAAUCAGCUGCAACACCAUGAUGUCUUGUGAGAUCGGGCAAGGUGGUGAGGUCAAGAGGUCCGCGAGGAACCAUUCCAUAAAUGACCUGAAAAGGACUGUACCCCGAACUUCUGUUCAACGCAUGGUUUAUGUGCGAACUCGGCUUGAGGGAGCUUAGAGUCCCAUGAUUUGAUGGAGUCUCCGACAAGGCAACGAAGUAGAUUGCCUAAAGAACGAUUUGUAACUUCGGUCUGGCCGUUCGUUUGAGGAUGAUAAGCGGAACUCAUAUCGAGACUAGUCCCUAAUAUCUUCCAAAGAGAACACCAAAAGUGUCCUAAGAAACGAGAAUCGCUAUCAAAGACAAUGGAUGUAGGUAAACCAUGCAACCUAUAGAUUCGCGAAAGAAUAAAGUGGCCACUUGAACAGCGUCGGUGGUUUUCUUGCAGGGGAUAAAGUGAACCAUCUAGGAAAAAUGAUCCACAACAACAAAUAUUGAGUCAAAGCCUUUCUGAGUACGAGGAAGACCCAUGACGAAAUCCAUGCUGAUGUCGGUCCAUGGCUGAGUAAGGAUAUGCAACGGUAGGUAGAGACCGGCUUUUGUUGCAUGACCUUUGGGCUGUUGACACACAACACAACGUUCAACAAAGCGUUCAACAUCUCAGCGCAAAGUUGGCCAAAAAUAAGAACAAGAAACAAGAUGUAACGUCUGAUCACGACCAAUGUGACCCUCAUUAUGCAUUUCAGAGAUGAGCUGGAGACGCAGACUACAGGCUGGAACACAAAGGCGAUCACCCCGAAAGAGAAACCCAUCGUGGAGCACAAAGUCUUGAGAAAGACCAGACUGAACUUCUGUGAGAACGUUCCCAAAGAACGCAUCGGACUGGUAUAAGUCGGCAAAUGACGCGAAACCAGGAACACUCACUUGGAAAACGGCGAGGAGACUACGACGCCGGCUUAAAGCAUCAGCAACGCGAUUGGAGACGCCGGAUGUAUGCUUGAUAACAAAUGUGAACCGCUGUAGAUAAGCUACCCACGCCGCAUGUCGGGAAGACACUUUGUCCUGACUGCUAAGAUGCUUAAGAGCAUCAUGAUCAGUAAAAAGUACAAACUCCUUGUGAAAAAAGGUAGUGUCUCCAGUGCUUGAUGGCUUGAACAACAGCGUAGAACUCAACGUCAUAUGUACUGUAACGCGACCGUGCGCCACCCAACUUCUUGCUAAAGAAUGCAAUGGGUCGAUUUCUUUGGCUAAGGACGGUACCUAUGCCAGAUUUAGAGGCGUCACAAUGUAACUCGGAGACUUAAGAAAAAUCCGGUAAAUCUAAGAUAGGAGUCGAGCUAAGCUUGUGUUUGAUGAUGUCAAAGGCGCGGGACGCCUCGUCGGUCCAGACAAAUGAACCCUCACGGCAAAAACAGUCAGUAAGUGGUGCCAUGAGACUACUAAAUUGCGGUACAAAACGACGGUAGAAAGAUGCUAAGCCAUGAAAGCUUCUGGCCUCAGACAGUGUUGUAGGUCGCGGCCAAGACCAGAUAGCUUCGACUUUGCCCGGAUCAACAGACAAACCAUCAGCAAAAAUAAUGUAGCCAAGAAAGUACACUUUGAUUGAUCCAAACUCACAUUUUUUUGUGUUCGAAUAGCUGGUCACGUCGUAAAACCAAGAGAACUUCUCGGAGAUGAACCAGAUGUUCGGCCAUGGUCAUACUAAAGAUGAGAAUAUCGUCAAAGUAUACUACCACGAAUUUGCCAAUGAACGGACGUAAUGACUGAUUCAUGACGCGUAUAAAAGUACUAGGCGCAUUAGACAAUCCAAAAGGCAUGACAAGCCACUCAAAAAGUCCUUCAUGAGUUUUAAACGCUGUCUUCCAUUCAUCACCAGGUCUGAUACGAAUCUGAUGGUAACCGCUCAACCAGGUCUGAUACGAAUCUGAUGGUGACCGCUCUUGAGAUCGAGUUUAGAGAACAAGGUAGCAGUACCAAUCUGGUCAAGAAGAUCGUCGAGACGUGGAAUGGGAAAAUGGUAGCGGACUGUGAUUUUGUUGAUGGCGCGACUAUCGACACACAUACGCCACGAGCCGUCUUUUUUUGGGAUGAGUAAAGCAGGGACAGCACACAGACUUAAGCUUUCACGUAGAAAUCCUUUAGCCACGAGUUCUUCGACCUGACGUCGCAGUUCUUCAUGUUCGGUUGGACUCAUGCGAUAGUGGGCUAUGUUUGUGAGAACUGCAUCUGGAACCAAAUCAAUACGAUGUUGUAUGUCGCGUAGAGGUGGAAGUCCGGUUGGUAAAUCAGCGGGAAAGACAUCGCUGAAUUCUUGAAGAAGAGUGGAGAACUCAGAUGGAAGUGAUGGCGAUAAGGACAGUGAAUUUGUGUUGAGAAUUGCUAACAUGAAUCCUUCCAGUCGGAAUGUCUCUUCAAACUGUUUACACUGAAGGAUCAGAACCGGCGCUGCCUUAGAGAUUUGAAGUUCUGGUGCUGAAGGUUGAAGAGUAAAGUUACGGUUUUGGAACCGAAAACUAUAAGUGUUCUUGAAGCCAUCUUGUAGAAUUCUGCGGUCAAAGAUCAAUGGGCAUCCUAAAAGGAGAUGACAAAUAUCCAUAGGAGCCACAUCACACUGGACUUGAUCUCUGUACACAUCACCCACCGAGAAGGAAAUCAACGCACGGCGAGUGAUUAACAAAUCUGUGUUUGUAUCAAGCCAAGCUAACUUGUAUGGAUAAGGAUGAAGCUCUGUUGGAAGAUGUAGUUUAGUAACAACCUCCUCUGCGAUCGCAUUCUCACUACUCCCAGAGUCAAUGAUAAAUUUGCAAACCUUUCCGUCAAUCGUACACUUGGAGUGAAAAAGGUUAUGGCGUUGUGGAUUAUCAUCAGGAACUCGGGGUGCAAGACAAACACGGCGAAGCAUUAAAGCUGUGCCGGUGUCUGCAUGAAGAAUCUCAGUAUCUUCUUGCUCAUUUGUGGGCUCUUCAUCAUAGUUCACUUCAACGUCAUUGCCAGAUGUAUCAAGGAGAAGGCCGCGACGGUUUCGUGUUGGGCAGUUAGACUGGCGAUGACCAAUUUCAACAUAAGAGAAACAACGAAGUGAGUUCGGACGUAGUGGACGAUUGUCAAGAACAGAAACGAUGGCUGUUUCUGGUUUGACAGGUUCUGCAUCGUCUGUUGCUGGUGUUUGAGGUUGAGUCGAUCGUGACGGACAGGCGCUAGUCUAGGAGGAGAACGACGUUUUAGUUUGAGAUUCAAUGGUUAGUGCAUGUUGAUGGGCUUCAGACAAUGUCAACGGAUGGAAGAGAUUGAUUGUGUGUUGAAUUUGUUUUCGGAGUCCUGCUGUGAAACGUGCUACUAGUUGUCGUUCGGAGUCUUGCAAAUCCACACGAUUGAGAAGCAAGAAAAAUUCUGUAGAGUACUCAGCCACAGAACGGGUUCCUUGGCGUAUGGUAUGGAGACGUUGGAACAUCAUCUGGUCAUAGUUAUAUGGAAGGAACGUCUUCUUGAGUUUCGCCCUGAGUUUAUCCCACACUAGAAUUUUAGGUUUACCGAGACGAGCUCGAGCUGUCUUUAAUUAGGUCCACCAUGCUGCGGCAUGUCCACGAAAGCGCAUGGUUAGAAGAGGAACACAUCACUCCAAUGGGGCUCUUUUAAACUCGAGAAUUUCCUCAACCGUAACUAUCCAAUCAAGUAGUUCUUCGGCUGAUGUAUUUCCAUGGAACUCUGGUAUCUCGGUUUUGAAUCAUAGUGUCCACUGAGUAUCGGCUGCUGCAACUUGAGCAUUGUCUUGAGCAAUAGCUCGGUUGUUGCGAAGAGGAGCAAAGGGGUUAGCAUCAACUGCUGCGACGAACGGGUCUGCUUUGUCGUCUUCAUCUUCUUCCUCGUCGUUAUCACGUUCAACGUUAUCGCGAGCUAGGGGUGGUGGUGGUCGUUGAACAUUAAGGGCUUGGGGGCGGUGGUGAUUGUGGCCAUCUGGGCUUGAAGCUCAGCAAUGGCGUCGCGGGUAAUUUCUGCCUCGGUACGUAACGGUGCUCUACGAGUUCGAGCCAUCAGAUAUGAUUAACAAGGAACGUAGCAAAGCUCUGAUACCAACCUGGCGCAGCGUAUCAACGGUAACUCAGCUCAAAUCUAAAGAUUUAGGUUAAACCUUUAGAGACCUGACUUCUUGAAUCGAAGAAUUGAAUCAAAUUCGAUGCAAGGCUUUCGGAUUAAUGAAUUUAAUCGAAUCAACACAACGCUUAAGAGAAAUCUCUUGAUUAAUAACUUUUCAAAAACUAUCAUAUAAAAGCCAAAGCAUCACCACUUAUAUAAGUCUUAAGGGUCGGUUAUAAACUCCUAACCCUUCCUAAAACAAGAAAUCUAAUAACUUAAAAGGAAACAUGACUUAAACAAGAAAAAGGAAACUUUAAGAAAAGCCGACAUAGUUUGAUAAUGUGGCGGUGAAGGUACUAUGAUGCUGCAUCAAAAUUUCAAAUAGAUGGAUUGAGACGAAUGGAUGAGUCUUCAUUCUACUGGAAGAUGCAGAGGUGAUUCUGCAGGGACAGAAGUGUUGUCCACGUUGGUAGACACCAGUUAACAUAAAACGGAGGAACUUAUUUGGGAAAUAAAAGAAGUAUGCAGCAGAGGUUAUCAUCAGGUCAUGUUUGAAUUAGAUUGCCAACAAGUGCUCAACAUCAUUAACAAGGAAGAAGAUUGGCUGGUGUUAGCACUUGAACUGGAUGAUAUCAAAGCUAAUAGUGUUGAUUUUUCAUGAUAUUGUUUUCUCUUAUCUCCUUCAAUCUCGAAGCCUCCGUGCAGUCUUAGAAAAAGGGGGACGAUCACGUGCUCAAUGUUUCUCAAGUGUAGCCUAUUCAUGGAAAUCCGUAAAUAUUCCAUUCCAAAAAUAAAUAAAAAUUGGUUUUUUUUGGAAAUUGGAAUUAUUAGUCCAAAAGAGGCAAGUUCAUGCAGCAUGCCUCAAUGAAUAAAAGUGAUUUAUUAAUGAAAGUUUGGUUGAUGACAAAAAAAAAUCGAAUUCAAUGUUUUUAAAACCGGACUGACCCGAUGGUUGAACUAGAUUACACCAUGAACUGGUUACAUAGUCAGAUUAGAUCUAAUAAUUGGUUCACGUAGUCGAAUUGGAUCUCACAGUUAUUAAACUGAUAAAAACUAUUAAAACUAUCAAAAAUAUAUAAAACAUCCAUAUAUUUAUAUUUAUAAUAUUUUAUGUUUUAAAUUCAUUUAUAUUUUAAUUAUCUAUCAUAUUUACUAAUAUUACUUUUAAAUGUAUACACAAAAAUAUAUUAAAUCAGAUUAUUGAACCAGGUUUGCCCCGGUCGAACCAUAUUGAACCGUGACCCAUAAAUUAUCCGGUUCAGCUUCCGGUCUGGUUUUGAAAACACUGGUAUUAUUCUAAUCUCAAUAUUUUUGUUUUGGUAUAUUUAGUAAAUCGGUUAUAUAAUAUAGCUUAUGGUCGGUCUUGGCAUGAUUAAUGACAAAACCUAAUUGAAUCAAGUCGCCGACAAAAAUAAUGAAUAAAGAACAAAUUCAUGGACCAACUUGGUCGAUAACACAUGAAUAUAUAUAUGGUCUAUCAACAUACUCUAUAAAAUUGGAUGGUAGACACUUUACAGUUUCUUAAAUGCGAGAUUAUUCUAUCUUUUGUUUUCUUUCAGUUGGUUAUAUAGAUGUCCGGUUUCAAUCUCUUGUGGAUGAGAAUUUUCGUGAGUCUCAAGAGUAAAUUCCUUAGGAGGUUGAAUACGUUAAUUAUGACGAAGAUUAAUAAACAGAUAACUGUAAUCAACAGAAACAGCGGUGGGUUAUGUAAAGAAAACGGGAUCACCGAUCAUGCGAUGGUAGAGAUUCCAUUAUCAUAAUAUUAGAGCAUCAUUACCAGUAAAACCUGUGUGAGUCUCUCAAGAAAAUCAAAACAUUAAUAAUAUUUGUUUUGUUUAAUGAACUUUUUGCAAAUAUGACUCGAAACAUUAAUAUUUGGUUUGUCUUCCGGUAGACGAGGAAGUCUUUCAGAAUUUUAUACCAAUUCUGAUCAAACCUUGGUUAUUACAGAAGACUUAUGUGUAAGUCGUAUGCCAGAAGACUUACAUGGAAGUACAGAUAAAAUAAAAUAUUUAAGUUUUAUUUUUUAAUUGCAAAAGUAACAUGAAACGAUUUAAAUAGAAGUCUUCUAGAAAAAAAAUAUAUUUAAAUUUUAUUUUUCUGUUGGACGACUUCUGUGUUAGUCGUCUAGGAAAAAUCAAAUUUCUGACACAAUCCGGUCAAAUGCAAAACUAACAUGUUUAUCAUAGACGACUACCAUGUUAGUAGUCUAGGAAAAGUCAAAUUUCUGACACAUAAAGUCAAUUGCAAAACUAACCUAUGCAUUGACCAAAAAACUUCCGUGGAAGUCGUCUACGUCAACGUUUAAUAAAAUUUCAUUUUCUUGUUAAUUCAUGAAUAUUAUUCAAUAUUGGGACUCCUGAAUGAAAUUCAUAACUUAAUUGGUGAUAAUUAUGAGGUUAACAACAUUCAUGUUUAUUAUUUUUUCUAACUAAUGAGAGAAGACUUUUCCAUAAGUCUUUUAUGUUAGUUUUUGUUAAACUUGUAUUUUCAACUUUAAGAUAUAUAUAUUUUUUAACUUUCAAAAGUGUUAAGUAACUUCAAGAAUAUCAAGUCAUAUGGUUUAAUGUGUCUUCUUAGAUCAUAAGAUAUAUUUUUUAACUUUCACGAAAUUUGAAAUUUUAAUUUUCACUUAGAAUUCGAGUUUUCCGCUUAAAUUUUAAUGUCUCUCUUUAAUUUCCCCCUUAUAUUUAAAAUUCUCGCUUGAAAUUUAAGUCUUCAGAAAAAUCUGCCGAGAAGAAGUCUUCUAGAAGACUUCCUAGAAGACUUCUAGUGAAACUGUUAUAGGUUUGAACUAAUGUAAUAUUUGAUCUUUUGUGAAUUUGACUAAGUUUUCUUGAUAAGUUUUCUCUUUUAGUUGUAGUAAAUUUGACUAAUUUUUUGUAUUAUUGUGUUUUGUUAUUGAAGUUAGUGAUCAAUAAUGUCAAGUAUUUUUUUUGGCAAGAUAAUAUUGUAGAUAUUAACAUAUUUACCAAAUUUUUUUAUUUAUAUCUAUUCAAAUUUACAAAAGAAUUCAUAAUUAAAAGAGUUCACAUAGAAAUUACAAACAGACCAUAAAUAAAACUAUUAUAGCUCAUUACUCCACAAAGAUAAGCUUAGACUCCACUUGACAUGGGAGAAGACUUCCAGAAAAAGUCUUCUAGUGCAUUAAAUGUUAGAAGACUUUCGAGAAGACUUCCCUGAAAGUCUUCCAAGUCUCUCAGAUCUAAAAAACAUGCAUAUCAAAAAGCAUUCAAAUGGCUUCAAAAUAUAGAAUAACUUCAAAAAUAAGGUAAGAGCUUAAAACAACCAAAAGAAUUUUCAAAAAGUAAGAGCUUUAAGCAACAAGAUGUUACCAAAUAAGAAAAUUUAAUUUAUAGAUCUACUUUUAAGGAGUGGAAGAUGAGAACCAUGUAAUGAAAAACCUACAAAACAAGAUGAAUUAGUGAGAAUAACAUGAUACAAAAAAUGAUAAAUUGAUAUAAAGUUUGGUGUUUGCAAAAAUUGAUAAAUUGUGAAAAAUAUAAGAGUUUUAAGCAAUCAGAGGUUUACCAAAUGAAGAAAAAUCAGACAUAUAAACUUACAAAAACACUCCGCUCUGAAAUGAAAAAGGAAACAUGGGAGAAGACUCUGCCAGAAGUCUUCUAGCGCAUUAAAUCUUAGAAGACUUCCGAGCAGACUUCAAAUGGCUUCAAAACAUAGAAAAACUUCAAAAAUAAAAUAAAUCAGUGAGAAAAUAUGAAAUAACUAUAAUUGAUAUAAAAUUUGAUGUUUUUAAGUUUAAGAAGAUUAGAGAGAGGUUGCAGAGUUUAAGAAUGAGAAACAUUGCAUUUUUGUUGCAUCCAUUUGAGAGAAAGAGAGAGAAUGUGUAAAUUUUCUCUAUAAAGGGAGACAAAUAUUCCAAUAAAGUUAAAUUUUUUCAAUUCAGAAGACUUUCAAGUAAGUCUUUUAGAAACUAAAAUACUUUGCGGGAAACUCAAAAAUAUUUUAGCGGGAAUGAGUAGACUUUUAGAGAAGUCUUCUAACUAAUAAAAUACUAAUCACCAGAAAGACUUCCUGAAAGUUGUCUAGACCCUAAAUAUAAAUCAUAAACUUAAAUAACUAAUUAAAUAGAAACAAACAGUUUAUUAAACUUAAAAAGUGUUUAAUAUACACAAAGCUAAACAUUUAUGUCAAAAUUUAAUUUUUCAAAAAAAUGUUAAGUUUUCAAAAUCUAACCCUAAGAAUGAAUACAAUACUACAACAUAUGUUGUCAACCCCUAAACCAAAGAAUAUCAUGACUCAUUACUUUCACUCAUCUAUGUUGAAAAUAAUUCAAUUUUAUUAUAUUUUCAUUUAUAUCACUUACAACUGUUUAUAAUUACAUGAUUUCAAUUUUUUCCCUAUCAAAAUAUUUGUUACAAAAUUUAUAAAUUACUUUUAAGAUCUACUAUAUGAGAAGACUUACAGAACCCUAGAGGACUUAGAAAAUCUCAGAAGACUUUACGGGGUUAUAUUCAUAAAAAGGAAUUAUGGUUUUUUGUUUGGUCAUAUGGGGCUAUUUGUAAUUUCACUAGCCUUUUGGGUUACUUUGCAUUUGUUUCAAGUUUGAGAUACUUUUAGGGUUAAAAUCAAAUUUUGAGUCAUAUUUGGUAAAUUCUUCUUGUUUAAUUACUUAUCUAUCUUAUUAAAAUUGAAGUAAAAAUAGAACUAACUUUAUUUUCAACAGAUUUACUACAUAUUUUCUUUCUUAAUUUUCACUCAUCUUAACUAAUUUAUUAAUUUUAAUUUUCUAAAUAAUUUAACAGCGUUCAUUAUAAAAGUACAAAAUAUAAUUUAUCUAUUUUUGGUGUUUUGGUAUAUUUUUAACAUUCUCUUUUCACACUUCUAAAAUAUUUCAUUAAUUGUUUUUACCCUAAUAAUUUGAUAUCAUUUAUUUUACAUGUUAACCAUAAUAUUUACAUGUUUGAAUGAAUUUUCUUCAUACACAACAAUAAUUCAAAUCAGUUAACAAAAAACUUUUUAUUUGUUUACAUAAUCAGUUAGAUAUGAGUAUUCAUAUAUCCGUUCGGAUACGGAUAUGUUCUUUCAAGUAUCAAUUUUUUUGGAUUUUGAAAUUAGGCUCCGUUCGGGUGUUAUAAAUUUUUAAGUGGUAUCUGAGUCGAGUUAGUUCUUUCAAGAUUCGGAUGGAUUCGAUUUUGAUGUGUAAUGUGUUUUUUUUUUUUGAACACCUGAUGUGUAAUGUGUAAAAAUCUAAAAAUGAACAAAAAAUUUAUGUAUUUAUAAAUAUCAUUAAUUCUUUUUUUUAAAUAACAUCCACGUGGACACGCAAAUCAAUCUCUAACAAAUUUUGAAAACUAUUGAAUCAUUCUUUCACUUUUAUAUCAGAGAGAUUUAAACUUCGGAUUUGCCCAAAAAAAAAAUAUCAGAGAGAUUUCAACUUCGGAUUUUUAUUUAGAAGCAAUUAAAUCAUAUCAACCAUAAUGAGAAUCUUUUAACAACUUUCAGUCUUUCAUUAAUCAUUACGAUUAGAAUUUAUUUUCAUUCCUUUUUACAUUGAGUUGAUUACUCUUUAGGACACAUUUUGAGUUUCUCUUACACUUAUAGACACAUUCCACUUGUGACACACUUUUUUUGUGGGGUCCAUUAGAUAUUUGGACAACUAUACCCUCAAGGGAAGGAGAAAGUUAGUUUUUUUUAUUAUUUUUCUUAUUGUGCUUCAUGAUUUCAUUUGCUUUUAUCUCAAAAUCUAAAAUAUAUUAAAUAAAAAUAAUUGUCAUAAUAAACUAUAUUUAAAAUUAUCUAUCUUUUAAGUUCUAUUUUCAUAUAUGUAUGGUAACUUGUAAACAAAAUUAAUUGUGGACGUGGAUUCCAAAGCGUGGAUAGUAGAGAUAUACACUAGUUGUGGACAUGAACACCUUAACUCAGAGGUCAUUGCUUAUACCUUUAAGAGAUUGUUCUUCGCUAUAGUCUCCGGUAAUAAGAAACUUAGAUAACCAUGUUUCCACCGUUACUCACACCGUCACCGGCACCGCCGAUACCAUCACCACGAUCGAGAUUUGGUUCUAACUCGUUAAAGGUCUCAUCUUUCGAUCUGACGUACAUCGAUCUGCUAGAGACUUCCUCGUGACCACAUCCAAUACAACGCAACUAGCUCUCGAUCUUCGAUAAGACAGCUCGAUCAGAGAUGUCUUAUCCAUUGGAGCUCGAUCAGAGUUGUCUUAUCAGAGAUCGAGAGCUAACUAGUUGUGUUGGAUUGGAUGUGGUCACAUGGUAAAUCUUCAGCAUCCAAAAAUGAGAUUUUUAAACCGCUAGAUGGUGGUGGUGGCCUCGGUGGUGCCGGUGACGGUGGGAGUAACGGUGGAAACGUGGUUAUGUGGGUUUUUCCUUGCCAGAGACUAUAGCGAAGAAUAAGCUCUUAAAGGUAUCAGCCAACAACUUUCGUGGUAAGAUGUUCAUAUCCACAACUAGUAUAUAACUCUACUAUCCACGCUUUGGUGUCCACGUCCACACUUAAUUUUGUUUACACGUUAAUAUAUAUAUAUGAAGAUGGAUCUUAAAAGAUAGAGAAUUUUAUGUAUAAUUUAAUUUGAUAAUUAUUUUUAUUUAAUACAUUUUAGAAUCUGAGAUAAAAGUAAAUGAAAACAUAAAGUGGAAUAAGAAGAGGAGAGAGAUUCAUGUGAUGAGAAGAAAACAACUUGUAUAUUAAAAACAUAAAGGCAAUGAGAUAAAGAAUAAAGUUUAGGGUCAUAAGAGUCUUUUUGACAUGAGAAAGUGUGUCUCAAGCACUAAGUGUCCUAUAAUGUAAUUGGAAAGUGAAAAAGUGUCUUUAAGUGUAAAAAACUCUUUUACAUUUUGUGUAGAACUAAAAGUAUAUUCGUAUAUUCAUAUUACGGGAUGCAGACGAUCACAUAUAUGUUAGUUUACUAUAUAACACACACAAAAACCACACAAAACUGCAAAAAAAAAAAAAAAAAAAAGAGCAACCUAAUUAAAAAUCAGAAUAACUGUAGCAUAAAAAGCAUUUCACUGAACAAUCCACCCACCGAUGGGGUCUACUAUUCUGAUCUACAUAUAUUCAAAUGGAUAUAGUCUUGUGCAGAGGGCGAGCCCGCUUCCAUGGCAGAACUUCUGUUUAUGCACUUAAGACUUCCGACUGCUCAUCCAAGAUUCUUCUGACAAUAGCAACGCGAUGGACAUCCUUACGAACUCGAGCCUCGCAAGAGUUCGUACCUUAUGUAAAUGCAAGAACUGCUUCAUAGAGUAAAGCACAGAGUACACCAGAAAAAUAUCUCUACAAAAAUAUGUGUUAUUACUAGUAUUCUUUUAAAACGAACUUACAAGUAUCUCUUUAAACAGAACUCGAACAAGAUCAAGACCCUUCUUGACUUGCUCCCCUAGCCUUACACGUCCUAAGAUCGAAUACAAGAUCUCUAGAACCAUUACCUCUUAGCCCUUAGUGUUAUUCACUCGCUUACAAGCUUAGCGAACUCCACUCUUAUGCUAAGAAUACAAUUCUCUCGACGACCCUAAUCCACAGGUCGAGUAUGACUAUAUAUACAAUACAAUCAAGUCGGCUAUCCACGCCUAUCUACCCAAUAUUCCCUAUUUACCCAAAUAAGGUAAGUUCCCUAAAACCUCUCCAAGGCUUUUUAGAAAACUUCCAUCCUGAGAUCUCCCUUCUCCAAGGUGAAUCUCUACAAGCUUGUUCCCCAAGAUAUCUUCGUAUCAACUUAGCCUUGAUCCGCAAUCCAUUCUUCAAGUCGCAAUCUUCAUCUUGACUUGUUCAUCCGCACGUACACUUCUCUGUUGCAGACUCUGCUCCCUUCGAUGUUGUACUUGCGUCUGUAUCAGAACGUCCAUCUGAUCUUUGCAUCUACAAUCUCCCCCUUUUAGCUUUGGAUGUCUCUCAAGUACCUGCACAGAUCCGCUCAAACAACCACACACAUUCGAACAUAUAUAUCAUGAAUAAUACGUGCAUUAAAAUUGACAUGAAGGUUCAAAACAUGCGAGUUCAAGAGUUAGAGAUAAACAUAAAACCAAAACACCAAAAACCAAUAACAUUGUUUUAUCUCUCACUCCCCCAUAAUUAAAAAACGAGAAACAAAUUAAAUUUUUCUCCCCCAUAAUCUAGUUCCCCUGGUCAUCCUACUGUUGCGGAUCGUCUGCCUCUUCUUCUCCCCCUGCUUGAGAGCAUACAUAGUUAAAAUUCAUAAAGAUCAGAGUAAAUAAAUAACCAGAUAGAAGACUUACUUGGGAACAGCAUGCUUGCAAUCUGUCCCCCGACGCUCGUCAGAGUCUGCAUCGCAGUUGCAAGUUGUUGAAUUGCUUCCGAGGUCGUAUCUAUCGGUUGCCCUGGAGAUGCAACUAAUCCGAGGUGAAUGAUCUGGAACUUUCCAGCAGCCCGCGGAGACUGUCUUGGUGGCACAUACCCAGAAGGAUCAGUCCUCUCAGAUCGAGGAGUGCUUGGAGGUGGUCCAGAAGUAGGUGCUGCAGUUGAUGUUGAUGCAGAUUUCCCUUUCUUCUUGGUCUGCUUCUGAGCCUUCUUCUCAGCCUCUCGUGCUUCCUUUUUAUUAUUGAGAUACUUUUCGCCCUGACGAGGGUCCUUCUUAUAUGGAAUCACAGCCACAAGUUUCUCUCUUGGUCUUCGCUGCACCAUGUGCUGCAUCUAAAGCACACCAUAGAUAGUACGAGGAAAUAUCAACCACCUCGUGUCCUUCUUUUCUCCCUCUUUUUUGAAUAACUCCGAGGUUAAGAACUUGAUUGUAGACCAACACUCCUAUGUCAACACAGACUCCAUGAAACAUCUUAUAGACAAGUUUUGCACGAUCAAUGGACACGGCAUUUUUGUUAGACGAAGGUACCCAAAUUGUAUGCUGCAAGGACUAGAAGCGCAGCUUUACAUAGAGACAGAGAACUUGUCGUGAGGUUCUUCAUCUCCCGUGUUCCCUCGGUCAGGAAGUCAGCGAGCUCAUCACUAUUAACUUCAUCCAUGGUUUCCUCUACUUCUAGCUCAUCUCCCUGAAGUGGUGAAACAUCAAAGUAUUGAUCAAUCAUAGCUGGAGAAAAUUCAUACUUUUGCCCUCGUACUGUCACUAUGACUUCUGAUCCUCUAGUCAUCUCACCAGGCAAGGCUGCAUAGAAUUCCUUCACGAUCUCAGAAAUGUAACCUCCUAGACCUGUGACAGUCUUCUCCAGUUGCCCUUUCUUGAUUAUACUCAUAUAGCCCCAUGUGUCUUCCGAGCUCAGAUCCACAGAAUGUUAUGGAAUAAUCUCUCUAGAGGCAAAACUUGCAUACCUUUGCUCUGCGAGCCGUUCUGCACCUGAAGUUGUUUUGGCCUUUCUUUGAGAUUUGAUUCAUGAGGCAGAGGUUUUCCUGGUUGAUUUUCUCACAGGAUUGCUCUGGGUUGCUGAUGAUGGAGCUUUCCUCUUUUUCUCUUUCUCCUUAACACUGACUGGUGGUUCCAUGUUCUCAGCAUCAACUUCCUCAGCUUCUUCUGAGUCAGUGUUCUCUGAGUCAUCUUCUUCCUCAGAUUCACCUGAGGAGACUUUGAUUGCUUUUCCUCGAUUCUCUUUGGAGGCCUUAGUUGUAUCAGCUCCCUGUGGAAUCGUCUCAGAGGUUUCUUUACUCCUUCCCUCCUUCACGUUCUUCUUCUUCCUUGUUAAUCUCACUGGUUCUGACUUAGCAUCUGACUCAGAAUCCAGUUGUUCGGCUGCGGUAUGAAGAUCUUCGGAUAGGGGUUGAGACAUCUGACUCUGUUGUGGCGUCGUUUUCUCCUCAUCAUCAGAGUAGUCUACGAGAUUCAAUGGUGGUGGAUUUGAAUAUUUACCGGCGGCGGAGGUGCUUUUGUUCAUCAACAUGAUUUCUGGAGAGAUAAAGAGAGAGUUUUUCUUUUGAAAGUUUUUUGAGUUUUGAGAGCAAAGAGAGUUAUCAGAGAGAUAAGUUGGCGUGUAGGGUUUAUCAAGGGGUAAUCAUUUCUUUUUUGGUACAUUACCCCAUGAUCUCCUAGAUAUUCGCCAUAUUUCCCACUCUCUCCAAAAUGGAAGUUUUUAAAUUUCAAAAAUUCGAAAUCUUCCAUUUAGGCUCACACGAUCUCUCUUCCCUUUUUCUCUUAUGUCGACACGUAUUGCCCACUUAUGACUUGAUCGGACUGAAUCUUCACUGUUCCACUGUGACACUCGAUGACAUAGACUGGUGAUAUUAACUCAAUGACUUUUCCUGACACAACCACUUAGACAAAAAAACAUUUAGUACAUUAAACACACAACCAAUGAGAGAACACGUGUCACACAGAAUAAUUUUUCAAUUUUGAGCAUAAAAAGAAUUUUUGUUUUACCUUUCCCGUUGGCAACUGUUCGUCGAGUGAUCCAGAGGCUGACAUAGCUUCUGCUACAGAUGCACCCUUCUUCUCUACUAAAUCCUCAUAUGAUCAUCAGGCUUAUUUCAUGUCUAGCUUUCGCACAAAUAUGCCUUUAUCAUGUCCUGACUCAGUUUUCAACAUUUAUUCGUCAUGAGAGAGCUGGGGUUUGUUACUUCUUUUCUUUUUCUUGUCUUUUUCUUUUUCUUUUUCUCUUUUCUUUUCCAAGAGUUUUCUUGUGCUCCCUUUUUGAUGAUGGGAGACACAUGACAUCUUCUUCCCCUUGUUACUUGAUUGCUCUCUCGAUGCGAAACCUGUACUUUUUGAGAUCAUGACGGCAUAUUUGGCAGCUCUUUUCCACUACUCGCUUCUUAUGUAAGACAAAACCUGAACUUUGGGUGCCUCUGCAUCAGCUCUUCUGUCAUCCCCUGUACAUUUACACAAACUUGUUACAUCUCACAAACCCCAAUGGAGUUUCGAAGAGUAACAAAACGGUUAAAAGAUCUAAAGGUUUAGUGAAAACAUCAGCUAGUUGUAAUUCUUUGACAACAUGUUCAAUCACUACUUGUUGUUCAUCGACUAGUUCCCUGAUGAAGUGAUGUCGAAUGUCAAUGUGCUUGGUCUUUGAGGGUUGCACCGGAUUCUUUGAUAUGUCGAUUGCACUCUUGUUGUCACAGUAGACCAGAAAUGAUCCAGUAUCCAUGCUAUAGUCAACAGACAUUUGCUUCAUCCACAUCAGCUGUGUGCAGCAACUCCCCAUAGCAAUGUAUUCUGCUUAUGAGGUCGACAACGAAACAGAGUUCUGCUUCUUGCUCAACCAUGCAACCAGGUUGUUUCCGUGAAAGAAACACCCCCCACUGGUACUCUUUCGAUCGUCUACACUUCCAGCCCAAUCUGCAUCACAGUAUCCAACAAGAUUUCCAUUCGAUCCCUUUGAGUAGUAAAUCCCAAGGUUAAAUGUGCCUUUGACAUAUCGAAUGAUUCUCUUAGUUGCCUCCAGAUGAGACUUCUUUGGCUUUGCUUGGUACCUAGCACAUAUACUUAGAUCUGGUCGACUAGCCGUCAGAUAAAGUAGGCUUCCGAUCAUCCCUCUAUACAGCUUUGUGUCCACUGGUUCACCCUCCUCAUCUUUGCAACUUUUAUUUGUCGAGCUCAUUGGAGUUUUUGCCUCCUUGCAGUGAUCCAGUUGAAACCUCUUCAGUAGUGCCUUUGCAUAGGUACUUUGCGAGAUGAAAACACCUUCCUCUGUCUGCUGUAUUUGUAGCCCGAGGAAAUAUUUCAACUCUCCCACCAUGCUCAUCUCAAACUCUUUGGUCAUGUCUCGAGUGAAACCAUCUACAAGUUGUUUAGAUGUUCCUCCAAAAAUGAUGUCGUCAACAUAGAUCUGAACCACCAGAAUCCCUGUUUUAUUCUUCAGCACAAACAUAGUUUUAUCGACACUUCCUCUGAUGUAGCCUUUGUCAACCAGAAAGUUUGUCAACCUUUCAUACCAUGCUCGAGGUGCUUGCUUCAACCCGUAUAGAGCUUUGUUGAGUUUGUACACAUACUCAGGAUUAGUUGCGUCUUCAAAACCCUUUGGCUGAUGUACAUAUACUUCUUCAGACAGUAUCCCAUUCAGAAAUGCACUCUUAACAUCCAUUUGGUACACUGUGAAGUUCAUGAUGCAUGCCAUUCUAAUGAACAGUCUGAUAGACUGCAAUCUAGCCACUGGAGCAAAUGUUUCUUCAAAAUCAGCUCCCUCGAUUUGCGAAUACCCCUGAGCUACUAAUCUUGCUUUGUUUCUGACCACAAUUCCAUUCUCAUCAAUCUUGUUCUUGAAGAUCCACUUAGUCCCAACUAUGUGACCAUCAGAUGUCUUCUUCACCAUCUCCCAUACAUCAUUUCCGAUGAACUGUUCUAGUUCCUCCUGCAUGGCUUGAAUCCAGAACUCAUCCGAAAGUGCUUCGGUGUAGUCUUUUGGUUCAAUAUUUGAGACAAAGCAUGCUGACUGCACCAUUUCUCUGAAGUUGAUCUUCACACCUCUUGUUCUUCUCCCUUCAUUCCCGUUCCCAAUGACAUCUCUAGAUGAGUGAUUUUUGUGAAUGUUUGGAGUGAUCGUCUCCUGAGUCAAUUAUGAGGGAGUUGUUGUGUCAUUCGUUGAUUCAGUUGAUGGGUUCUUUGAUGCAUCCGAUGGCAUAGCUUUCUUCUGUUCCUCAUCGUUUUCCCAUUCCAGUGCUGUGACAUCAUCGAACACAACAUUUACUGACUCCAUGAUCAUCAGGGACCUCAAGUUGUAGACUCUGAAGGCUGUGUUGUUUGCUACGUAUUUUAGGAACAUGCCUUCAUCGCUUCUUGCAUCAAACUUGCCAAGAUGCUCUUUGUCGUUCAGGAUGUAGCACUUACACCCAAAAACAUGAAAGUAACUGAGGUUUGGUGUUUUUCCUUUCCAUAGUUCAUACGGAGUCUUGAUAGUUCCUCUUUUGACAUAGACACGAUUUAUGAUGUAGCAUGCAGUGCUAAUAGCCUCUGCCCAGAACCUCUGCUUCACAUUGUUACCAUGCAUCAUAGCUCGCGCCAUCUCCUCAAGCGUGCGAUUUUUCCUUUCUACUACUCCAUUUUGUUGAGGAGUUCUAGGUGCAGCAAAUUGUUGAACUAUUCCGUGCUGUCCAUAGAAAUUACUCAUGGCUUCAUUUUGGAAUUCUCCCCCGUGAUCACUGCGAAUCUGCUUCAGUCGUCUCUUCCUAAUUGUAACUUGAAGAGCCCAGAUCUUGAAGCUUUCCAGUGUAUCAGACUUUUCACGAAUGAAUCUGACCUAUGUAAACCUUGAGUAGUCAUCAACCAGAACUAGAACAUACCUCUUCCCUGCUAUGCUCUCUUUCUGCAUAGGACCCAUGAGAUCCAUGUGUACCAUUUCAAGCAUAUCGUUGACUGAAUAUCUGGAAUCAUCUUGUGUUAAACUUUGACCUGCUUUCCUUGAUUGCACGGUCCGCAUACAGUCUUCUCUGUUUCCUCCAGCUGAGGAAUGCCUCUGACUGCACCUUUUCUGAUGAUGUUGGUCAUAUGCCUCAUGUUCAUGUGACCAAGUCUUUGAUGCCAUAGACUUAUUUCAUCAUGUGCAACAAAGCACUGUUGUACACUCUGCCAUACAUAGCAAUUGUUAGCAGAUCGUACUCCAUAGAGAAUGACUCUGUUUUCCUCAUUCACAGCUUUGCACUCUCUGCUUGUGAAGUGAACUAUCAACCCUUCAUCACACAAUUGACUGAUGCUGAUUAGGUUUGAUUUUAAUCCCUUGACUAAGAACACAUCCUUUAGAGGUGGUUUGGUUUCAACAGUCUUUCCCUUGCCUUUGAUCGCUCCUUGGCUUCCAUCUCCAAAUGUGACUCUACCUCCUUUAAAUGGCUUUAUCUCUAUGAGAUUCUUGUGUGUUCCUGUCAUAUGACGAGAGCGACCACAGUCGAAAUACCAUGGAUUUUCAUCUUUGGAUAUCAAUGCCACUGCUUCUGAUACAAGUGCCAUGCUUCAUCUCGGACCUCCGUGAAUAGAUCGUUGAGUUGAUUUCACUGUUGUACGUCCUAAAUCAGAUUUCCUGAUCCAGACUUGAUUUCGAGAGCCAUUCCACUAGUACUUUCCUUGUCUCAACAACUGAUUUACUUUUCCCCGAAAGUGAUAGCAUUUCUUCUUGAUGUAACCCGGUUUUCCACAGUAGUAACAUCCUCUCUCCUUCUGAAUCUUUGAUCGUCCCACCUUCUGGAGAUUCUUAACUUUCUCAGCACCAGUCUUUGAGGUAGUACCUUCAGUUGUUGUUCUCCCUUUGGAGUUGGAGCUUUACACAAAUUUGAUGGGUUCUGUAUCCCUCUUUCCAUACCCAGGAUUUUAUCAAGUUCCUUUGACCCAGUGAGCAUUUUGACAGUCUUGUAAUGAUGUUCUAGCUUGGCAUUUAAGUCCGAUGAUCGAGCCUUCUCGUUUUUCACUUGUUUCUCUAGUAAUUCAAUUUGAACAACAAGUCGUACAUUCUUCUUUUUCAGAACUGAGGUAUUUGCCUCCUUUUUUUUCAUCAUCAAGUUUUUUCCUGAGGUUUAUCACCGUGUCUUCCAGCCAGCUUUUCUCCUUUUUGAGACAUAGAUUCUCCUUACCAAUCUGGACUACCAUCUGACACAGUUCUUGAUAGCUAAUUCCAUCAUCACCAUCUGCACUUGACUGGUCAUCAUUAGUAUCAGUUUCUCCUUCCAGAAACUCUGUGAUGCCAAUGAAUGCUGCGAAGUUAGCCAGCUCCUCUUCAUCACUGUCUUCUUCUGAGUCUAUCUCAUCAAUUCCGAUCAUAUAUUUCUCACGUCUCCUCUUCUGAUCGUUGACGCAUUCCAGUUGCGUGUGUCCAAUUCCUUUGCACUUGUAGUACUUGAUUUCUCUCCUUCGAACAGUUGGACAAUCAGUUUUGUAAUGUCCAUACCCCUUGCACUCAUGACACUGAACCUCCGCUUUAUGAUCGUUCUUUUCUGACUCAGAUUUCCGUUUCUCACCUUCUGCAGCACGUUGUGAUGUACUUCCUCUUCUCUGACCUGAUUUGGCUCUACGAAGGACUCUGUCAAACAGCCUAACAAGCGUACUUACUGGAUCAUUGUCAUCUUCUUUGUCAUAUAAAUCUUGUGAUACCAGUGCAACUCCCUUUCCUUUCUUUCCUCCGUCAAUCUCCAUUUCAUGUGCUCUCAGCAUCCCUACAAUUUCAUCAAAGCUUAUCUCAUCUGUAUUCAGUGAAACUGACAUAGUUGCCUUGUAUGCGGUAUACUUAGAUGGUAGACACCUUAGAAACUUCUUGAACAGCUUCUUAUCCUUGUAUUUCUUUCCCAAUACCAACGAUUCCUGAGCUAUGCCACUGAGUUGUGAGCUGAAUUCUUCAACUGAUUCACUUUCUCCCAUUUUGAUAUUCUUAAACUUGGAUGCUAGAUAAUCCAGUUGUGAGCUCUUCACUUUUGACGUUCCUUCGAAGUGAUUUUGCAGUAUUUCCCACGCUUCCUUGGCGGUCUCAAAUCCUUGAAUCAGCUCAAAGUGUUUCUUUGUAACACUGGCGUGUAUAGCUGAAAGUGCUCUGGAGUUGAACUUCGCCAUCUUGAGUUCUGUUUCGGUCCAAAGUUCUUCUUCUUUGUUGGAUUCAACACCAUUCUCGUCUGUAGCCUUUGGUUCUGACCAUCCAGUUGUCACAGAUUUCCACGCCAUGGCAUCAAUCCCUCAAAUGAUAGACCUCAUUCGUGACUUCCAAAGUCCAUAGUUGGAUCCAUCCAACAUCACCCUUGUGCUUGACACCACCUCAUGAUAGUUCUCUAUUUCUUCCGCAGGAUCUCACCUGUUAUAUAAUCGAACGGGUGACUGCUCUGAUACCACUUGUAAAUGCAAGAACUACCUCACAGAGUAAAGCACAGAGUACACCAGAGAAUAUCUCUACAAAGAUAUGUGUUAUUACUAGUAUUUGUUUAAAGCGAACUUACAAGUAUCUUUUUAAACAGAAUUCGAACAAGAUCAAGACCCUUCUUCACUUGCUCCCCUAGCCUUACACGUCCUAAGAUCGAAUACAAGAUCUCUAGAACCUCUACCUCUUAGCCCUUAGUGUUAUUCACUCACUUACAAGCUUAGCGAACUCCACUCUUAUGCUAAGAAUACAAUUCUCUCGACGACCCUAAUCCACAGGUCGAGUAUGACUAUAUAUACAAUUCAUCUAAGUCGGCUAUCCACGCCUAUCUACCCAAAUAAGGAAAGUUCCCUAAAACCUCUCCAAGGCCUUUUAGAAAACUUCCAUCGUGAGAUCUCCCUUCUCCAAGGUGAAUCUCUUCAAGCUUGUUCCCCAAGAUAUCUUCGUAUCAACUUAGCCUUGAUCUGCAAUCCAUUCUUCAAGUCGCAAUCUUCAUCUUGACUUGUUCAUUCGCACGUACACUUCUCUGUUGCAGACUCUGCUCCCUUCGCUGCUAUACUUGCGUCUGUAUCAGAACGUCCAUCUGAUCUUUGCAUCUACACCUUAUGUAGAAAAAUGCAUCAUAGUUGCCAAGUCCCUGGGUACUUUCCAUAGCCACUUUCAGAAUCUUCAAAUUGGUCAGACUGUGUUUAUCACUGCCAUUGUUCAUGUUGGUCGUGGCAGCUGCAAGUUCCAAGUACAAAUGGAUCCAGUCAUUGUCUUGAAGCUCCGAAUCCUUGAGCUGAAAAUAAAAAAGAAGGUAGUAUAUCACUAAUUAAUAAUUGUUGAUUAUAAUAAUCCAAUUUUUUAAUUAAAAAACAAUCAAUUUACCAAGUAAAAUCGGUUUGUGUCAUCUUCAAAAGGGUUCUCUUGCGGCAAAUCAGGCACACUGGGAUAGUUAUCCAAGCAUUCUCGAUAUCACCACCUGUGAUGGUCUUCUUGAGCGAGAUUUGAUUAAAUUCAUCUUCUUCGAAAAAACUAAAACAAGAUUUGAUAAAUUCAUCUUUUUCAAAUUGCAGGUCUCUAGUUACUUCUUUGAAAUCCUAGAUUGAGCUCGAUUCUUGUUCUUACCCGCCAUCACAUAGUAGAUAAGUUUUGUAGUUUAUUAUACCAAAAAAUGUUUUAGUUCCUUUGAUGUUCAUACCCAAGAUAAAGUUCUAAAUACUAUUUUAUAAUCAUUUAGGGUAUGAAUGGUGACCAAGGAACGACGAUGAAUAAUGCAUUCUCUAACAUUUCUAUAAAAAAAUCACUAUUCACAUGGAAUGAUUUUUUCUUCUCAUUCCCUACCAUUUCUUUUUUUUGUAGAGAAAUAAAGAUCAAAGUUAUUCCUUGUUAAAUAUGGGAUGAAACCAUUCGUUUUCAUUCCUGCAAUUUUAUUCAUCUACAUUCAUUUCCUAUUCGUUCCUCUUUUUUUCAGAAUGGUCACUGGCCGGAAACUAAUCUAAAAUGUGUUUUGUUAUUUGGGGAAUUGGAUGCAAUAACCAAAAAAAAAAGGAAAAAUUUGGAAAAAUAUUCUGCAAAUAGAUUUUAUUUUGAAAAAUACACUGUGUUUUAAUUCUUCUUAAACUAAAUUUUUUGUUAAGUUAAAUGACUAAAUUAUCCUAACUAAAAAUGUAUAAUUACAUUAAGAAUUUAAAUUUAAUAUUUUAAAAAAUAAUAAUUUAAAUGAUAAAUAGUAAGAAAAAAAUGAAAACAAUCAUAGUUGAAGUCUUUAACUUGAAGACACAAUCUUUUGUGUGAACCAAAAAAAUGUCUUCAAAAUCUUUUGUGUGAACCAAAAAAAUUCAUGUAGUUUGGAACUUACCAAAUUUUGAUCUAGUGUUAUUGUGCUUUAUAAGUUUUGAAUAUUUCCACUCUUUUAAAUUUUUUGAACAUAUUCAUGACUAAUGCAACAAUUUAUGGCCUCAUGAAUUUUAUCACUUAGUGGAGAAAUUUCAUUUUUAUUGUGACAAGUUCAGUGUGAUGAUGAGUUUUAAUUACAUAAUGCAUUAAGAAAGUGAUAAUUUUUUUCCAUACUAAUUUCUGUUUAUAUAAGAUUAAUAGUUUUCUAAAUGAUAAACAUUGAAUUUUUAAAUUAUUUGUCCAAUUCUAUAUUUAAAUUAUUAAAUUAUUAAUAUAUUUUACCUCAAUAAUUUCGAAAUUUAAAUUUUUAUAAGAUAAUAUUUAACUGAAAUCUGAUCAAAAUGUCUUUUUACAUAUAGGACAAGUGUAAUUUUCAAAAACAAAUUAAAUCAAUGCAUUUUUCAAAUUUGAUAACAUAAACAGAGUAUUUUCCUAAUUAUCCCCCAAAAAUAUUAUAAUUCAUAAUCUAACCAAAAAAAUUUUUACCACGAUAUUCAAUGUAUUUUCUAUAAUAUUUGCCAAACUACCCGUACAAUCAACCGGUGUGGCCACCUAAUCUCUGCUUCUCUUCUCUUAAUAUCGAUGAACACAAAUCAGAGGUCAUCAUGUUUCACUCACUUCCACCUAUAGAAUCAACACCACUAUCACCACUGUUUCUUUAUUCCGCCACCAUAUUUGCUGCUGCCACCAUCAUAUUUGUCGAAUCAAUUGGUACCGCUUUUUUUUAACCACCAAUUGGUACCGCUUCCGUAUAGUCUUCUCCGUGUUGUAAAUAGAGAGUUUAGAGACUGAAUAUUUCUGUGUUAUUAUUAAUGAUCAAGGAGGUUCCUUUAUAUAAGGAUUACAAGAUGAAGAUAAAUUGAAAGUAUCCAAAACCUAAACUCACUAGGAUUAGGAAAACUACUAAUACAUAAUAAUGGAAAGAUUACAUCUACUAGGAAAAGGAAAGGGUUUCUUUUUCUCCAAGCUUUGUGGCCGCCUCUCUCUCUCCUGAAGUCGGCUCUCUCUCUCCUCUCUCUAGGCUUCGGCCAUCUCCCCAUCUUCUAGGUUAUGGGCCGGUCUUGGACUGGGCCUGGUUAAUGGCAAUCCACUCCAUGAUUUAUAACACUCUCCCUUGGAUGCCAUAACAAUACAGGAUUUGUAGUACGCUUCAUGUUGCCUCAUUAAAACCUUAUCAGGAAAACCCAGUGGGACAAAACCAUGAUGAAGAAAAAAGAGUACAACACGCACUACUCCCCCUGAUGUGAACCUCAGUGUAGGUUCUACAUUCUACGCAUCUUGGUGCGUGAUAUUUCCUGUAUGUAUAGGAUGGGAGUAAUCGGCCAGUUUCAUUACUGAACCGUAAUUAGACCACUUCGACUUCUUAGGUUGUUUCUCAUGUCAUUUGACAUCGAGUGUCCCGGUAAAGCAUAUGUGCUAAGCAAUGUGAAUCACAUUGUCCUCGGAGAUCACUUAUUGGGUCUUUGCAAAUCGUAUUUGCAUGUAUCCAUGGUCUAGACGUGUUUGUCUACUGUCAAACUCUUUACUUUGGCCAUUAUAAUUACCAUCGAUCAUGUAUCAAUCUGGUCGAUCUAUGUUCGGGUCAUAGACCUCGUCCAUACGUGUCCACUACUUGUCUCAUGGGUGUUCAAGAUCAAUGAUCAUUACUGUGAGUUUAUAAUCUCUUAUUAUGGCUCUGCGGCCGAACACUCUUAUGGAUGUGGACAUCGAUUUCUUUGCCUUAGGUAAUGUCGUAUUCAUUAUUCUUUGCAUUCCUAUCUUAAUGAUGAUGAUGGCGUCUCAUGACCUCAGUUGCUGUGGAUCAUAUCACAUGCUAAGUAUACAUUAUUAAGUCAUGGACUUCGGCUUUCACGAGCUUAUGGACUACAAUACUUUAUAUCCGACAGGUAAGGAUAGAUUAAACAUCUCCUCUUAUCCUUACGACAAAACUUUGUGGAGUUUAUACAGCAGCAGACCGUUCUGCUAUGCCGGAUCCUUAAGGGAUCUGAUUGUCGGAUUGCAACCUGAUGGUUGAUCUUUUCUACUAGCCCGUGAUCAAAUGAUAAGAGCCGGACGCCUUUUAGCAGAAGGGGCCAGGCGCCUUUAUCUGAAAGACGGAUGCCUUUUAGCUUAAGGGCUGGACAUCUUUAGUCGAAGGACCGGACGCCUACAGAUACGUUCUGUAUCAGUCUACUAACCUCUUUUAAGUUUAGUACAAACACAAGGGAUUUGAAAUGUAUAUGGACUGUUAUUGGAUUGUCUCUUAUACAACUCCAAGAUCAUGCGUGAUCACUUUCUUUUACAUACUAUAUGCAGCUGCUUUUCAGUCCAUGAAUCAGCUUAGGAACAAAGAUGUUCUUUCAAUUUAUCCAGUGAUCCAUAUGCUGCUUACUACAUCAUUUGUAUCUAAUUUCUUUUCUUAUAAGCAGACCAUUUUCAAUUUCGAAAAUCUGUAGCAGCAUCCACCACAUAGGAGUUUAUCUCCUUAUAAUAUGUUCCUUUGAUCUCUGUGAGUACCUUGUGUAACAAGCUAUAAUCUAAUGUUGUUAAGUAGGAAGACAUGAACACUCUUAGACCUCGUGAUCAUGUGCCUUCUCUCACGGUUUCUUUAUCUCACAAGAUCCAUCUAUUUCACUGGUUUAUCAGAUGGCGUUUCUGUAUAUGUAUAUGGCCAAUACGCCCAUCUUUCUUUUAGAUACUUUGAACCUCCACGUUUUAUCUUUUCUAAUCUCUAUGAUCUUUUAUGAUUGUAUGAGUACUCAUUUGUGGGUUCAUGAUCCUCGCUUAUCUCUUUGUGUUCAAGUGCUAUAACUUUAUGUAUCUAUUAUACAAAUGUGUGUGUGUGUCGACACUUUCAUGUGGUUCUAUUAUGUUCCAGACAUGAUCUGAUCACAUUGAGAUUUCAUUAUCCAGGACCUUUGUUACCUAGUAGCUUGGCGUCCCAAGACUACAUGGUUUGGUACCUUAGAUGUGUAGAUGCGCAGCCUUUUCUCAAUGUCUGGUAUGGUUUCUCUUAUAAUCUCGGAUUUGUAUUCUAUGCACCAUUUUUCUAUCCGAGUUUCCUUUAUCUUAUGGAACACUUGGUCUAUCUUGUAUAGACUCUAUAGCGACUUGAUUAUGUCUCUUCUAGGACAUUCAUUUGGUGCUAAGCUGGUUAGUCAUUUCUCGGGUCAGUGUCUGGCAUUUCGAUUAGCUUCUCAAUUAGCUAGAUUUAUAUAAUCUUUCUUUGGAUGUCUUAAAUCAUAAUCUCUAGUCCGAGGAUCUUUGCCAAGACAAUGAUGGUUAAAACCAUUCGUACUUUUAACAUUCUUUAUCCAGCUUAUAAUCUUUCUCCUUUAAUAUUCGGAUUCAUUUGAUCAUGCAAUCCUUACCUGGCCACUAUUUUGAUCACCCAUGUUUUGGCUCUCAGUCCUUUUUAUUUCGUGGAGAAGAUCUUAUUCUUAUAUAUUCCCAAUCCUCUUCUGAGGUUCCAUCUUAGACGGCACAUGUAUGUAUGUGGUGGUUUAUUCAAAAUCUCUUAAGAUGGUGUAUGUCUGGUUUUAUGACCCGUAUUCAAUCUGAGAUGGGAAUAUCUAUGCUCACAUAUAUGUCCUGAUGAAUAUUAUCAUUCUAUACAUGUAAAACAUAAUGUCUCCAAGCUUAUAGACUUUAGAAUCUUAGUCUUAUAGAUAAUGGCCCCUCUGGUCGGUUAUGGCCCUUGCGGCCGACCUGUUCAUAACAUGGUCUCUUUGGCCGAGUAAUGGCCUUAUGGUUUGGCUGUCCUAAACAUGGUUUUAGGCCAUAGUAGUACACGAGGCUGGUUAUUGCCUUUGCGGCCUCGGCCGUUGUCUCUCAUGGCCUUUAUUGUUUGGCCGUUAUAGUAGUACACGAACUUGUAGUAUUGUUCAUGGGUUUAUCCUCUCUCCCCCUCAUGACCAUACUAUAAGGUCGUGGUGCUUGGGAUAAUUAAGCCUAAUGAGUUUCCCUUUGUGUACAUGUUUCACAACAUGAGAUCUUUUACGGGAUAACUCUGUGCCUUUUCAAUAUUUGCAUCAAGUUUAGACUUUAGGAUGGCUAAUCCUAUCAUGCCAUAGAGUGUAAAAUUUCGUGGUGUAUCUCAAUAUGGUUACCACAUCUCUUGCCUCUUUAUCAUACUGAUUUGUAGCAUAGUUUUGAUCAGUAGAGAUCAUGGGUAUAGUCUCGACCACUUUCUUUCAAGGUUUUAGGCAUUUUUAUUAAAAUCUAAAGGAAUUUGUUUCCUUCCUUUCCCAUUGUUUCUACUUGGAAACCAUAUUAUCAUAACUCAAUGGGUCACAUAUUAUUGGGUGUGUAUAAUGCCUUAUAGGCAAUGCCUUAGCCAUAGUUUCUUUACUAUGCUUACUAUACCCCUUUCAUGAUUUCUUACUUGGUAUUAUGCUCUUUAGGCAAAAAUAGAAUCAUUCAUAUGUUCAAGUAAGAUCAGGCAAGAUAAUGAAUUCAAAACCAUUUCCAUUGUAUAUGUAAAAUCGUGAAUGACAAUUGGGUUAAAGCAAAUCACAAAUCAAGGACUUUAAAAUAAAAUGUCGAGAUCCCUCUUAGUCAAUAGACAUGCUGGCCACUCCUUGAGUUAUAUUGGACACGGCUCCCUUGGAUUCAUCCUGAUCCAUAUCAGUCUUAUUUGUAUCAGGGUAUCUCAUCUCACUGCUCCUCUUUAGUACCUUGUCAUUCUCAAUCACCAUUAGGCAAGAGAUCAGGUCAUUGUAAGUGGUAGAACCUCUUUCUAUGUAGAUAUGUUUUUGACAACAAAUCUUCUGGAUGGAAUGUGGAGUAUGUCUUGAAUAGACAAUCAUUAUUUGUUACCUCUUCUCCACAUAAUCUCAGUUGGUACACGACCCUGGACAAAGCAAAGUGAAACUCGGCCACUGUAUCAAAGUCUCGGAAUCUAAGACUCAUCCAUUCAUGUUUGACCUUUGGUAAUAAUACCAUAGCGUAUCUGGACUUUAAUUAUGUCCAAAGGUCACGAGGAUUCUCAAUAUGUAGAUAUUGAUUUCUCAGUUCCUUAGUGAGAUGAUGGCGCAUUAUUGUAAUGACUCUUAACUUUUCACUUUCAGUUGCAUAAUCACCCUGAAUGAUACUCCUUCCGAGUCCUCUUGAUUUCAGGGUAACAGAAGUGUUCAUUGCCCAUUCUAGAUAAUUAUCUCCAAAGAGAUUUAGAAUGGCAUAAUCCUUGGGAUCAAAUCUCGGCAUCUGAAAUCAUAUUAUCAAUCAAUUCAUUGAUUUAGAAUUCUUGCAACCAAUUUAAAUAAUCAGUGCACAUGAUUUCAUAAGUCUCUCUAUAAUGCUUUAGGCCAUACGGCUUUGCAUUGUGAUGCUUAUACCUCACGGCCAUUAUAAGAUUCAACGAUCUUAAGGAUCGGAUCAUGAUGCAAUCUGGUUUAUAUAACCAUCCGGAUAAUAGGCCACACGGUCACUUUGAUAUUCACUAAGCCACACGGCUUUUAAUCAAUCAAGGGCACAAGGCCGCAAGUGUGAGCAAUGCAUUAGGCUACACGGCCGUUUGGUAUGUUUCAUAACACAAUGUCACACAAUCCAUAUCAAUUAAGUUUACCAAUUUCAAGGUUGGUAAUGUUUCAGCUAGAUUUUAGAAUCAAGUAAUCUAGCAACCUAACUCACAUUCAAUAUGUAAAUAUUCCUAAUCUUUAAAUCAAUGUUUCAAGCAAUGUGAGAUUUAAGGUUUUCAAGGCCUUUAGGAAUUUCAAACGAGAUUAAGGGUUUCAAGGCCUUGAGGAUUUCGAAUUUUGAGAAUAGAUCUAUCAAUCUUAAAAUCUCAGAUCAAUCAAUCAAACAAUCAAACAAUUUAGAAACCUCAAUGAUCAAUAGAUCAGAUGAAGUCAAAACUGAUUUAAGCUUUUAGGGUUUCUAGGGUGUUCUAUUUGAUCAUUAGAUCAUUAGGAUUUUGAGAUUCAAAACCUAUUAAGGUUCGAUUUUAAUUGAUUUAAUCAAUCUCAAUGCGGAUAUCGAACUUAAGAUAAUGAGCUUCGAUUUACUCAUUAGGGAUUGAUCUAUUAUCCUAGGUUUUCGAUUAGGAUUUUAUGGUUUCAAUUAGUUUCAAGCAAUCCAAAUUCGGUAUGGGUUCUCUAAAGGAUUUCGAAUUACCUCAACCUUAAGUAGGGUUGAAUGGACCACCAAUAUGAGAAGAACCGUGAGCUGGUCAAGCUUGAGAUCGUCAGUUCAUGGUCAUGUUAUGGAUCGCGAACAUCUUUGUGUUGAGAUCUUUGCACCAACUCCUCUCAGCUCAUAAAAUAAAAACAAGGAGUAUUAGAUUACAUGAACACCAUAAUUUGAACAAGAUAUCAUCAAACAACUAAGGUAUGAUAAACUUAUCUUUCACGGGAUUUGAAUUUGGCUAGAAAAUCUUGUUGCUUCGGAUUAGGGUUCCAAAAGAUCAAGACGGCGCCGCGUAUUGUUUCUGAGAGUGUGGGCGCGUCUGAGAUCAGAUCGACGAACGGUUUGCGCUGAUGGAUUUGUCUCGUCAAGGGCUUCAAUUUGAUAUGUGGCUCGUCGUCUGGUUCCUCAGAGUUUGAGAGAUAGAUCGAUUUUAAGUUGCGCCUGAUUUAGGGUUUAUGUGUGACGGAUUUUAGGUUAGGUUUUGUCUCAGGGUUUUGGAGUCUAUCGUGCUGAUAACGUGUUGUAAACCUGAUUAAUGGCAAUCCACUCCAUGAUUUAUAACACUCCGUAUCUUUUUAUGUUUAAACUCUUUUUAUUCGCAAGUCUAUUCUAUUAUUUCAUAUUAAAAAUUUAAUAUAGUAUAAUUUAGUUCACAAGUAUAUUCUAUUACUCAUAUUUCUAAAAUAUUAUCUCAGAAGUCAAUUUUUUAUGUGUCGCGCUUACGUUAACUCUCACGAUAGUUGAUUACACUGAUACCCUUAAUGAAUUAAAUAUAUUACAUUUAAAUACUAUUAUUGAAUUUUUAUUGAGUUUUCUUUUUAAAAAUUUCCAAAUAACAUAUAUAAUAAAAAGGAAACAUUUAUAAAGUUUUUUUAAAAAAACGAAAAGAUAUGUAUAUAUAAUAUGAUUUCAUUAAAAAGGAAAUUUCACAAAAUAGAAAUAUUUCGUUUAAAAAAUAUUUUUAAAUAACAUAAAAUAUACUUUUGAAGUAAUAAAAUAUUUCUUUAUAUCUAUAUUUUCUUAGUAAUAGAAACAACAUUCACACACAUAAUCUUGAUAUUAGAAAAAUAAAUAUUAUUUCUUUUAAAACAUAAUUUUAAACAAUACAAAAAAUCUAUAUUUUCAAAGUAAUAGAAAUAAUUUUUAUAUAUCUAUCUAUUCUCUUAAAUGAUUACAUAAACUGGUAUAUGUUUAAUUGACUAAAAAUAGUAUUAUUGAAAUGUUUUAUUUAUUUUUCAUAUAUUUAAGUGACUAUAAUAUCUUUCAAUUACAGUAAAAAAAUCCAUAAAUUAUAUUUUACUUAUAUAAUAUGAUUUUUAAAAUACAAUCAACCAAUUUUUUUAAACUGCUUAUUUCUAAGAUAUAUUAAAAAAUAAAAAGAAUUAACAAUAAAUAUCUUUUGAUCAAAUAAUUAUAAAAUAUUUUAAAAUAGCAUAACACUAUAUACUUUAACGAGGUUGAUAUAUUAUAUUUAAUCAUUAUUAAAUUAUUUGUUUUCAUAAUAUUACAUUUGCUUUUAAAUUUUAUGUUUUUUAUGUUUGUGGAACUUAAUAUGACCAUAAUUAAAAUACCAAAGCAAAUUUGAAUUCUUAGUUUUAAGAUUAUUUAAAAUAAAUUUCAGUUUACCAUUUAAUAAAUCUAAGCAUAAAAUUAUUUAGAAUUUACAAAAUAUUUUAAUUAUUGUAAAUAUUGAUAUGUGUUCAUGAGCUUCCAAAAAUGUAUCAGUUACUUAUGCAUGUAACUUCAUAUUGAUCAUCGCUUUAUUUUAUGAUAUUUUGUUUUAGAAAAAUCAACAUAUAAUUUAUUAAAUAUUAUGAAACUACAUGCACAUUUAAACGUUAAAUAAAAUUAAUUUGAUUUUACUUAAUCAUAAUAAAAAUAAUUACACUGCAGUUUGAAUUUGAAAGAAUAUAUGUAACUCAAUAUACUCACAACAUAAUGACUCGACUAAUUCAACUUAUAUCUAAAAUCAUGAUAACUUUAAUAAGAAUAUAUAAUUUAACAAUAAUAAUUUAUUUUAUAAAUGUAAAUUAUAGGAUGACUCAAAAAAUAUUAACAAAUGAAAAUAAAAUAUUAACCAACUGUUAUAAUUUAGUUUUUUUGUAAAAUUUAUAUAUAUGCAUGACAUUGUAGAAUAUUAUCGUUAUAUUAAUUUACGUAAUUUGGAAUCAGACACUUUAUUUUAUUUUAUAUUUCAUUCUAAGCACAAUAUAUCUUAAGUUUUACAUAAUCUUACUCAAAUAUAUUUACAUACCUAUGACAACAACCAACAUAAAAACAAAUAAGAAAAUUAAUCAAUAAGAAAAUUAAUCAUAUUUUUAAUAUAUUUAAAAAUAAAAAUAUUAUACUUGAAAUCAGAGAAAUAGAUGGAAUAUAAUAUACCCAAAUGAUAAUUUAAUCGACUAUAGAAACAACAAAACCGACUAGAUAUAACAUAUCUAAGUUCAUAUGUAUAAUUAAAGUAAUAUAAUAUUAUUAAUAUAAAUUAUGCAUACAAAUUAUAAAUUAAUUUAAAAUUAAAAAUAAAUAAUAAUAAAUUAUUAUAAUAUAAAUAUUUAUACAAUUUAAAAUUAUAAAUAAAUAAUAGUCAAUUAUUAUAAUAUAUUUAUUUUAUAAAUAUUUAUACCCAUGCAUGAGCAUGGAAAAAUCACCUAGUCAGAUUAUAAUUUUGUUUAAAAUAUUAUAAGAAUACAUUAUAUUUUAUAUUUGGAUUUAGGAUUUAUUGAUUAGGGUUUAGGGUUUAGUAUUUGGGGGGAGAGAGAGGAAAGGAGGGGUGGGGUGACAUUAAAGGUAGGUUUAUAAUUAUACUAUUUUUGUUUCGGAAAGAAAAUUGAUUCGAGAAGAUAAACAUUAUUGUUUAUUGUGUUUUAUUCUAUAAUAUACAUAUAGAAUAGAAAUAUAACACAAUAUGCAUUAUGUUUGUUUUGUUUGAUGGUUUAUUCUUAAUGUAGCGCAAUCUUUUAUAUAUAUAAAAAAAUGUUUGUCUCUUUCCUGUUGCGCCUCGUCAGCGCCAGGUCACAAAGGCGGAAGCUACCGUGCUGAAACGUGUCCCCUUAAGACGGUACACUGCGUUUCAUUAAUAGGACUGCGCACUUCGGUUGGGCUAUUCUUCUUUGAGGGCUUCGUGUAUUUCUUUUUUGUUGGGCUUUGUUUUUAAUUCAGACUCCUGUGCAAUUUGGUUGGACUUUUGACGUAUUGGGCCUUUAGUUAUUUUCGCAAUGAGAGCCGCUUUCUGAUUAGGGUUGUUAACCCCGUGUUCUUAUUCUUCGCCUCUACAGAAUUCAUAUCGAUUAGCUUUUCCCAAUCGCUGUUUCACCUUCUUCCUCAGAGUACGAAACGAUACCAGUAACGAAUAAUCAUCUUAAAAUGCUCCAUUAAUCUCUCAUACAAGAUCUAUAUUCAAUGUGAUUCCUGGAUUUCAAGGCGGUGGGGGCUCAUCUAUAAAAGGGUAUGAUUUCCUCCUUAGAUACUCAUCCUCUCAUUCUUCAAAGCUAACCAGUGAAGUAGGUCUGUGAAAUAUGGCUACGUUUCGGUCUUCCUCUCUGCAUUUGCAAGCUUGCCGCUCCUCCUCCACUGUUUAGGUUCAUUUGCUCUGUUUCUGGGAGGCUCGGAAUGUCCGUUGUGCUGGAGAGCUAAUGGGAGUUGAUAGGCUCCUUCUCGAUUCUCAGGUAUCUUAUUUACAUCCGCCUUUUGUUCAUGAACAUAGUCUUUCACCUGUGAGUUCUUUAGGAAUUUCCACCGUUCUGAAACUAUAUUCAAAGUCAGAUUUUUUUUAAUAAGUUUUGUUCAUAAUCAGCUUAAUUUUUCUGGUAUAAUUCUUUAUACGUUUCCUCCGUCUUGAAUCGGCAUUACAAAUUAUUUUAAGUUUUAAAGUCGUUGUUAAACAUAUUUCACUGAGACAUUUUACGACGUUUGAUGGAUUGUUGUUUUUCUUCCACGUAUGUUUCCAGUCAUGAUGCUGCGUAAUCUCAACCAGGCUUAUGGGUUAUGCAAUGGGACAAGAAUGAUAGUAAACCGACGUCAAUAUCCACUGCGGCUCUGCUAUGCGAUGACCAUCAAUAAAAAUCAAGGACAAAGUCUCAAACAAGUUGCUUUGUAUCUCCCUUGGAAGGUCUUCACUCACGGCCAGUUGUACGUUGCGUUAUCUCGAGUGACAACACCGGAGGAUUAAAGAUAUUAGACGACACCACUUAUUCAAACGGUGCAUAUGGAGAAACAAAUAUAGUCUACAAGGAGAUCUUCCAAAGCCACAGAGAUGCAAAGGUCAGCAUUGAACUGGUUUCGUUAGUAUGCUAUCUCUGAUCCGUUAUGUUUUUAAGUACUAACUUUAUCGCUUUCAUCGCAGGGAAAGCAGCCUAUGUGCUCUUGAACAAUUUUAUGCUUCGACGAAGAUAUGUUUUCAAAAUUACUAAUCAUAAUAUUUUCAGAACCUCGACUCUCUCUUCUCUUCAAAUUUUCCAUUUUCUACUUUUAUGAAAACCAUCAUAUUAACGCUAAAACAUUAGUCAAAUUUCUGGUUUCAUAUACAGAGUCCCGACAAAUAUUUACUAUGUUUCAUAGGUUUAAGAUAUCCAUAGAAUAUAUUAUACUACCAUGUGCAUAUAGCAAAGAAAAUUUAAAAAUAUCAAAUAAAUCAAGACAACUAAUGCGAAUCACAGCCUGAUAAAAUAAAAACCAACCAGUAAAAAAGUAGUCUAAAAUAAUUACAAACACAUAAAUAUAAUAGUAAUAGUUUUGAAAAAAUAAAAUAAAGAAAUUAUCAAUUCAUAUUAUUAAAUAACAAAAUAUUCGUUCACAUAGUUCCAUGGGAAACGCAAUUGGCUUAAACUGAAUUAAUAAAAAAAAACUCUAGGAAUUUUUUACCGAAAAUUCAAUUAUUCAUGUCGAUCAUAUAAAAAGAAAUUGUAUAAAAUAUAUUAUUAACAUAAUAAAAUAUACCACUAUAUUAUAUUAAAUCAGUGUUUUUGGCCUAUUUGGUUUGAUCGGUUUCAUAUACCAAAACGUAUACAUUUACCGUGAUCUCUUCAAUAGAACAUUUAACUUCAGAACCAAACAAUAAUAUUUGUUUUAAAAAUGUCUUGAUUAUUUUGGAUGUUGAUAUGGUUUAUUUGAUAAUUUUAAAAAUAUGUAAAUCUUUAAACAGUAAUCUGUUAUGUUUUAAGUUGAUAAAAACGAUAGGUUAAGUUUACUUUUGCAUAAUUUAAAACAGUAGAUUUAAAAGAGAUUGUAAAAUAUAAAAUAUAUAUUAACAUUAUAAAAUCGAAAAAAACUUAUUUGUUGAAUCUCAACCGCAAUUCUGAAUAUUUUCAGUAUUAAAAAUGCAAGAUAUUGACAUAAUAAAAAUGAUUUUUUUGUUAGUUAGAUAAACAUAUGAUUUUUAAUAAAAAUAACAAAACUAAAUAAUAAAAAUAUUUUAAAAUUACUUUCAAGCUGAGAAUAAAUUAAAUAUUAGUUUCUUUUAACUUCCCGGGCCUACCCUAGUAUUUAUAAUAAUAAAGUCAACUCAUGAUCUUUCCUCAUGCCUCCACGUCCUCAAGAAAAGGAGUGGUUUUCUUGGCACAUGUCGACACGCUGUGGUAUGUGGGUUUCUCACGCGUUUAUUUUUUUUUUAAACUCUUACGCUCAUGCGCGUCGCGUUUGUUACGGUUUAGUGAUGUUUGCUCAAUUUUGGGCUUCGCUUCUAUUUUUAUGAAUUGAGCCAGCUUCUUAUUUGAGGCCCAUAUGUAUUAGGUUCUUCUUCCUUCUUCUUCUUCUUGCGUCUGUUUCUUCGUUGUCGCCGACGAAACCACGCCCCGACUAAGACGACGCCCUUUGAUAACCGUAACGUCUCGCAAAUUCUUUAAUCUGUCAUUUAAUUUGGGUUUUCCCUUCAUUAGUCCACAACUCCCACAUUAAGAUUUCUAUCUACCUCUUCGUUUCCACGGUAACUCCCUGAAUCUACAUCUAUAAAUAUUGGACCUUCCUAGGAUGCAAAGUCCAACUCACACAAACUCGAAAAGCAAACAAAUAGACCCACAUAAUCUUUUUCUUGAAAACUCUGCAGCCUUGAUCGAAACUUCUCACUGUCAAAGCUCUGUUUUUUUUUCAUCUUAUCGGCCACCAAAACUGGAGACUACGGAACGAGGAUCAAUCGAAACAACGUCUUAAAUGCUGUCAUUAACAAUAUCUCCACCAUUACUUCCUUUUUGUUAAUCUGGGAGAAUCCUCAACUAUGAAAUGUAUAUUCUAUCCAGUCAAAUUUAUAUGUUAAAUCUUUUCAAUUAUAAGUACUUUUUUUCCAUUUUUAGUGUUAUUGUUCUUCAUGAGAAGAGAGAUCGAUUUUAUUUUUUGUUCUUAGCUUCUUCUGUUUCUGAAUUUUUAAUUUUAAAAUUAAACUAAUUUGACGACGGCUACACAGAAGAUUGAUAAUGAGAGUUUGAUCUUUAUCCAAAGUCUCAAUUUUUUUUUAAACUUUGUCGUCGUCUUCUUCUUGAACCAGAACUUUGUCUUCUUUUUUUUUUCCUUUUUUACUUACUUUUCUUAUACCAUCUCCAACCCAUACCUAUUUUUUUCUUCUAUAAUUCCCACAAAAAGAUAGUAACUCUAUUAUAAGGUAAGUUUUGCUCCAAUGGUUUACUCUAUAUAUAGAGUGAAAAAAUGAAAUCCCUCUAUUUUCUCCUCUAUAAAAGAUUUACCCUAUUAUAGAGUAAACCAUUGGAACAAAAUUUACUCUAUAAUAAUAGAGUUACUCUAUUUUUGUUUGAAUUAUAGAGGAAAUAAUAGGUAUGGGUUGGAGAUACUCUUAUGUUUAUGUUUUAAAAGUUCUUGGCUGAUCUGUUCGAUUGGGUUUGUUCUUUUCAGUUUGUAAACUGAAUAUUUCUUUAGUUCCUGUUGUUCUAUGAUACUGAAUGUUUCUAUCAACCAGCAGGAGCCAAAAGAGAACUGACCUCCGUGAAGAAGCUUCGGCACAAUUGUCUACGGGAGAUGACAAUAGUGAGUCUCUUAACGUUUUUAAUAAGUUCUCUUAAAUGACAAUUUUUACUAAAGAUACAUGAAGCUAAGCGUUCGAAUAACAAGCCAAAUACCCAAAACCGAAUCAAUAGGACAUUCUGUAUCUCUCUGUUUUUAACCUUUAAGCAUAUACAAAACUUAACCAAAAAAGGUGGAACUUAUUUUGCAACCCACUAUGAUCUGUGCAGCUCAUUCAAGGCACCUUUUCUAUCUACAGAUACACUACAUCAAAGUCUUCGAUUGACCUCUUCAAUUCAUCGUCACCGUCUUCUACGCCCCCUUAAUAUUUAUAUAGUUAGCUUUUGGAAACAAAUGAUAUUGAUGUACAAAAUGAUAUUGGAAAAGAUUAAGGAGAACUUAUAGUUUGCUUUAGUAAAUUCAUUGGUAUACAUUAAUUGGUGGUGCAAAAUGGUUCAUAUUAUGGUCUUAUAGCAAAUGAGUAUUAGAGUAAGUGAUAAAGUUUUAAGCAAAUGUUCCCAGUAUUAAGUUUUUUUUUUUUUUGCAGGGGAAUCGCUGUAAUACAUUUCACGUGGUGAGUUUCUUCCUUGAACCAAAGCUGCUCCACUGAAAUCUCGCCUCAAGAAGCUAGGAACACCAUUUCCUCCCAUCUAUGUUUCAGAUUGGAAUAGAAGAAGAGUAAGAUGAAGAAAGAACUAUCAGGAAAAAGGUCAAAACUUUGUAAGAGAUCAUCGAGAGAAGGUACAAAAUUAAGAAGUUGAAGGAAGAGCUAUAGAUGAUGAUGAUGAUGAUGAUUCAACUAUUAAGAAGCUUGAUCUAAACUGAGAUGUUGAUUCUUGUUAAGACAGACCAGCUUGAAAUGCAACAGUAUGGGGAAUCACAAAUUUAUAAUAAGCAUGUAAUUUAGGAAAAAAAAUUAAAAUGUAUUUUAUGUAGGGUUAAUUUUAAAGCAAAUACAAAUUAUUUAUUUGCGUUAUUUGGUUUGAAGUGCUAAUUUUGAAAAUUUUAAAUGUAAUGUUUACAUACAUUUUAAUGAAUUUAAGGAAUUUUAAUGCUAAAAUCUUUGAACUAAGUUUGGUUUAUGUAAAAUAUUUAAACUAAAAAUUUACAAGUAACAUCGAUUUGUUUUACGGAUAACGUAGACGUUUAAUCUAAUCAGUUAAAUAAACUCAGCUAAAAGUUUUCAAGUUAAUUAUAGUACAUGAGAAUUUUACCCAAAUCAAACUUAAUUGAAAAGUUUAAACAUUAAAAAUGAUUUGAGUUUAAAUACUCAACAAUACUAAUAUAUUAACUUGUGAUUAAUUAUUUAAUUAAAUUUUAUUACUUAGAAAUAAGUUUGAACCGUUUGUAUGUAUGAAAGACACUGCAAACAAGUUUUCUAGUUUUUGUUACAAAGAAAAAUAACCGUUAGAACUGAGAAAACAUGAAGAUAAAUUUAAGAAUAAAAAUAACCUUUACUUUAAUCAUGCACACUAUUUUUUUUGUAGGUAUAAGAACAGCGAGAAACUUUAUACCGAAACCACCUAUCUCUAUUUCUUCGUAACUCUUCCGUCUUUCUAAAACGAACGAUACGAACUCAGCCAUGACAUCACGGCGCGCUACACGAUCGAUGGCGUCACUUCAUGGGAACUCAUUGCCGGUUCCUGACGAGCUCGCUAUGGAGAUAUUCUCGAGGCUGCCGUCGAAGGCGAUGGCGAUGUGUCGUUGCGCAUGCAAGCUCUGGUCCUCCAUGCUUCGCCGUCAAGAUUUCACAGAGCUUUUCUUGACCAAAUCUUGCGCUCGCCCUCAGCUCCUUUUCGCCUGCAAUGAUCACAGCGUCAGUAAGUAUGUCUUCAUCUUGUCGCCUCAGCCUGAAAAUCCGGAAGAGAACUCGCAUGUUGUAGCCUCCAAUCACCUUGCGUGUUUCCCAAGUUCCUAUGAGUUAUUUGGUUGUACGAAUGGCUUCUUGUGUUAUGGAGCUAAGCGGAUCUUGGAGGGGAGGAUAAAUCCAGCGUAUGUCCCGGUGAUAUGUAACCCUAGCACGGGACAGUCUUUGAUCUUACCAACAUUGAAGUCGAGGAUGAGGGUUGGAAGCGAGAGCUAUCUUGGAUAUGAGCCCAUUGCGAAAGAGUUCAAGGUGUUGUCAAUGGAAAGCUCGUAUGUAAGUGGUCACUCUGUGAGGCACCAAGUUCUGACAUUAGGAACCAAGAAACUGUCAUGGAGGUUGGUCGAGUGUUGCAUCCCACAUCGUUCUUCAAGUAAGUGGAUAUGCAUCAGUGGCGUUCUUUACUACGCAGCUAGUGCAGCUGGAUCUUUCGAGAAUUCUAUGGUCGUUUGUUUUGACUUGAGGUCUGAGAAGUUCUGCUCUGUCAUGUUCAGUAAAGCAAUGCCUCGUUCAACAACUCUAGUAAACUACGAUGGGAAACUAGGUUUGCUUAUGUCUGGAGAUUCUCAUGCUGUUACUCGAGCAACUACAAGUUUUGAGCUGUGGGUUCUGCUUGACGCUGGAAAACACGAGUGGAGCAAUCAUGUCUACGUAUUACCACCUUCGUGGGAGGAUGUAGUUUCCAGAAACAUGCGCAUUGCUGGAAUGGUUGGUGUAAAUGAAAUCGUCUUGGCCCCCUGGUUCCAAAGAGUGCCUUCUUAUGUCAUCUACUUCAACGUGGAGAGAAAGACGAUCACAAAAGUUGGAAUCCAAGGACCAGAAGCGUUUAUGGGUAAGAUGUUCUACACCUAUCUCAACCAUGUUGAGAAUGUGAAGCUUCUUUAAGUAAGAGAUGAGUAGUUCGAAAAUCCACCUCUUGUGGAAGUUUCAACAAGUGGUUGAUAGAUAAUCUUCUUGUUACAAACUCUUUAAAAAUGUAUAUACUAAUCCAAAAUAGAGAAGUUUAGAAUGUGAUCUUUCAGUGCUGUGAUAGAGAGAGUAAGAGUAAAUGAGCAGAAUGUUACUAGUUUGCCCGGACCCUUGUAGAAGAUAUGAUAAAUCACAAGUUGUACAUUUGACUUUUUGUGCCGUUUUGGAUUGUAUCAAGCAGAAUCUGAGUUACAUUCUUCGAGUGUUUAUCACAAGCCAAAAAUUUGCAAGAGAAAAGGUACAAAAUUAAGAAGUUGAAGGAAGACCUAUAGAUAAUGAUGAUGAUUCAACUAUUAAGAAGCUUGAUCCAAACUUAUAUGUUUAUUCUUGUUAUAUAACUCUUCCAAGUAAACGUUCAAAUCACUAUGAUGGAGUUAUGGAAAGCAUAAUGAAUUUACUUGUAACCAUUUUGCUGAAAGCAACGUAAAAGGAACAGAAUAUGAUUAUGGUUGCACGUUUAAGAAGCUUAAGAAGAUUAGAAGACUUUUGAAAAACAAGGGCCGUUAGAUGUAUGCCCAUGAUAAUGGUCCCCACGGCUGCUUUUGACAGUAGCUCAAACCAAAAGAAGAAACUUGAGUCGCACGUUUUUCUUCUAUUCGAGAAGAAGAAGAAGAUGAUGACUUUCUGGCUGGUGAGGUCUCCAAGUUUUAUCUUUAUCUCUUUAGGAAUCCUGUCUUAUAACAGCCUUUUUUGUUCCGUGCCUUGACUUUUCCUCUUAAACAAUUCGUUUCUUUGUAGGAAAUUUUCCGUUUGUAGCUUAUAUUCCUCAGAGAACCUGAAGGUUGCUGAAAUAGAGAGAAACAUUAUCACACUGUUGAACUGAUUCUUGUCGUGGGUAAAGCUUUGUCUUUUUGUUCUUACUCUUUUACCUACCGGCUCUGUUUGGCUUCCUUGUUAUCUUUGAUGAAAGAGUUUUUCUUGUUCUACACGUCAAAACUGUAAACCUUACCUUGAUUCAUUUUUCUCUCUGGUUCUUGACUAGGUAAGAUGAUCAGUCACUGUUAUUCUCAUCCUCAAUGCUGAAGAGACACUAGAUUUAAAAAAAAAAGAAAGAAAAGAGAGAUGGUCCUAUAGUUCAGACACAAACAAUCUGAACUGUUAGUUUGAUUGCCUUGUCUCCAUGGGACUACGCAUUGACAAAUCCGUUGCUAUAACGGUACUGAUUGUAGCCACUCUGAUGGUUCAAGUGAGAUGCCAAAGGCCUAAAGUGAUAAACCUCGGUGCUGUUUUCACUUUUGAUUCCGUUAUCGGAAGAGCUGCAAAAGUAGCUCUCGAGGCAGCUGUCUCUGAUGUGAACGCUGACACAAGCCUUCUCCAAGAAACAGAGCUACGUCUUUUUGUGGAGGACUCUUCUUGCAAUGUCUUUCAUGGAUCCUUCGCAGGUACCAUGAUUGUUCUUCUUCUUCAGAACACUUGUGCUCAUCAGUUAUGUUAUGGCACAUCAGUGCCGUUAUGGGUUCAAACAGGGCCAGCUCAACAAGAUGAGGGCCCUGGGACAAUUUUUUUUAGAUCCAAUAGUUAAUAAAUUUUAAUAAUAUUGCUAAAUUAUUACUAAAAAAAUAUAUAAUUUUUAACAGAUAAUUAAAGUUAUUAGUUUUGUUUAUUAGUGUUUUAAAUUUUUUAAAUCUUAGAUAAUAUUUUGCCUAAAUUCAACACCGUAAAUACUCAUUUUGUUUCAUAAUAUUUAAUGUUAUGACUAAAACACAUAAAUUAAGAAAUUUACUUUUUCUUUAAAGUUAUCAUUAAAAAUAUAAACUAUAACCAAUCAUAAAAAGAACACUAAAAUACCAUUGGAACAAUUUUCAAUAAAAUUAAAAUGAGCAUUAAAAUGUCAAAACAUCAAAAAAAUUUGAAACAUUAAAAACCUUCUAAAACAUUAUGUAUUAUGAAACGUACGAAGUAUAAGAAUCAAGCCCGACUCUGGCCUUGUGCUGAAGGUGCAUUUGCACAAGAUCCAUUUCAUAUUUUGUUUAGGAUACUCAUUAAAAAUAAAAAAUUUGUAUGAACAAAUGGGCCUAAAUUUUUUUGUUUCAGUGAUAAGAAUGCAGGUGGGCCGUGGGUGGAUGCAUUGUUUGUCUUCCCCCUGAGCCAAACCUAGUUCGAAAUGGGAAUACUACACACAACAUAAUAAACCUCUUUGCCGGCGUCGGGUCCUUCUCCCCGUCUCUUGUUUCUUCCUGCUCUGGUCCUAUAUCUUUUCGUCGCUUUUGGUUACGGAUUCCGUCUUCUCGCCGUCUCCUACGGCUCGCGUCCUAUGUUUCUCGAAGCUCCUCACACCAGAUCUGUUCGCCUCCUUGUACGAGUAGAGUCAACGCUUGGGUCUCAGACGAAUCCUCCUCUGCUCACCACCGCCAUCGUCCUUCCUUCGUCAAUCCUCGGCGCCGCUCCUCCAUGUGGAAACACAACCACCAGAUCAACUCAUCCAGGGCUUGGGCUCGCCGGAUCUAGAGGUUUGUGUAGAUCUAAAGCGCUUUCACCAUUCCUCGCCACCUUCACCUUUAACGAGACUCCACCAUACUGCAUUGAAACUCUUUCAUUUUGGAGUCCAAAUUCGUCCACCAUCCCCAUCUCCAACCGCUGUCUCUCACCAACCCUCGUCUAUUGCCUUGCUGGUCUUGGUCCCGUCGUGUAUCCCGUCUUCGUAACAGCGUCGGCUCACCAAAGACUCAACGGAGACAACAUUUCCAGAGAAAAUCUAUUGAAAUCUCCGGCAAAGCAAAUGCUCUUCCCAUCACUGCUCCCCCAACGUCCUUACCCAGAAGUUUACAAGAGACAUCUGUCAACCGGAUUUUUGAGCCCCACCAGACGUAGAGAGGCUGAGACGUUUUCAGAGAACGGCAUCGGCGAAUCUCUCAAACACAAAACCCUAAUCUGCACUCUCUUAGGUAAUUCAUGGGCUUGGGCGUGGUUACAUCAGUUGGGCCACAUAUAUAUUUUGAGAGGUUCUGGGGCCCUAAGAUUUUACGUGAUCUUCAUCUCUAAAUUCAAACAUCUGGGGUCUUAUUUGCUUUUGGUUCUCUUAGAGAUUCACAUAGUCUCUUCGGAAAGCUUUCUCGGUGGCUCCAAUUGUAGGCAUCUAAAGCCUCAAUUUCACGGCUCCAUCCGACAACUCCCUCCGACUUUGCAAGCAAUUAUGCUCGACUCAGUGUUGAAUUCAUCAAUGGAAUCGGAGAUAAAAAGAGUUUCAACCGACUUAUCAUUUCGCUUACCGAUCUGUUUGCUUCUCGGAACAUUUGAGAUUCACCUAGUCUCCCGGGACAUCGUAGACGGUAUUAGAGCUGUCCUCUUUCGUUUGACGGGUAACUUAGUCUCUAUUGGCUUCCCACCCCUCUUCCAACCCCUUUCACUAGGGUAUUUCAACGUCUUUACAGACUAUUUGAAGUUCUUCCGAACUGUGGUUUCAAGAAUUCAAGUGAAGAUUAUCCGCGGAUCUCUCUACUUCGAGCUAGCCUCUCCUUGCAACACUUCUAUCCCUUGUUUUACGGCUUUGUUGUCUUUUUUUUUUACUUUACCGUCGAGCAUACCUCCGGUUGUAAUCGCUGAAACAUUUUAGAUUUGAUUUAAUGAAUUUGUGUUACAAAAAAAAAAAUAUAAAACAUCUGUUUACUACUAAUAAAAACAAAGGAUAGAAAGCCUUUUUAGAUGCCAGAUUGUCUAGUUCAUUUGGUUUGUGGGCUCAGCUCCACCUCUUGGGUUCGAUUAAGGCAGAGAGAAGAGAAAGAGUGAUGAUACUAUGAAGUGUUUCAAAAAAAAAAAAAAGUCUUUUUAGAUAUACUUAUAAAAAAAAAAAUUUAGAUGAACAUCAGAUAUUUGAGUUUUCUCAAUUCUCAAGAUUAAUGUUGACAAAAAAAAAUCUCAAAAUUAAUCUAUGAAUGAGCUAACUUCUAGGUAAAAUAUAUUUUCAGAAAUCCAUUACAAAUAAUAAUAUGUUCAGGUCAAAAUAUAAGACCAAAUUGUACAUGCAAAAUGUAUAUAACGUUACAUGCCGUAAAAUCAAAAAUGGAUAGCCAGUUUAUACAGUCAAACCGGAUCCGAAAGUAUACACUUACGUACACACCACCGGGCGAGAAAUGUGGCCGAUUCUUAUGGUUAUAACUGAGUAUGAUGCGAUUAAUAGUGGAGUGCCUAGGGAGUAGGGAUGAUAAGUGUUGAAAUGUGGACACCAAAUAUGAAACCAAGACCAAGUCUUGGUCUAUAAAUUAUUUGGAACCUCACAUUUUUUAUAUUAUCUAAAACGAAACAUGUCUCGAGGUUUUUCUAUUUUUAAUGUAUCUCUGAGUCCUCCUGACACCUUACACUGUGCGCACGGUGUGAAAUGGAAGCAACCAGAUGAAGAAAUAGAAUUUGUUUUCUUGAGUUUAAGAAGAAGAAAACAACUAACGGAAGCUGAAGUCACCACUCCACUUAUCCGUCCCUACCCCAUCUCCUAUCGCCUUUAACAGUUUCUUCUUUCGUCUCCUAUCUCUCUUUCUUUUUUCACAUCUCUUUUUUUUUUUGCUAAAAUUCUUUUUCACAUCUCACGAAAACACAACACGAAUAUUACAAAUCACUUAUAUGGUAUUUUACAAAAAAUAUAUAUAUUCAGAUAGCUUUUCUUACUAUCAUGCACUUUUGAUAGUACUAGCUAGUCAGAAGAUGUAUUUCCUUGUUAGAUUUUUCUAUCUGUAGAUUUUGGGAUUACCUUUCUUAUCAGGAAGAUGUUUGUCUAAUUUUUUUUUUUUUUUUUGCUUUUAUUUCGUUAGUAUCAUUUUUGACAAAGAAUAAAGAUCAUACAAUAAAUAUAAUGGGUUGUCGACUAUUUUUUUCGUGUGACUAAGUACUAUCUUUUAUAAAACGUGCGUAUCAAUGUGUUAAUUCUUUGAAUUUUUUAAACUUUAUUAUUUGAUUUUCUUUUAAACAAAAAUUUCUUGGCGGGGGGUUUGGUAAUAUUAUAAAAGCCAGACGAGCCAGUCCAACUUCGUGAUAUCCAUAAUUAACGUGAGUCGUGAGAUUUGUUUUCUCUUAAAAUAACUCAUUUCCCAUUAUCCUAUCCGCCAUCCCUUCUCUAUAUAUAAAAAAAAACAUCUCUCUAAUUUCUACAACGAGACGACACCCCUUAUCUCAAUAGCCAGUUCGGUUAUGGCUCUAUCCGGGUCAUUCGUUUUAGCCUUACUCUUCUUCUUCGCUCUUUCCAUUAAUCCCCUUGAAGCUCGUGGACCCUUCGACCGGCUAGCCCGGAAGCCGCCGCAAAGGACUGCUGCUGAAGGCAUAUGCGCUUCCUCUGUCCGCAUAUUUGGUUACAAGUGCGAAGAACAUGAUGUACGAUAUACUUUUCUAUAUUUCGUUGUUAGUGAUGACUAAUAUCAGCAUAUAUAUAUAUGAACUGAGUGAUUUUAACUGUUUAAUCUCGAAGGUGGUGACUCAAGAUGGAUACAUAUUGAAUAUGCAAAGGAUACCGGAAGGACGAGCCGGCGCCGGAGAUAUGUCCAAGAGACAGCCUGUCCUAAUACAGCAUGGGAUUCUUGUCGUAAGUUUAACUCUUCUCUACCCUUUCGCAUUUCAUUAGCUAUUUAUGUGCAAUAUUUAAUCGUGAUACGUUUCAAGUUUUGCUUUAUAUUCAAAUUACAAGUGAAUUUGAAGAGAAUUUUUUUAAAAAGUACUACACCAAACAGAAGAAAUUAUCUUUUAAAGUAAGAAAGAAUAAGUGAGGAAAAUGUAUUAGGUAAAAACUCUAUACCCAAUUUUCACAAUAAUACAAAUGUAGAAACGAGUUUCCAUGUGCAUAGGUUUAUUUUAGGAGGAUAAACGUAUUAAUACGAAACUGUGUGGGGGCAAUACCAACGUGUAGCACUCGAAGUUCUAGUGGUUGCCUAGUGAGCAGGUACACGUACACUGAGUAAAUUUAUAUACAACUUCAUCGUGUAUUUGUUUGUAUAGUUAAUUUGAGUGUGAAAGGAAUGUUUCCACUCACUUCUAUGUGUCAGUUAACGAGGAGUAAAACUAAAAUAAAUAUUUACAUAUCUUAGUGGUGGGUAAAAUAUAACAUAAUAAAAUAAGAGACAUCAUGAGUGUUUAUCAUGUGUGUCCAACAAAUAAAGUGAUAAGUUGAGCGUUACUAGAAAGGUCACUAAAAUAAAGUCAAAUGAAAACAUGCUUUUCUAGUAAGGGAGAAUCGUUGUUUAAGCUAAGUUGCAUACAAUCAUACAUAAGUAACCAUGUUGACUCUAGUAGUCUUGAGGAUAGUAAAGGGUUUUUUUUUUACUUUGCACCCAUGAAGAAGUCCACGCUAAUUUCCAAAAAAAAAGUGACGCAGGUCCAGAAAAAUAUUCAAAUGGACACUAAAAUAGGAUUAGUAAAGUUCAAAGAGGAAUGGGGAUCUGGAAAAAAAUUAAAUCAUGAAAUUAUAUGUGCAGGAUGGGAUGUCGUGGCUGUUCAAUCCGGCGGAUCAAAAUCUACCGUUAAUUUUGGCUGAUCAAGGAUUCGAUGUGUGGAUGGGAAACACAAGAGGGCAGCAGGAGACACAAGUACCUUAGCCCUAAUCAACCGGUCCGGUUCAGUCAGCCACUCCUUAAUCAGUUGAAUAUGUUCCUCCUUAAUCAGUUGAUUAUGUACGGUUCAUGUUUUUGUAAAGAAACCGAGGUUAACCGUCUAUCACGUUGUACGUAGGCUUUCUGGAACUGGACGUGGGACGAGCUUGUGAGUUACGAUCUGCCUGCUAUGUUUGACCAUAUCCACGGCCUAACAGGCCAAAAGAUUCACUACCUCGGACACUCUUUGGUGGGUCCAACGUUAUCAACAUUCAAUAUAUAUUUUCUAUGUUUAUACCUUUUUAAUGUAUAUAGCUUACUUUACAAAAUAGAAAAUAUUUGAAAUGGGAAUAUACAUCAGGGAACUUUGAUAGGAUUUGCGUCGUUCUCGGAAAAGGGGUUGGUGGACAAAUUAAGAUCGGCAGCGAUGCUGAGUCCUAUUGCUUAUCUCAGCCACAUGACCACAGUUCUCGGCGACAUCGCCGCUAAAAGUUUCCUCGCUGAGGUCUCUACCGCCUCACUCUUCUAUUUUUUUUAUUUGUUAAAUUUAUGCCUAGCUAUAAUAUUACUGAAAAAUAACUCGUUUGUCGUCUUUACAAAACAGGCCACCGCCAUUAUAGGAGUGGCAGAGUUUAACCCCAAAAGGUAGAUCUUCACCAUGUCUUGCUUAUAAUAUGUUUGUUUUUAACUUUGUUUGCUAACGUGAAACAAUAAAACAAAUUUGGCAGUGGACUAGUAGGGAAUUUCAUAAAGUUUAUAUGCCAUCAAGCAGGGAUCGACUGCUAUGAUCUAAUCUCUGUUAUUACCGGCAAGAAUUGUUGCCUUGACGCAUCAACCAUUGAUCUAUUCCUGGCGAAUGAACCACAAUCUACUUCCACCAAGAACAUGAUCCACCUUUCUCAAAGUAAGUCGAACAAAAUUUUCAAAAAUGUAUUUCUUGAACCAUUACAUGCACGUGUCGUUAAAAUCAAGAUUAUAUUUAUUUUCUUGUAGCGGUAAGAGACAAGGUGUUAAGAAAAUACAACUAUGGAAGUAGCAAUUACAACAUGAAACAUUACGGUCAAGCGUUGCCGCCUGCUUACAACAUAUCGGCGAUCCCACACGACCUUCCGCUUUUCUUCAGCUACGGAGGUUUAGACUGUCUUGCCGAUGUGAGCGACGUCAGGUUUUUGAUAGACCAGUUUAAGUUUCACGAUGCAGAUAAGAUCGACGUGCAGUUUGUGAAAGAGUAUGCUCAUGCUGAUUUCAUCAUGGGUGUUACUGCCAAAGACGUUGUUUAUAACCAAGUUGCUACCUUUUUCAAACGACAAGUUUGAUUUUAGUAUAAAUCAUUAGGUUAUAUGUACUUUCAUGUGCCCCAGUAUUUUUAAAACCGGACCGGCUAGCAAACCGAAAUUUUUUGGGGUUAUGGGUCAUUGUGGUUCGACCGUAUCUGAACCGGGUUCGAUCGGAUUUACUUAGAUUAAACUAAAUUUAAUGAUAUUUUAUAAAUAAUAUGCAUUUUUUUUUAAAAAAAUUAGAUCAUAUCAAAAAAAUGUUUAAAUAGCCAUAAUGUGUAGAAAAUUUUAAAAAUAACAAUUAAAAUCUAAAAUCAAUAUGAAAAACACAUUUAAACUUUAUUACAGAUCUUAUCACUCUAAAUCUUCAUCACCUUUUAAAAAAAUUAUAUACGCAUUAGGUAAAAGUUAUAUUUUGAAAUACAAAUUUCAGAAACGUAAAUGUUUCAAUUAUUUAAAGUCUUCAAAACAAGUGAUCAUGAAAUAAAAAUUUAAACAAAAUGAGAAGUAGACAAAAAUAAUAUCUUGACUUGAAUAUUAAACUUUGUGAAUCUUGUAAUUUAUGAGUUGUAUAGACGACAAACGAAAAAGACGAGACACAGUAUGCUCAUGCUGAUUUCAUCAUGGGUGUUACUGCCAAAGACGUUGUUUAUAACCAAGUUGCUACCUUUUUCAAACGACAAGUUUGAUUUUAGUAUAAAUCAUUAGGUUAUAUGUACUUUCAUGUGCCCCAGUAUUUUUAAAACCGGACCGGCUAGCAAACCGAAAUUUUUUGGGGUUAUGGGUCAUUGUGGUUCGACCGUAUCUGAACCGGGUUCGAUCGGAUUUACUUAGAUUAAACUAAAUUUAAUGAUAUUUUAUAAAUAAUAUGCAUUUUUUUUUAAAAAAAUUAGAUCAUAUCAAAAAAAUGUUUAAAUAGCCAUAAUGUGUAGAAAAUUUUAAAAAUAACAAUUAAAAUCUAAAAUCAAUAUGAAAAACACAUUUAAACUUUAUUACAGAUCUUAUCACUCUAAAUCUUCAUCACCUUUUAAAAAAAUUAUAUACGCAUUAGGUAAAAGUUAUAUUUUGAAAUACAAAUUUCAGAAACGUAAAUGUUUCAGUUAUUUAAAGUCUUCAAAACAAGUGAUCAUGAAAUAAAAAUUUAAACAAAAUGAGAAGUAGACAAAAAUAAUAUCUUGACUUUAAUAUUAAACUUUGUGAAUCUUGUAAUUUAUGAGUUGUAUAGACGACAAACGAAAAAGACGAGACACAAUAUUUUAUUAAUCUUUGAUAAUUCUUAUUUUUACUUUAAAAAGAAGAAAAAUUAAUUGUUUCAUUAACAAAUUUUUGACUUAUAUACGAACCGGAGUUUGCUGGUUCAUUGGAUCGCCGGUUCCCGGGUUUUUGACGGUUCGGUAGAGGUUUUUAACUGGUUUGAUCUUAGUCGGGUUUUAGCAUUAACCCAAUCCAGAUUAUUUUCGGUUCAUGGUUCAACCUGGUCCGACCGUCGGUUCGGUCCGGGUUUAAAAACACUGUUGUGCCCAUAUUCUUCAAUUAUUUCCCACAAAAAAAGGGGCAAAAUAAUAAAGUUACAAUUACUAUAUUCUAUCAUUUUGUUAAAGAACCACCGCUAUCUAACUUAUUUUAAAUUAAUUAUUAAAAAAUUAAGGGUUUAUUUGCCAAAUUACAAAAAAAAAAAAAGAAUAGAUAGAUUUUUAGUAAGAAGUAAAAAAGAGAUAGAAAGAAAAAUAAAGAGAAAGAGGGUGUUUUUGGUUAGAUAGUGGGUUUGUGUUAUUUUAAUGGUUAUUAGAUUUGGAUCCGCGUGCGGGUGUUAAUUUUCAUGUUUAUAUAUAUUUUACAUAAUUAGAAUAUAUUUUUAAGUUACUUAUAUAUUUAAAUGUUUAUAAAUGAUUAUUUUAAAUAUAACAAUUUGUAAAAUAUAAAAAUUUGAUCGUUUUCAUGCUGUAAGUUAAUUGAUUAUUUCAAAUCAUCACAUAUAUUUGGUAUUUUUUAUUAUAUAUAUUUCAAAAUUAUUUUUUAUUCAAUUAUUAUGAUCCUGAUCCGUAAUUCAAAGCGCUAUAUUUCUUUUAUCAAUAUUUGUUUAUGUUUAUUCAUUUAAGAUAAUAACUAUAUAUAUAUAAAUUUAAGAUAAGUUAAUUUUAUACAUGAAUUAUCUAAUUUAUUAAUGUUAACCCAUUCUACCAACACAUUAUAUUUCUAGCAUAAAUUUUUAAUGUUUGUGAAAAUAAAAUAUAUUAAUUUAUCAGUUUAAAAUAAUUUUAUCAUAUUUACUUAAAUACAAUAUUUUAUUUUAAAAUGAUAGAUCUAACUAUCAAAUAGUAAAAUUUGAUAUAAUUUUUUUUUCAUUUUAUAAAAGAUAACUGAGUAUAUAUAUUAAUGUAUAACAACAUUAAUUUCAUUACUAAUUACAAAAUUAGUGAAAAUAUUUAUAUACAAUUUUUGAUAAUUAAGAUAUUGUUAUAAUGUUUUUCAACACAUUUGUUAAAAAAAUUAAAUAUAUAUAUUUAUAUUUUAAAUUAAAAGAUAUCAAAUUAUAUUAUGAUUUAAGUAGUUAAAAGAUUAUAUAUAAGCAUUAAGGAAUUACAUUUAAUAAAAAAUUUAAAUGAUGAUCCAAAUUAAAAUAUCACACAUGAAUCAAUGUGAGUUUGUUAACCAAUCCGGGUUUUUAGGAGUCGAUUUUAUAUUAGGAAUUAUAUAUUAUUAAUCCAUAUUAUUAGUAAUAAAUGAAUGAUAAUUGAUUUCUAGUUAGAGUCCAUUUAAAAAAAAAAUCACACAUGAAUCAAAGUUGUGACUUCUGUUUUAGUAUAAAUAUAUAAGAUUGAGGCAAAUUUCCCCAAAACAAAACAAACUAAUGCUAAAAGAAAAAAAAGAUAUAACCUAAUAAAUACGAAUUAUUUUACUUCAAAUCAAUUUUUUAGAAAACCAUUAGAAAUCAAAUAAAAUAAUUUAAUUUUCAGAUAUGUAUGAGCAUAAAUUUUAUUUAUAUUUGCCCUUAAAUAAACUACAAAAUUCGAAAAGCAUUUUACUUCAAAUCAUUUUUAAGAAACCAUUAGGAAAUAAAAAGAAAACAAAAUUCAGAUAUGUAUGCGCAUAGCUUUUAUUUAUAAUUUCACAUAAAUAAACUACAAAAUUCGAAGACAAAUUAUCCAAAACAAAAUCGUAAAACAAUAAAAACACUAAAAUACAAAUUCGAAAAACAAAAACAAUUAUAUAUAUGUGUGAAUUCAUGUUGGGCCAGUGGCCCAAUGAUGUAGUAUUAAACUUUCAACAGUCGAAGUGGGCUGUGAAGUUACGGGUCGGGUCUCAACACGGUCAAGUCAUAAAUUGAAUAGCUCCGGUGAGCAAUUUGUUUACUCUAUCGACUGAGACGCAGCGGAACAACGGCGACGAAGGAGAAUCAGGAGAAGAAGAAACGAAGCUGCGAAUCUUCGCAUUAGUAAGGUACGCUACUCUUUCUCGAUAGAUUUUUCAAAUAGUCUCCGGAGAUUAUCCAUACUCGUUAAAUUGUGCAUCAACCUUAGAAAACAAAAAAAAUUAGGGUUUUUAGGCUCCGAUUUCUCUAGGUAUCCGAUCUAUCGUUCCCUGAUGUUUGUUAGAUUAAUCAAACCGAAGAUGUUGUGGAAUCAUUAGAAAAGGUGUUCUCUUUAUGUGGUUUUAAACCAGAUUUGUAUUUGAAUUGAAGUGUAAAGAGUGUACUUUGUUCUGAAUUUUACAGGCAUCGAUGUCUGCUAACAACAACAAUCCACAGAAGCCUCAACAAGGCUCUGCGCCUCCACCAUUCGGCGUUAACCCUGGGAUGGCCUCUGCAUCUGUCCCCGGAAACCAAGGCUUUACUCAGUCUCACAUGGCACCUAACUUUCCAGCUCAGUUUCAAUUCUCACAAGCCCAGGCCAUGGCCCAUGCUCAAGCCCAAGCUCAGUCUAAAGCCCAAGCUCAGUUCCAAGCUCAGAUGCAAGCAGGGAUGACGAUGAACCAAGGGCAAGGCUCCCAGGGGAUUGGUGGUGUGUUGGGUUCGUCUUCUCCUUCCAUGACUCCUGGAAGCUUGAACAUGAAGAGGUUCCAGCAGAGGCCGCCGAUGCGGCCUCCUUCUGGUUUCCCCGCGAGUAACAACACUGUCUCCCCCAUGAGAACGAUGGAGUUAACUCCCGCGGCGAGGAAGAAGAAAAUGAAGCUUCCUGAGAAGUCUUUGCAGGAGAGGGUGGCGGCAAUCUUGCCUGAGUCUGCGUUAUACACGCAGCUUCUUGAGUUUGAGUCAAGGGUUGAUGCUGCUUUGAGUAGGAAGAAAGUUGACAUCCAGGAGGCUCUUAAGAACCCUCCUUGCACUCAGAAGACGCUUAGGAUCUAUGUGUUCAACUCGUUUGCGAACCAAAACAACACCAUCCCUGGGAAUCCAAACGCUGACCCGCCGACAUGGACUCUUAAGAUUGUUGGUAGGAUCCUGGAAGAUGGGGUGGAUCCGGACCAGCCAGGUUUUGUUCAGCAAGCGAACCCAUCGCAUCCAAAAUUCUCUUCUUUCUUCAAGAAGGUAAUAGUUAACCUGGACCAGAGGCUGUAUCCUGAGAACUCGGCGAUCACAUGGGAGAGUGCUAGAUCUCCUGCUCCCCAGGAAGGGUUUGAGAUAAAGAGGAAAGGGAAUCAGGAGUUUGCAGCUACUAUUCGGUUGGAGAUGAACUACGUCCCUGAAAAGUUCAAGCUUUCUACUGCGUUGAUGGAUGUUCUCGGGAUUGAGGUUGAGACAAGACCAAGAAUUAUCUCUGCGAUAUGGCAUUACGUUAAGGCGAGGAAGUUACAGAACCCAAAUGAUCCUUCUUUCUUCAACUGCGACGCUGCGCUUCACAAAGUCUUUGGGGAAGAGAAGGUGAAGUUCACAAUGGUUUCUCAGAAGAUAUCUCAUCACUUGUCACCUCCACCGCCGAUUCAUUUAGAACACAAGAUCAAGCUGUCGGGAAACAACCCGGCUAUAUCGGCAUGUUACGAUGUCCUGGUGGAUGUGCCGUUUCCGAUUCAGAGGGAUCUGAACAACCUAUUGGCCAACGCGGAGAAGAAUAAAGAGAUUGAGGCUUGUGAUGAAGCUAUAUGUGCUGCCAUAAGGAAAAUCCAUGAGCAUAGGAGGAGACGUGCGUUUUUCUUGGGAUUCAGCCAGUCGCCAGUUGAGUUCAUAAACGCACUGAUCGAAUCUCAGAGCAAGGAUCUGAAGGUGGUAGCGGGAGAAGCUAGUCGAAAUGCUGAGAAAGAACGUCGAGCAGACUUCUUCAAUCAACCUUGGUAAGCUCAUUAUCUAUGUUCUCUCUGUUUUUGUCUGAUAACUUCACUCGCUACUAGAGUUGUGAAAGUGUAGGAACUUCACUGAUUGAUUGAUGAUAUGUUUAUGAAUCAUGAAAUGUUGCAGGGUUGAAGAUGCAGUUAUACGUUACUUGAACCGGAAGCCAGCAGCUGGGAACGAAGGACCAGGGACCUGGUGAGUAUCUUGCAGGUACCUUACCAUCAAGUCUAAAGAAAAAAAAUGUUGUAGGAGCAAUCUGGUUUAUUUGUAAUUUCAUGUAUGAUGAAACCUUAGUACUUCAUAAUUUAGCUUUGAUUUGUAGCUACUUUGGUUGAUUCUUAAUUAUACUUUUGAUAAUAAGCCGAACGAAUAUAUAUAAUCUUAUCAUACCGUUGUGUUUGCAUGAUAAAACAAACAUAACUCAAGUAACUAAAAGUGUGUUUGUGCUUAAGCGCUGGUCAAUAAGGAAACUAAAUAUGGCUGGUCUGAACAAUAUAAAUUAGCCUAGCCAUGCUUAUAAAUAGUUUUCUUAUUUGUGGUUGAAACUUGAAAUGAUCAAACAUAGAAACGUCUUCACUUGCAGCACGCUAACGUUAGUUGAUCAUUUUUGUGUGUGGAAAAUAACACUUGAACGAUCUGCAAUUUGAAUAUUCAUUUGUUCAAGAGUCUCUAGUAUCAUAAAAAAAGGAGAACUAGUGCUGUCAGUUCUGAUAUGAUAAAAGUUAAAUCAUCAUACACCAAAAAGAAAGCAGUGCUGAAAAUAAUCAAAACUGGUUAUAUACUUAUAUUAAAUGUUUAUUUGAAAAAUAUCUGCUUCAAUCUAAGAACCGUUGAGUUAAAGUUGAACGAACUAAAUUAGAACAGGGUGUAUACGCUGAAUUCAAGGAUCAGUCAAAAGUCAUUAUCAUAUUAGAAUGGAACAAGAUCACUUUUUUCAAACUCAUCUUUUGGAUUAGUCUAUCCUUUUGUGUUUAACGACAAUAAUAUUAGUUACAAUCAUUAACAUUUAAUCAAAAUAAAAUUAUUCCAUGCAGAUGACUGACCUAAUGAGGUUUGUUUAAAUGUCACUCUCAAUAAAACCCCAUAACUCGAGAAAUGUCCUCGCUUAAGUAAAAGCUUAGAAGAUGGCAGUUGUAAAAUGCUGUCAUUCAUCUGUGAAUGUGACCUUUGUCAUUAACACACACACAAAAACACUUUAUUCUACAAAAGCGGCUAUACAUAUAUCUGGUGGCAUAUCAGAGUGUUGUGGUCCUUUAUAUCCAAGAGGGACCGUAUAGAGAGGAUGUAUACUGGUAGUGAUUCAAGAAAACCCAUGAUGUUGUCGUUCUUAGUGGGGAUGUUGUUCUUUUGCAUGGUGACCGAGUCAAAUGCUCAAUUGUCAGAGAACUUCUACGCCUCGACAUGUCCUAACGUGGAACUCAUCGUUAGACAGGCGGUUACAACGAAGUACCAACAAACACCCAUCACGGCUCCAGGAACAUUACGGAUGUUCUUUCACGACUGUUUCGUUGAUGUAUGUACGCUUUGUUGUGAUCUUGAAGCUUUUUUAGUAUUGUUAUUCUUGUUUUCAUGUGGUUGGUGACUGUAUAGGGAUGUGAUGCUUCUGUGUUAAUAGCAUCUGACAACGGAGACGCGGAGAAGGAUGCUCAUGACAAUAUAUCUCUCGCCGGAGACGGAUUCGACACCGUGGCUAAGGCUAAACUCGCUGUGGAAGCUCAAUGCCCUGGCCUUGUCUCAUGUGCUGAUAUUCUGGCUCUGGCCGCCAGGGACGUGGUUGUCCUCGUAAGUCAACCCUCAUCAUUGUCUCUUCUUCUGAUUCACCGAAAGUGAAUGAUCACUAGCCAUGAAAAUAUGGUUUUCUUUUAAAUGAUGGGCAUUUUCUUUUUCUUCUAAUUUUUUUCAAAAACAAACUCUAUUAAAAUCGCACUCUUGUAAAAAACUUUUGUUGGAUAAAUUUAAAAUUCAUUCAAAAAAUGAUCACUAACCAUGAAAACAUGGUUUUAUUUAGAUGAUGAUGGGUAUGUUCACUUUCUUUUUCUUCUAACUUUCUCAAAAACAAACUAUAUUAAAAUCGGGAAUUACCUGGCCUAAAAAGAAAUUUCGUGGAAUAAAUUUAACAUUCAUUCGAAAAAAAGUACCAGUAACUAUGUUAUAUUGUUAGGCUGGAGGUCCAGGGUUUAAGGUGGAGCUAGGGAGACGAGACGGACUCGUGUCACAUGCCUCUAGCGUAGACGGGAAGUUACCAGGACCAGAGCUAGACGUAACCGGUCUAGUCAAUCUAUUCGCUAAUAACGGUCUAUCAAUAACCGACAUGAUUGCUCUCUCAGGCGCACACACUAUAGGAUUCUCUCACUGCGACCGUUUCGCUCACCGUCUCUACAACUUCUCAGCCCUCAUGCCCGUAGACCCCACGUUAGAUCCGGCCUACGCACAACAGCUGAUGCAAACCUGCCCUCGAGUCGGGUCGGAUCCCAACUCUGUCUCAAACCUUGACGCCACCACCCCUGAUGUUUUCGACAACGCCUACUUCCUGAACCUCGUAGCAAGGAAAGGACUCUUCACCUCCGACCAAGUUCUGUUUAACGACUUCAGGUCUCAGGCAGCGGUGGUCAGGUUUGCAAACAACGCUGAAGAGUUCAACAACGCUUUCACCUCAGCUAUGAGGAAACUCGGCCGCGUUGGAGUUAAAGUUGGGAACCGAGGAGAGAUUAGAAAAGAUUGUGCUGCUUUUAACUAACUUUAUAUAUUAAAAUGUCAUAAUCCACAAAGGAACAUCUAUUCUAAAAACCUUUUAUGUAAAAUCUACCAAUCAUAGAUGUGUGCCGUGGAUAUAAAUCCAAGAAACGUAACAAACAAAACCGACAAUAAAAACAACAACAACAACAAAAAAAUAGAUACAGAACAAAAACUUCUGUAUCGGCAAGACAAAACCAAUGAAUAAGAAGCCAAAAGGAACAGAUUAAGCGCGGGUCUUGGCAUAGAGAUGAGUGUAGACAGACUUGGUACGACGCACGAGAAUCAUACUCGAGAUGCAAGCGACGAUGCAGAAGCCAGACAUUAUAAGCGACGUCAAGAAGUAACAUAUUGAACCUUCGCAUUUAAGGACGUCAUCCGGAUUAAAAACAGACCCGUGUGCUUGUCUUUCAGCUUCCAUGUCGUAUAUGCUGCUCGCAAUCAUACCCGAGAAGACGAAGGACCCGACCGGGAGGGCCAGCGUCAAGAAGUUGUAUAGAGCUCCAAACUUUUUAAGACCAAAGAGCUCAGAGGCGGUGGCUGGGACAAUAGCCCAGUGAGCACCGUACCCGAGUCCAAUCAAGAGAGUGCCAAUGUACAUAGCUCCAGGCCAUCCGAAGGCAAAACAAACAUGUCCCACGGCCAUUACUAUUUGAGCCACGGCCAUUGCUACAGGCCUUGGGUACGCAUAGUCCCUUCACAUUUUCAGAAACAAAGCACAAUAAACAGAGAUGUAAAUAAAUAAAUAAACAGAUGUAAAUUAGCAGAAUCACAACAAAUAAUGAUGUCUCGAAAAUUAUAUUCCCAUGUUCAAAAUAAAUAAUAUUAACAGUAUAUUUAACUGAAACUAGGAGUUUCCUGCCCCAUAAGCAGUAAUAAUAGUUUAAAAUUUUUGUAGCUAUGUUCAAAAUAAAUAAUAUUAACAGUAUAUUUAACUAAAAUAAUUUUAAAAUUUAAUAACUCUAUUUAUAUAUAUUUGAUUAUUUAAAAAAUAAAAAAUUAAGCAUUAAAUUUAGUCGAAUAUCUAAAAAUUUAAAGUUUUAGACCAUAAUUUAUAUAUUUAUUGUUUCUAAAUUGACCCCUUUUUAUUUUAUUUUCAGACCGUUCCACUUAAACAUUGCUUAGAUUGACAACAAACCUGACAACGAGCUCAGAGAAAUAACCACCGGAGAUACGUCCAAGGAAGUUCCAAAUGCUAAUCAUAGACACAAAGACGUGAGUGUUGUCAUAACCAAGAGACUGACUCAUCUGACCAAGAUUGUCUAUUACAGUCAAACCGGAACCACCACCGAGCAGAAGCGAGAAGAAAAUCAGCCAGAAGUCUGCCUUCACUAGUGCCUGCAUUAGAGUAAAAUCUUCACCUCUGUGCGGCCCUCUCCUUCCCUUCACCCGGACUGCUCCCUCCGCAGCUGCCUGCAUUGCAUUUAGAGGUGGAUACAGAUCAAAUACUAUCAUUUUUUUUGGUAUUUGUGAUUACAAAACCGGAUAUCAGCUUCUUACAAACUUUAGUAUUUAUGAUUUGCUUUGUUUUUAAUAGAUAUUGAUUUUUAUUUUAAUUUUUGCUCAGCAAGAUAUCCGAACUUUUUCGAAUUGAAUAGAAACGAGUAACAAAUCGAAUCAAAUUUAAUGGAUAAAUUGGCCAUCCGUACCUGCAUUAGCUGUGCUUGCAAAUGAGCAAUUCUCUUAUGCCUCUCUGACGCAGGAAGCAAAUCCACAUCUCUUGGUUUCUCAUCUUCCACUUCACUCAGGAUCAAGUCAGGUGUCCUUAGUCCAGGAUCUUGGUCUUCUUCCCGUUUAGGCACAAGUGGUUCCUCGACCGUAUCAACGGGACCGUUUGAAUCACUGAAGAAACUCGUCAUGAUUGGGACCAAGACCGGUGCAAGAAGAAUGAAAAACAACACAACGGUGAACGCGGUGACGACGUUGAGGCUAACAACGGCGAGAUCUUCGAUAAGCAUAACGGCCAUGAGAUAAACAGCCAGGAGAAUGCAGACGCCGUAGAUGAAAGUAAAGCUAAAUCCAUCUGUUGGACGGAUCUGCCUGUGGCCGCCAACGGGUCUGAUGAAGAACAUUAGUGUAAUAACGACAACCGCAGGGGCAACGGCGACCAUGAAAAUGAGAGAAGCCGGGUCGGGAGAGUUGAUGACUGUGUAUAUCUGAGAGAGCAUGGCGCCGCCUAGGCCAGCGAAUCCUUUGAGGAUGCCCACCACUGGACCUCGGCUCUUGGGGAAGUUUUGAACACCAGAGACUAGUGACGCCGUGUUGAAGUAGGUUUCUCCGUUGUUCCCAACGAAUAUGAGAAUACACAUCUGAAAAAUACAAAAAAAAAAAAAAAAGUUACUUCAGCACAGCAUACUAGGAAAAGUCAAUAGCUUAACCAGAAACAGAGCAAUUGCAAAGAAAGCAGAACAAGAGAUGAGAAAGUAAAAAAGAGUGAAACUUUCAUGGAUUUGACAGUGACUUAUGAGUAACCAAACAACCUUAAAAGCAUAUACUUUCCGAGAUUCUCUCACACAAUAGUUGAAUUAAUAGAAAGUCUCCAACGUUUUCACCCAAUCAAAAACAUAAACAGAUGAAUUAAUAAGAUUGAAACUCACAGCCCAUAGAGGAAGAAUCGGAGCACGGCCAGUGACGAUAAGCCAAACCCAUCCGUAACCAACGAGGUUCUGAACAGCGCCGACGAGAAGAGCAGCCCAGAGAGGCAGCAUCUCCGAGAGAUACCCUGCGAUGAAGCCGACACUGUCGCCAAGAUCCUUCGCCACUCCGAGCCUGGCGAGCUCCUUCUGGUUGUAGUUAAGGGAGCUUUUGAUUACCGGAGAAAUGCUUCCGAACAAGUAACCGAUACCGGCGCAAGACUGUAUCCACAUGGCAGCAACGAAGACAAGCCAUCGGUUGUUUAUGAAAGAUACGAACUUUUCUCGCGUUGUUGACGCCAUUGAAGAAGAAUCAGAGAUCAAAAGGACAGAUCGGUGAAAAAAAAGGUUUUUUUUUUUUUUGGGGUGUCUGAUUGUCUAUUUGUAUGUCUUUUUUAUCGCUUUAUAAGAUUUAAAUUAUAAAAAGACAACCAGACAUUGAGACAUACUGUAAGAAGGGGAUCGUAAAGACUGUAGAUAGAUCACGCCAACAAAGCUAAGUGAUUAAGUUUGUUGAUUAGUAGUAAAUAAUAUGAUUAAAACUUAUUAAGUACAUAGAUCUACUAAUUAAGGAAGAAGACGUGUACACAUUGUAUAACAAAAGGCUCGAUGAUUUUUAUGAACAGUCCAUGUAAGAUUUGUUGGGUGAUUUGGUCCCGUUAACUCUUCAAUGCCCAAGUGCGUGUCUGCCAUCUUGCACUUGCACUUGCAGUCUUUUUUAAAUUAAGAGUGAUUAUACUAUUUGUUUGAUUCUCAUGUGUCUUUGGUGGAUAUUUUUAUAAAAAAAUACUAUAAUUAACGAUUAUUGAAUACAGUAAUUUGAAAUGAUGAAAGCUAGCAUUAGCGAAUGCUUGAAAAGUAAUUGCUUUAACGUCAUUGUCAGUACCAAUAAGUUGAAUUGAAUCUUUAUCGCAAUCAUUUUUUUCUGGCUGGGAUCAGAGGUCGUAAGAAACGAAAUAAAAGUGAGAACAUAUGAAAGUACGGUGCUCCUCCUAUCAAUGAUCCGUAAAUAUCUGCUACAUUUAUGGAGGAAUACAUCGUCUCACUAUUUUAAAAAUCAAUCAGAAGAAUAUAUAAAUUGUAUGACAUGGUGUGACCUGUGUCAUUAUCAAAUUAAAAAUCAUAUGUUACCCUUUUCGUUCUAUACUAUUGUCUAAGGUUAUAGACGAGUAAAAAGUUACGUUGUAACCGACGGGAGCUGUUAGUUUGGUGGUAGCCGUCGUAAAAAUGCUGUAAAAAAAACUUAAUUUUGUAAAAAACUUAAUUUGUUUGGUUCAAAAAAACUUAAUUUUGUUAUGAAAUAACUUAUAAUUUAUAGUAUCGAAAAAUUUAAAUAAGGGCGAAAUAUUUUCCCCGCAGAAAGAAGAUAUACGAUAAAUAUGCAAGAGAGAAUAUUUACUAUGAAGAGGGAGAAUAGAGAUGAGAUGUAAUGAUUCUUUGUUUAUAAACUCUUCUUCUUGUUUUUGGUGUACAAGAGAGUGAGAUGAGUGAUGGUAUUUAUAGUGAGCAACAAUACAUAAAAUAACAAAGAUGAUGCUUGAUUUGGUAAAUGAAUGGGUGAUCAUAGUGCUUGGUGAGUAGAUGAUCAUAGUGCUUGGUGAGUAAAUGAUCAUAGUGCUUGAGUUGGUAAAGGAGUGGAGGAUCAUUUCAAAGUUUAUCUUAUAACAUUCCCCCUUGAUUAUCCAUCUUGUAUUAAAUUAAGUUUCGUAACACUCCCCUUUGGGGACCGGUGUCACUCUCCGCUCUCGCUUAACGUCUUUGUUGCCUCGUUAAAAACCUUUCUAGGAAAACCCAAUGGGAAAAACCAUAGUAAGGUAAAAAGAGUACAACUACGUAAGCUCCCCCUCGAAUGAGCAGUCAUAGAUCCUUNNNNNNNNNNNNNNNNNNNNNNNNNNNNNNNNNNNNNNNNNNNNNNNNNNNNNNNNNNNNNNNNNNNNNNNNNNNNNNNNNNNNNNNNNNNNNNNNNNNNNNNNNNNNNNNNNNNNNNNNNNNNNNNNNNNNNNNNNNNNNNNNNNNNNNNNNNNNNNNNNNNNNNNNNNNNNNNNNNNNNNNNNNNNNNNNNNNNNNNNNNNNNNNNNNNNNNNNNNNNNNNNNNNNNNNNNNNNNNNNNNNNNNNNNNNNNNNNNNNNNNNNNNNNNNNNNNNNNNNNNNNNNNNNNNNNNNNNNNNAUAAUAUUAACAGUAUAUUUAACUAAAAUAAUUUUAAAAUUUAAUAACUCUAUUUAUAUAUAUUUGAUUAUUUAAAAAAUAAAAAAUUAAGCAUUAAAUUUAGUCGAAUAUCUAAAAAUUUAAAGUUUUAGACCAUAAUUUAUAUAUUUAUUGUUUCUAAAUUGACCCCUUUUUAUUUUAUUUUCAGACCGUUCCACUUAAACAUUGCUUAGAUUGACAACAAACCUGACAACGAGCUCAGAGAAAUAACCACCGGAGAUACGUCCAAGGAAGUUCCAAAUGCUAAUCAUAGACACAAAGACGUGAGUGUUGUCAUAACCAAGAGACUGACUCAUCUGACCAAGAUUGUCUAUUACAGUCAAACCGGAACCACCACCGAGCAGAAGCGAGAAGAAAAUCAGCCAGAAGUCUGCCUUCACUAGUGCCUGCAUUAGAGUAAAAUCUUCACCUCUGUGCGGCCCUCUCCUUCCCUUCACCCGGACUGCUCCCUCCGCAGCUGCCUGCAUUGCAUUUAGAGGUGGAUACAGAUCAAAUACUAUCAUUUUUUUUGGUAUUUGUGAUUACAAAACCGGAUAUCAGCUUCUUACAAACUUUAGUAUUUAUGAUUUGCUUUGUUUUUAAUAGAUAUUGAUUUUUAUUUUAAUUUUUGCUCAGCAAGAUAUCCGAACUUUUUCGAAUUGAAUAGAAACGAGUAACAAAUCGAAUCAAAUUUAAUGGAUAAAUUGGCCAUCCGUACCUGCAUUAGCUGUGCUUGCAAAUGAGCAAUUCUCUUAUGCCUCUCUGACGCAGGAAGCAAAUCCACAUCUCUUGGUUUCUCAUCUUCCACUUCACUCAGGAUCAAGUCAGGUGUCCUUAGUCCAGGAUCUUGGUCUUCUUCCCGUUUAGGCACAAGUGGUUCCUCGACCGUAUCAACGGGACCGUUUGAAUCACUGAAGAAACUCGUCAUGAUUGGGACCAAGACCGGUGCAAGAAGAAUGAAAAACAACACAACGGUGAACGCGGUGACGACGUUGAGGCUAACAACGGCGAGAUCUUCGAUAAGCAUAACGGCCAUGAGAUAAACAGCCAGGAGAAUGCAGACGCCGUAGAUGAAAGUAAAGCUAAAUCCAUCUGUUGGACGGAUCUGCCUGUGGCCGCCAACGGGUCUGAUGAAGAACAUUAGUGUAAUAACGACAACCGCAGGGGCAACGGCGACCAUGAAAAUGAGAGAAGCCGGGUCGGGAGAGUUGAUGACUGUGUAUAUCUGAGAGAGCAUGGCGCCGCCUAGGCCAGCGAAUCCUUUGAGGAUGCCCGCCACUGGACCUCGGCUCUUGGGGAAGUUUUGAACACCAGAGACUAGUGACGCCGUGUUGAAGUAGGUUUCUCCGUUGUUCCCAACGAAUAUGAGAAUACACAUCUGAAAAAUACAAAAAAAAAAAAAAAAGUUACUUCAGCACAGCAUACUAGGAAAAGUCAAUAGCUUAACCAGAAACAGAGCAAUUGCAAAGAAAGCAGAACAAGAGAUGAGAAAGUAAAAAAGAGUGAAACUUUCAUGGAUUUGACAGUGACUUAUGAGUAACCAAACAACCUUAAAAGCAUAUACUUUCCGAGAUUCUCUCACACAAUAGUUGAAUUAAUAGAAAGUCUCCAACGUUUUCACCCAAUCAAAAACAUAAACAGAUGAAUUAAUAAGAUUGAAACUCACAGCCCAUAGAGGAAGAAUCGGAGCACGGCCAGUGACGAUAAGCCAAACCCAUCCGUAACCAACGAGGUUCUGAACAGCGCCGACGAGAAGAGCAGCCCAGAGAGGCAGCAUCUCCGAGAGAUACCCUGCGAUGAAGCCGACACUGUCGCCAAGAUCCUUCGCCACUCCGAGCCUGGCGAGCUCCUUCUGGUUGUAGUUAAGGGAGCUUUUGAUUACCGGAGAAAUGCUUCCGAACAAGUAACCGAUACCGGCGCAAGACUGUAUCCACAUGGCAGCAACGAAGACAAGCCAUCGGUUGUUUAUGAAAGAUACGAACUUUUCUCGCGUUGUUGACGCCAUUGAAGAAGAAUCAGAGAUCAAAAGGACAGAUCGGUGAAAAAAAAGGUUUUUUUUUUUUUUGGGGUGUCUGAUUGUCUAUUUGUAUGUCUUUUUUAUCGCUUUAUAAGAUUUAAAUUAUAAAAAGACAACCAGACAUUGAGACAUACUGUAAGAAGGGGAUCGUAAAGACUGUAGAUAGAUCACGCCAACAAAGCUAAGUGAUUAAGUUUGUUGAUUAGUAGUAAAUAAUAUGAUUAAAACUUAUUAAGUACAUAGAUCUACUAAUUAAGGAAGAAGACGUGUACACAUUGUAUAACAAAAGGCUCGAUGAUUUUUAUGAACAGUCCAUGUAAGAUUUGUUGGGUGAUUUGGUCCCGUUAACUCUUCAAUGCCCAAGUGCGUGUCUGCCAUCUUGCACUUGCACUUGCAGUCUUUUUUAAAUUAAGAGUGAUUAUACUAUUUGUUUGAUUCUCAUGUGUCUUUGGUGGAUAUUUUUAUAAAAAAAUACUAUAAUUAACGAUUAUUGAAUACAGUAAUUUGAAAUGAUGAAAGCUAGCAUUAGCGAAUGCUUGAAAAGUAAUUGCUUUAACGUCAUUGUCAGUACCAAUAAGUUGAAUUGAAUCUUUAUCGCAAUCAUUUUUUUCUGGCUGGGAUCAGAGGUCGUAAGAAACGAAAUAAAAGUGAGAAAAUAUGAAAGUACGGUGCUCCUCCUAUCAAUGAUCCGUAAAUAUCUGCUACAUUUAUGGAGGAAUACAUCGUCUCACUAUUUUAAAAAUCAAUCAGAAGAAUAUAUAAAUUGUAUGACAUGGUGUGACCUGUGUCAUUAUCAAAUUAAAAAUCAUAUGUUACCCUUUUCGUUCUAUACUAUUGUCUAAGGUUAUAGACGAGUAAAAAGUUACGUUGUAACCGACGGGAGCUGUUAGUUUGGUGGUAGCCGUCGUAAAAAUGCUGUAAAAAAAACUUAAUUUUGUAAAAAACUUAAUUUGUUUGGUUCAAAAAAACUUAAUUUUGUUAUGAAAUAACUUAUAAUUUAUAGUAUCGAAAAAUUUAAAUAAGGGCGAAAUAUUUUCCCCGCAGAAAGAAGAUAUACGAUAAAUAUGCAAGAGAGAAUAUUUACUAUGAAGAGGGAGAAUAGAGAUGAGAUGUAAUGAUUCUUUGUUUAUAAACUCUUCUUCUUGUUUUUGGUGUACAAGAGAGUGAGAUGAGUGAUGGUAUUUAUAGUGAGCAACAAUACAUAAAAUAACAAAGAUGAUGCUUGAUUUGGUAAAUGAAUGGGUGAUCAUAGUGCUUGGUGAGUAGAUGAUCAUAGUGCUUGGUGAGUAAAUGAUCAUAGUGCUUGAGUUGGUAAAGGAGUGGAGGAUCAUUUCAAAGUUUAUCUUAUAACAUUCCCCCUUGAUUAUCCAUCUUGUAUUAAAUUAAGUUUCGUAACACUCCCCUUUGGGGACCGGUGUCACUCUCCGCUCUCGCUUAACGUCUUUGUUGCCUCGUUAAAAAAAGACAUGUUUAAUUCCAUUCCAAUGUCUUCGUGUUGGAGAUGAGCUAAAUCUUGCUAGAAGAUUAACAGCGAAUGAUCUAUCAGGCCGUGUACAAUUUGCAAGGUACAUCAACGCUCCAAUUGCACUUAGAUAUGGUACUUCCGGACCAAGUAUCUCUUCUUUUUCCUCAGGUGGUCGAAAUGGAUCACUUUCAAUGUUAAGUGAUCUAACGACCAUCGGGGUGCUAAGAGGAGUUGAUUUAUCCAUGUUAAAUCGUUUCAACACUCUUUUAGUGUAUGUGGAUUGAUGCACAAAUAUACCAUUUUGUGAAUGUUCUAUUUGUAGGCCAAGACAAUACUGUGUUUGUCCAAGAUCUUUCAUCUCAAAUUCUCAUUUGAGAUAGUCUGAUGCCUUUUGUAUUUCUUUUUGAGUUCCAAUAAUAUUUAGAUCAUCAACAUAUACCGCGAUUAUCACAAAUCCGGAUGUUGUUUUCUUGAUGAAAACUCAUGGGUAUAUAGGAUCAUUUACAUAUCCUUCUUUUGUUAAAUGUUCACUGAGACGAUUGUACCACAUACGUCCAGAUUGUUUUAACCCAUAUAAUGAUCUUUGCAAUUUUAUUGCACAUAACUCUUUAGGUUUGGAACUUAAUGCUUCUGGCAUUUUAAAUCCAUCAGGGAUUUUCAUGUAGAUAUCAGUAUCUAAUGAUCCGUAUAGAUAAGCUGUAACAACAUCCAUGAGACGCAUCUCAAGAUUUUUAUCAGCGGCUAGACUCAUCAGGAAUCUAAAUGUGAUCGCAUCCAUUACAGGAGAAUAUGUUUCCUCAUAAUCAAUACCAGGUCUUUGAGAAAAUCCUUGGGCUACAAGGCGAGCUUUAUACCUUGUAAUCUCAUUUUUCUCAUUUCGUUUUCGAACGAAAAUCCAUCUGUACCCAACUGGUCUCACAUCUUCAGGUGUGAGUACAAUAGAUCCAAACACUUUUCGUUUGUUAAGCGAAUCAAGUUCGAUUUGUAUUGCUUCUUUCCAUUUAUUCCAAUCAUGUCUCUUUUGACAUUCAUAUAUGGAUUUCGGUUCUGGAUCAUCGGUAUCUUCAUUUACCUCACUUGACACGAUAUAUGAGAAAGCAUCAUCAAGGUCAUUUUGUUCAUUUCUAUUCCAUAUCCUUUUAUUAUGGAUGUAAUUAAUAGAAAUCUCAUGAUUAUCUUUCGAUUCAUGAUGCUCUGAUUCAUCAGAGUCCUUAUCAUUUAUUUCUUCCAAAAUAUUUUCUGCUAUUUUGGGUGCAUCAUAUAUUUCAGCUUUCUUCUGUUUCCUAGGAUUCUUAUCCUUAGAACCAGCAGGUCUACCACGCUUCAGGCGUGUUUUUGGCUCUCGUGUGUCAUCCUCCUUUUCUUGUUCAUUUGGCAUUUUGAUACGAGCAGGAGCAUUUGCAGCUGGUAUAUGAGAUUUAGUUACCGUCUUGGUAUCUGCAAAUGCAUCAGGUAGCUGGUUAGCUAUACUCUGUAAAUGCAUAAUUCGUCGAACUUCUAGUUCUGACUCUUUAGUAGGAGGAUCAAGAUAUAACAAUGAUGGUACACUCCAUUUUAUAUCACUUCCAACAUUUUUGUUUUCUCCCCCUAGAACUGGGAAUACAUUUUCGUCAAAAUGACAAUCAGCAAAACGUGCUGUAAAGACGUCACCAGUCUGUGGUUCUAGGUAUCUUAUAAUUGAUGGAGAAUCACAACCAACAUAUAUUCCCAACCUUCUUUGUGGUCCCAUCUUUGUUCGUUGUGGUGGUGCUACAGGCACAUAUACCGCACAACCAAAGAUUCUAAAGUGGGAAAUGUUUGGUUCUCGACCAAACGCUAACUGUAGUGGGGAAUACUUAUGGUAUGCACUCGGUCUGAUCCGAAUGAGUGCUUCUGCAUGCAAAAUGGCAUGUCCCCAUACAGAGGUUGGAAGUUUUGAUCUCAUGAUCAAUGGUCUUGCAAUCAAUUGCAGACGCUUAAUUAAAGAUUCAGCCAAACCAUUUUGCGUAUGAACAUGAGCAACCGAAUGUUCAACUUCAAUUCCCAUUACCAUACAAUAGUCAUUGAAUGCUUGGGAUGUGAAUUCACCAGCGUUGUCUAGUCUAACUCUUUUAAUAGUAUAAUCAGGAAACUGUGCUCGCAGUUUGAUUAUCUGAGUUAGAAAUCUCGCAAAUGCCACAUUUCGAGAUGAUAAUAGACAAACGUGUGACCAUCUACUGGAUGCGUCAAUUAAUACCAUAAAAUAGUGGAAUGGUCCACAUGGUGGAUGUAUCGGUCCACAUAUAUCACCUUGAAUUCUUUCAAGGAACUUUGGUGAUUCUUUAUCGAUUUUGGUUGGCGAUGGCCUUACGAUCAAUUUUCCUAGAGAACAUGCAACACAUGUCAUUUUAUUCCCUUGAGAAAUCUCCUGGAUUUUCAGUGGAUGACCAUGUGAACUUUCUAUGAUUUUACGCAUCAUUGUAGUGCCUGGGUGGCCAAGGCGAUCAUGCCAUAACGUGAACUCUUCUGGGUUCCGUUUUACUACAAGAUUUGAUUCGAUCUCAUCGAUAUAAGUAUGAUGUAACCCCGAAGGAAGCUCUGGAAACUUUUCCAAUAUGUGUUUUCUGCCACAUUUUUCAGAAAUUACAUACAUGUAUUUCUUUCCAUCCUCAGUUGCAGACUGAGUAUCAUAUCCGUGAAGAUAUAUGUCUUUAAAACUCAACAAAUUCCUUUUAGAACUCGGAGAAUAUAAAGCAUUAUUUAUGGAAAAUUUUGUUCCAUUCGGCAAAGUAAAGUUUGCUUUACCAGUUCCUUCAAUCACGUCUGCAGGACCUGAUAUUGUAUUGACGACAAUUCUUGUCGGUUUUAUAUCAGAGAAAUAUCUCUUUUGUCUCAGAAUAGUGUGCGUUGUUCCACUAUCUGGUAUGCAUAUUUCACGAAUCCGUUUCUUGGAUUUUGCUCCAUUAGUAUUUUGAUCCAUUUCUGAAAUUAUCAUAAACAUUAAAUAAAAGUGAAACGUGAAAUUUAUUCAUUGAUUAUAUAAAGAAAACACACAAUAAUUAUACAUAUAUUGUUGUUAAAAUAACAUUAUUCUUUAAAAAAACAUAAUUAUUAUACAUUACAAAUGAGGACUAUUCAGCAGUCUUAUUAGAAACAUUUUCGUACUCUUCAAGAGUAUUCUAGUCCAGCUCAUUUGCGAAAUCAGAGGAUUCAAGGUAUGAGGUUCCUUCAACGUUUUCUGUGAGGUUCACCUCUUUAGCUUUUCCUUUUAUGGAUUCUUGAUAUAACUUGCACAAAUGUGGGGGAGUACGACAGGUACGGGACCAAUGUCCUUUACAUCCACAUCUGUAACAUACAGUCUCACUUUUCUUUGUGGUAUCCUCUUCGGUUUCUUUGCCUUUAUGAGGUUGUUCAGAUCUAACCUAUUUGCUAGAUCUAAUACUUUUAGGAUAGUAAGGCUUUCCACGUUUGUUGUUGAAACGCCGACCACGACCUCGGUUGGUAUGGUUUCUCCUUCCCGAAUAUUCUACCGCCGUAGCAUUCACUUCGGGAAAUGCCUUGGCUCCCGUAGGUCGGGAAUUAUGGUUUUUGAUUAGUAACUCAUCGUUCUUUUCAGCCAACAUGAGUGUUACCAUCAAUUCAGAAAAUUUGGUGUACCCACAUUUUCUGUAAAUUCGGGAUAAGACGUUGUGUUCUUUGUGGAAAGUAUUAUAUGUCUUGUCAAGCAUUUCUGCUUCGGUGACAGGGUUACCACAAUAUUUUAAUUGUGCAACUAUCCUCAAGAUAGUGGAAUUGUAAUCUCUAACCCUUGGGAGAUCCUGAACCCUCAGGGUCCUCAACGUCUCCAUAGUCGUGAGUUAGAUUCUCAUCUAAAUGCUUCUUCAGGAAGAUAAUCGCUUCGGCUAUAUGCUCGGGUGGCGAUUUGUUACCGACUUCUAUCGCUUCAGUUAUCUUUUUUAUUACAAGAUAAGGUUUCACAUUUGUGACCCAUCUGACAUAAUUUUCGCCGGUUACUUUCAGAGCCGGGAACUGGAGUUUCUCGAUGUUUGCCAUUUGUAUUUCUAAAACACAAAAUAAUAAUUUUAUUAGAACUUCAUAAUUUAAAAACCGUUUACAUUAAUCAUACAAGCAAUUACAAGGAGAAGCGAUGUAAAGAAAAUUAAACCGAUAUUCAUCUUAAAUUCACUCGGAGUAAAUUCUCCAACGAAUAAACCAUAAAUAGAAACACAAAUAAAAAUGGCACAUAAAAACAAAAGUGCGCGAAUCAUCUUUCUUGAAAUGAAAAAUCGGAGGAGAGCGAUUUGAAAUUUUUGAGAGAAGAUGAAAUGUUUUGGAUGAUGAAAUGGAGUGAAAAUGAGUUGUAUUUAUAGAUGAAAAUUACUGUUCAUGACCGUUGGAGAAAGGGGAAAUUUUUGAAAAAUUUUCUUUGUGACCGUUGGGGUUAAAUCGAGUGCACCAAAAAUUAGUCUGAAAAUAUCGUAUUAAACGGUCAAUCAAAUCUAUAAAAUUUCAUAAAAGUGAAAAAUUAUGACAAUGAAAUAUUUAUGUUAUAUGACAACAAAUCAUGCGACGGCUCAGCCGAUCAAUGCAGAAUAAUAAAUAAAUUAUACGGCGGCUCGGCCGACCAAUUAAUAAUAAACAGAAUAUAAGGCGGCUCGGCCGACCAAUAAAUAAUAAACAGGAUAUAAGGCGGCUCGGCCGACCAAUAAAUAAUAAACAGAAUAUAAGGCGGCUCACCCGACCAAUAAAUAAUAAACAGGAUAUAAGGCGGCUCGGCCGACCAAUAAAUAAAUUAAAUUACUAGCAAAUAAUAUAGGCAGUAUUCCGGCCAUUAUAACAUGAUAUAAAUAAUAGUAGAGGCGGUAUACCGACCAUUAUAACAGUGUAUAAAUGAUACAAAUAAAUUUUACCGAAUCGCAGAGUGAUCGUGCUGAUAACGUGUUAUGAAAUAACUUAUAAUUUAUAGUAUCGAAAAAUUUAAAUAAGGGCGAAAUAUUUUCCCCGCAGAAAGAAGAUAUAUGAUAAAUAUGCAAGAGAGAAUAUUUACUAUGAAGAGGGAGAAUAGAGAUGAGAUGUAAUGAUUCUUUGUUUAUAAACUCUUCUUCUUGUCUUUGGUGUACAAAAGAGUGAGAUGAGUGAUGGUAUUUAUAGUGAGCAACAAUACAUAAAAUAACAAAGAUGGUGCUUGAUUUGGUAAAUGAGUGGGUGAUCAUAGUGCUUGGUGAGUAGAUGAUCAUAGUGCUUGGUGAGUAGAUGAUCAUAGUGCUUGAGUUGGUAAAAGAGUGGAGGAUCAUUUCAAAGUUUAUCUUAUAACAAAUUUGUAUAUAAUGUCUAUACAAAACACAACUUGCAUGCAUGACCUUUUUUUUUUGCCAGUGGCUUUUAUGUACAUGAACGCAACUUUUUUUUUUGAAAAUUACAUCAACGCAACUUGCAUGCAUGUGUAAGAGCAUCUGCAUCAAUGAACUUUGAGUGGGGUUCAUAAUUUUAAUUUUUUAUUAUUAUUUUUUUACUUUUCCGUUUGAUUUUAAAAAAAAAAAAUUAAGCAGACCAAUCGCGGACCACCACGUAGCGUGGGGCCCGCAAUACAGUGAUGAACCAGGUUCAUCCCACUAAACCUGUAGGAGCUGAGCUCACGAAAAAGAAAAUAUUUUAAUAUAUUUUUUUUUGGAAAAAGUGUGAACUUCAUUGAAGGUCGAAUGCAGAUGGUCUGAUGUCCUAUUUGCAACAGAACACGAGUGUGUUCAAGUAAUGAAUAUUAUUGGUUUAUUUGGUCAUACACUUGUACGUUUUCUUGUCAAGAAUCGCAUUUGCAAAUCAAUUAUUCGGUGAAGAGUCGUUUUCACGUGUAUUUAUAUGAAAGAAAUAUGUAUAUAUUUAGAUUAGUCCAAUAUGUUAUUGAAUAUUCGUCGCAACAAAUAAAAUAAACACGUUCGUUUAACUUGCGUAAUAAAAUACAUAUAUGAGCGGCUCGACCCUAAUAUGGAUAAGUUAUCAAUUUUUAUGGACAAGAAUUGAUUGUAUCAUGGCCCUGUUCGUUACUGAAUAGGUGCGGCAGCGACCAGAAAAUUAACACUAAUGAAGAGCGAAGUAGCUAUGGUGGAACAGAAAUAGUCGCUGGAAGUGAUCUCCGGAUAACUCCGUGACGUCUUUUAUGGACGCCAAUUUUUUCAGCGACGUCUCUUGUUUGUAAUAGAUCUGUCGCUGCGACACUAAAUAGCUCCGUCACCCACGUUUCGCUCCAUUAAUUAAUAGAAUCACUGUUAUAUUUUCUGUCGCUGCGGCAGCGGUUCUGAAACGAACAGGGCCCAUCUAUAUUUUUUUCUGGCAUAUAAUGUCGACUCCUAGAAAUUCGAACAACUUAUCCAUUUGAUGUUGUGUCCAAAUGAACUAGGAGUAACCGCUAUUUCUAUAGUAAAAACUAAUUUUCUAGACAUUUAUAGAAAUAUACUUACGAUGAAUUCAUUGAUAAAGACAGAAACUCAGUGCUCAAAGGCCAAAUGUCUCUUGCAAUAAAAGAAAAAGAGACAAAGUGUCUCUUCUAACAAACAGAAAAAAACAAGAGAUACUACAUACCCACGAGAUCGAAUCAGAUUCUUAGCAUACCCAACAAUCAAUAUAUGGUGUGACAAUAGUAUAAUUUUAUAGUUUUGAUACUGCAGAGAAUGGUUCUUUUCUUCACCUUGCAAACUUCUAAAUUCGUUCGGUUGAUCAAGCUUAUGUUUCAUUACAAUCUCUCAUUCUUCGCACAAGCAUCCUAUAAAACAACGUACAUACACUAGCUAUAGCCCGUAGCUUUUACAACGAACUCUUGAAUUUACCAUACAUAUUAACCGGAUUGUUUUAAGAUACCGAGACGAUGGCGUUGAACUGGGGACCAGUGUUAAUGUCGGUGAUUCUGUUCAUCAUAUUGACGCCCGGAGUACUGUUCCAGCUUCCUGGGAAGACCAAAGCGGUUGAGUUUGGCGGAUUUCAGACAAGCGGCGCAGCUAUAGUCAUCCACACUCUUAUCUUCUUUGCAUGCAUCACAGUCUCCCUUAUCGCUCUUCAUAUCCACAUAUACGCUUCCUAAUCAAUUUAACAUUGCCGUGUCCCUCAAUGCUAGCUGCAUCCUUAAUUUUAUAUCCGAAUCAUCAGCUUUGAUUUCUAAUUCCCUUUAAGUGUUCUCUUCCUUGUUGUUUUAUUAGUACCUUUUUUUGAACUACUAUUAGUAUUAGUACCUUCUACAAUCAUAUGAUUUCAUUUUCUUAUAUAUGAAUCAUCAUGCAUGGACGAGAACUGACAAUUCUUUUCAUAAAUUAGAAUCUAAAUAUAUCUAUGACUACGGAUAUUCCAUUCUUCAAGGCUAAUUAACAAAGUAUUAUAAUAUUAAGAUAUAUAGUAUUGACAAACUACUUGAUGAAAAUUGUUAUUAUGAAAUGUUGAAAACAACAUAUGAAUAUAUGAUAUAUAUCUUCAUGGAGAAGCAAUAUAUAAGUGAAUUGAUAAGUACCUCUCGCCACAAACUUGCGCUCAAUCGGAACAAGUUAUCGUCACGUCAAACAUAGUAGAUCAUUAUCAAUUUGUUUUGUUAUUUUUGAACUCAACAUCACAUCACCAUUUCAUCACUUAGUAAAGGUUUAUAUAUUUUGAUUGAUUUAGAAAUUUAUGUAGUAUUUAUAAAUUCAAGUAAAAUAUACAAAUCCGGAAGUUUUCCUCGGAUUUGAGUCUUUGUAUUUUUAACAAAAAAAUUCAAACAAAUCUAUUCAAAUCCAUUAUAAAAUCAAAUUUAUCAGUAAAUCCUUACGAUCGAAUAACAUUUAAUUUGAUAUAAAAUUUAUGAAUCAUUAAACCAAUAACAUAUUAUUUUAAUAGAGAUUUGAAAAUCAUAAAACUAAUAACACUAGAUUUAGUUUGGAUUUUCGAAUCCAUUAAAAUACAACCAUUGGCCCACUAAAGCUUUUAACGAAAAAAGAAAAGAAAAUCGGCUGGUGAUUUGGGCUUUUAAUAAUCUUAAAGGGUCCAUAUAUUUGCAAAAUGACGGCCCAUAGAAAGAGGCGAAUCACGAAUUCACGAUCAAGGAACGAUUUCACCAUAAACCCUCCUCUUAAAAUCCCUAGCGUCCCCACUGGCCUGCGAUCUUCGAAUCUGAUUCUUGGGAAUCGAAAUACUAUAAUGGGUUUGACGAAUUUCAUACUGACGGUGGCCGGAGUAGGCGCCGUUGUGAUGCUACUGAAGGGCGACGUCAAGCAAUCUGCCACCGUCUUGAGGCGCAACGUCAAGCACAUCCGCAACUGGCUCGAAGAGGAAUCUUCCGCCGCCUCCAAGUUAGCCAUCUUUCUCUCGAUCACGAUUCUUUUUUUUUUUUUAAUUUUACUUUCACGAAGUUGUUUGUUUAGGGAUUAUGAUUUUGUAAUUUUUUCUCAGCGAGCUUAGUGCGCUGAUAGAUUUCAGAGCAAUCUUUGAUUGAAUUCGUAUCCAAGUAUUGUAAAAAGAUAAUUAGAACGAAACCGUAGUUUCUUUGGGUGACCAGUUUCUAAGAUUUGGUAACUUGAUAAAUUAAGAAAAAUUGAUUAGUGUAGUAAUGACUUGAUGGUGACAGUGGUUUAAGUGUGCAAAAGAGGAGUGUGGUUCAGUGCUGGUUAUUAGAUAGCAACACAAAAGCAAAGUGAGUGAGUGUGUGAGUGGCUGAUGAGUUUGAUUGUGGGUUUUUUUUUUUCAGGGCAGCUCAGUCAGCAAAACCAAAGGAAAUUGAAACCAAGGUUCCGGAGAAGGAUGUUCCAAAAGACAAGAAUUAGUGUGUGUGUUGUGCUUUUCUGUAUACAUACACGAAGGUUUUUUCUGUUUUGGUAAGAGUUGUGGAUGUAUGACUCCGGUUUCAACACUACUUAGCUGUGAAUUUUUGUUUUGGUUGUCUGUCUCCAUCUCUCACGUCUUAGCGUUUGAGCAAUGUUGGAAGUGAAUGAAACACAAUAAUAUCCAAUUAUACCUCUUGUAACUGACAUUUUUCCAAGGGAUUUUUUUCUUGAUAUGUAUCUGAAAUUUGAUUGAACAUGUACUUAUUUUGCAGCGGCAAUUGCAUAUUCUCUUAUAAAAUAAAGCUUACAAAAGCCUGGCAUGAUAGUGGGCUUUUUGUUGUGAAGGCCCAACAAUGCAGACUCUUAAAAGAAAAUAAAUUUGCCUGAAAAGCCCAAGGCUCUAUUUCCUCCAUCGCGUAGGAGGGUAAAAAAGUAACGAACACUCACCGGGACUGAGAAUUUCCGCCAAAUAUUUUCCGAUCAUACCGGAGCUAUUAUAUAGUGGACCAUGUUACUUUCGACGGUUUCGAGCUUCGCGCCGGUCUUCCGUAUCGGCGAACCACCAGCGUGCGCAGUUGGCUGGAAGCAAGCGUACGCCAAUUACUCCUGAACUCCAUAAAUCUUCUUCACCGCAUACUUUGAUUUCUCUCACUGUUGGUUGGGUUUUUGUUAGGUUGAGAUUUCGGAGGACGACGAAACGUAGUGUAAUCUCUUGCGAUUAUUCAUGCCUCGAGGUGGGUGAAUGUCUUUUUCCACUAUGAUUCUUCUUUCUGUUUUCAGUGAAUGUAGUUGAUUCAGCUUAAUAUUUUUUAUUUUCCUCUCUAAAUCGUUUGGGUUUGUUAUGAAUUGCGUUUUGAAGGUUAGGGAUAUAUGCUACCGUCCACCUGGAACAGAGUUGAAUAUUUUGAAUGGUGUUAAUCUUUCUCUCCGUGAGAAGAGGUUCUCUUUGCUUUUAUCUCAUUAUUGCUUGUCUCUCUUUUGAGCUAUUUAGCUUCUUUCUCUGCGUGUAUAAGCAUGCCUAACAAAUAGUUUUGCGUUUCUAUUCUUUCUCCAGCUUUGGCUUGAUUUUUGGCAAGAGCGGGAGUGGAAAAACUACCCUUCUGCAGGUUCAUUGUUUCACGAUCAUACACAGUUUUUAAUCUUACAAAUUUUGGAUUUUUUUACCUUCUUGUCUUCUGCAGCUUCUUGCGGGGCUGAACAAACCAACAUCAGGUUCCAUUUGUAUCCAAAGAUAUGGGGAUGAUGGCCAACCAAAUGCGGAUUCUGAGCUGUUUCCCACUGAAAAAGUUGGCAUCGUUUUCCAGUUUCCAGAGAGGUACUAGUAGUCAUUAUUACCCUUUUGUUUGAUCUUAUCAGUGACAAGAAGAUAUUGAUGUGUAGUUUUUUUUUGUUUUGUGUGCGGCAGAUUCUUUGUGGCAGAUAAUGUGCUUGACGAAAUUACUUUUGGUUGGCCAAGGCAAAAGGGUAGUUUGCAGUUAAAGGAGCGUCUGACUUCAAACCUCCAGCGAGCUUUUAAUUGGGUAUCCCACUCCUCCUGGUUCGGUCAAUGGUCAUAUUGUGUCCAGUGAUACUCUCUUAUAGUUGCUUUCUUAUUGAAUUGUUAGGUUGGGUUAGACAGCAUCCCACUUGAUAAAGACCCCCAGUUACUAAGUGGAGGCUACAAGCGUCGGCUUGCACUAGCUAUUCAAUUGGUGCGACCAAAGGUUUUUUUAACGUAUGCAAAAUUGACCUGUUCUAAGUGGUCAUGCUUUUUGUAGGUGCAAACUCCUGAUUUAUUGAUUUUGGAUGAGCCCCUCGCCGGUCUUGGUAUGACGGAUCCUGCUUCUUCUCUCUCUUGUGUGUUUUUGCUUGUCGUUCUUUACAGAAUAUGUUUCUUCUUUUCUCUUUGGUGUUCUCGCUGCAUAUGAUCUUCAUUUUUCUUUUCAUUUGCAUGAAAACCAUGAACGGUUUCUCAUACUAUGUCAUUUUUGAUUUUUCUCUGCAAUCAGAUUGGAAAGCACGCGCGGAUGUUGCAAAGCUCUUGAAGCACCUGAAGAAGGAACUGACUUUACUUGUUGUAAGUCAUGACCUAAGGUAUGCUCAGUUUUUUCUUUCUCUUCGCUUCGGUGUUAAUGAUUUUGCACACUUUCUUUUAUAUUUUUUCUCAUAAACAUAGCGCCUUCUCUACACAUGUACCCCGCAACUGGCUCGAAGAGGAAUCUUCCGCCGCCUCCAAGUUAGCCAUCUUUCUCUCGAUCACGAUUCUUUUUUUUUUUUUUAAUUUUACUUUCACGAAGUUGUUUGUUUAGGGAUUAUGAUUUUGUAAUUUUUUCUCAGCGAGCUUAGUGCGCUGAUAGAUUUCAGAGCAAUCUUUGAUUGAAUUCGUAUCCAAGUAUUGUAAAAAGAUAAUUAGAACGAAACCGUAGUUUCUUUGGGUGACCAGUUUCUAAGAUUUGGUAACUUGAUAAAUUAAGAAAAAUUGAUUAGUGUAGUAAUGACUUGAUGGUGACAGUGGUUUAAGUGUGCAAAAGAGGAGUGUGGUUCAGUGCUGGUUAUUAGAUAGCAACACAAAAGCAAAGUGAGUGAGUGUGUGAGUGGCUGAUGAGUUUGAUUGUGGGUUUUUUUUUUUCAGGGCAGCUCAGUCAGCAAAACCAAAGGAAAUUGAAACCAAGGUUCCGGAGAAGGAUGUUCCAAAAGACAAGAAUUAGUGUGUGUGUUGUGCUUUUCUGUAUACAUACACGAAGGUUUUUUCUGUUUUGGUAAGAGUUGUGGAUGUAUGACUCCGGUUUCAACACUACUUAGCUGUGAAUUUUUGUUUUGGUUGUCUGUCUCCAUCUCUCACGUCUUAGCGUUUGAGCAAUGUUGGAAGUGAAUGAAACACAAUAAUAUCCAAUUAUACCUCUUGUAACUGACAUUUUUCCAAGGGAUUUUUUUCUUGAUAUGUAUCUGAAAUUUGAUUGAACAUGUACUUAUUUUGCAGCGGCAAUUGCAUAUUCUCUUAUAAAAUAAAGCUUACAAAAGCCUGGCAUGAUAGUGGGCUUUUUGUUGUGAAGGCCCAACAAUGCAGACUCUUAAAAGAAAAUAAAUUUGCCUGAAAAGCCCAAGGCUCUAUUUCCUCCAUCGCGUAGGAGGGUAAAAAAGUAACGAACACUCACCGGGACUGAGAAUUUCCGCCAAAUAUUUUCCGAUCAUACCGGAGCUAUUAUAUAGUGGACCAUGUUACUUUCGACGGUUUCGAGCUUCGCGCCGGUCUUCCGUAUCGGCGAACCACCAGCGUGCGCAGUUGGCUGGAAGCAAGCGUACGCCAAUUACUCCUGAACUCCAUAAAUCUUCUUCACCGCAUACUUUGAUUUCUCUCACUGUUGGUUGGGUUUUUGUUAGGUUGAGAUUUCGGAGGACGACGAAACGUAGUGUAAUCUCUUGCGAUUAUUCAUGCCUCGAGGUGGGUGAAUGUCUUUUUCCACUAUGAUUCUUCUUUCUGUUUUCAGUGAAUGUAGUUGAUUCAGCUUAAUAUUUUUUAUUUUCCUCUCUAAAUCGUUUGGGUUUGUUAUGAAUUGCGUUUUGAAGGUUAGGGAUAUAUGCUACCGUCCACCUGGAACAGAGUUGAAUAUUUUGAAUGGUGUUAAUCUUUCUCUCCGUGAGAAGAGGUUCUCUUUGCUUUUAUCUCAUUAUUGCUUGUCUCUCUUUUGAGCUAUUUAGCUUCUUUCUCUGCGUGUAUAAGCAUGCCUAACAAAUAGUUUUGCGUUUCUAUUCUUUCUCCAGCUUUGGCUUGAUUUUUGGCAAGAGCGGGAGUGGAAAAACUACCCUUCUGCAGGUUCAUUGUUUCACGAUCAUACACAGUUUUUAAUCUUACAAAUUUUGGAUUUUUUUACCUUCUUGUCUUCUGCAGCUUCUUGCGGGGCUGAACAAACCAACAUCAGGUUCCAUUUGUAUCCAAAGAUAUGGGGAUGAUGGCCAACCAAAUGCGGAUUCUGAGCUGUUUGUAGAUCACAUGUGCUUAAAGCCUCUAGCGACGCAUUGUGGUCACAAUUUGUAUGUUUCUAAACCUUGGUUAAUGAAAAAGUUGUCGUUGAGUUAAAAAAAAAAUUGCAUAUUCUCUUCUGAAAUAAAGCUUAACAAAAGCUAUUAGCUCGCUAGAGUUUUCCUCCCUCGUCGUGAUGAAAACCGUCUUUUAAGAAAAAAGCCUGGCAUGAUAAAUGGGCUUUCUGUUGUGAAGGCCCAACAAUGCAGACUCUUUAAAGAAAAUAAAUUUGCCUGAAAAGCCCAAGGCUCUAUUCCUCCAUCGCAUGCGAGGGUAAAAAGGUAACAAACACUCACCGGGACUGAGAAUUUUCCGCCAAUAAUUUUCCGAUCAUACCGGAGCUUUUAUACAGUCGACCAUGUUACUUUCGACGGUUUCGAGCUCCGCGCCUGUCUUCCGCAUCGGUGAACCACCGGUGGCCGCAAUUGGUUGGAAGCAAGCGUACGCCAAUUCCUCCUGACCUCCAUUCAUCAUCUUCAUCGCUUUAUCGCCACUUCUUUAAUUUCUCUCACUGUGUUUUUGGUUCGGUGACAGGUUGAGAUUUCGGAGGAGGACGAAACGUAGUGUAAUCUCUUGCGAUUAUUCAUGCCUCGAGGUGAGUGGGUGAAUGUCUUUCCACUAUGAUUUUUCUUUCUGUUUUCAGUGAAUGUAGUUGAUUCAGCUUAAUGUUUUUUCAUUUCCUUUCCUAAAUCGUUUGGUUUGUGUUCAUUUGCAUUUUGAAGGUUAGGGAUAUAUGCUACCGUCCACCUGGAACAGAGUUGAAUAUUUUGAAUGGUGUUAAUCUUUCUCUCCGUGAGAAGAGGUUCUCUUUGCUUUUAUCUCAUUAUUGCUUGUCUCUCUUUUGAGCUAUUUAGCUUCUUUCUCUGCGUGUAUAAGCAUGCCUAACAAAUAGUUUUGCGUUUCUAUUCUUUCUCCAGCUUUGGCUUGAUUUUUGGCAAGAGCGGGAGUGGAAAAACUACCCUUCUGCAGGUUCAUUGUUUCACGAUCAUACACAGUUUUUAAUCUUACAAAUUUUGGAUUUUUUUACCUUCUUGUCUUCUGCAGCUUCUUGCGGGGCUGAACAAACCAACAUCAGGUUCCAUUUGUAUCCAAAGAUAUGGGGAUGAUGGCCAACCAAAUGCGGAUUCUGAGCUGUUUCCCACUGAAAAAGUUGGCAUCGUUUUCCAGUUUCCAGAGAGGUACUAGUAGUCAUUAUUACCCUUUUGUUUGAUCUUAUCAGUGACAAGAAGAUAUUGAUGUGUAGUUUUUUUUUGUUUUGUGUGCGGCAGAUUCUUUGUGGCAGAUAAUGUGCUUGACGAAAUUACUUUUGGUUGGCCAAGGCAAAAGGGUAGUUUGCAGUUAAAGGAGCGUCUGACUUCAAACCUCCAGCGAGCUUUUAAUUGGGUAUCCCACUCCUCCUGGUUCGGUCAAUGGUCAUAUUGUGUCCAGUGAUACUCUCUUAUAGUUGCUUUCUUAUUGAAUUGUUAGGUUGGGUUAGACAGCAUCCCACUUGAUAAAGACCCCCAGUUACUAAGUGGAGGCUACAAGCGUCGGCUUGCACUAGCUAUUCAAUUGGUGCGACCAAAGGUUUUUUUAACGUAUGCAAAAUUGACCUGUUCUAAGUGGUCAUGCUUUUUGUAGGUGCAAACUCCUGAUUUAUUGAUUUUGGAUGAGCCCCUCGCCGGUCUUGGUAUGACGGAUCCUGCUUCUUCUCUCUCUUGUGUGUUUUUGCUUGUCGUUCUUUACAGAAUAUGUUUCUUCUUUUCUCUUUGGUGUUCUCGCUGCAUAUGAUCUUCAUUUUUCUUUUCAUUUGCAUGAAAACCAUGAACGGUUUCUCAUACUAUGUCAUUUUUGAUUUUUCUCUGCAAUCAGAUUGGAAAGCACGCGCGGAUGUUGCAAAGCUCUUGAAGCACCUGAAGAAGGAACUGACUUUACUUGUUGUAAGUCAUGACCUAAGGUAUGCUCAGUUUUUUCUUUCUCUUCGCUUCGGUGUUAAUGAUUUUGCACACUUUCUUUUAUAUUUUUUCUCAUAAACAUAGCGCCUUCUCUACACAUGUACCUUGUUUGAGCUAUUGUUAUACAGUCGUCUCCCAUAUUUUCUUCUCUUUCAAGUAUUAGUUAUGGACCUUUUUAAGUAAAACAGUUUGAGCUCUUGUUAAUGGGAUUAAUCCAAUUUUUCUCCCUUAAACAAUUGCUGCUACUGCUUUUCACCUCUCGUGCUUUUUGUAUAAAAUAUUUCUGCAGAGAGUUAGCAACCUUGGUCGACCAGUCAUGGAGAAUGGAAUCAGCUGGUGUUCUUGUUGCAGAGCGUCCACCAGUUUAGUUCGAUAUUCAUUAUUGCCGAAGGUCCAUACCAGGUUCGGCUCGGAUACUUUUGGUUAUUCUGGUAUUCUUGCAGAAAAGUGAUAUAGGAUUUUACCCACGCAUACAUUUAUUAUUGUAUGGAGUUUAGAGAGCCGCUCGUUCUUUUGUAUAGGAGAUAAUGACAUGUUACGGUUUAUCAGUUGAGAGAGAUACAAUGUUUCUCUUAUGAGAUCAAAACGUAUAACUGGAUUUGAGUCAAUGCGGACAACAAUGUUUUCUCUUCAUUUUAGUUUGCCAAACCAUGGAUAUGAGAUAUCUUGCUGCAAUUAUAAAACCCGGUGAAUAUUUAUUAUUACAUAGAAGGGCAUAACGAACAUUCCCGCUAAGUUUUGAACACAUUUUACAUAAUCACACCACACGAUUCACACAUGCAUGAACUGACAUAACACACUCGCACUUUUUAAUUUGCGUUUCUUCUCAUCCCUUACAGCUCCAACACGAAGUCUGCAAAGCAAUGUUGGAUUAUUAUCUGGUUCGACCACAAGCAGAAAACUAGUGCAUGCCUAAAUGGCAUUGUAUAAAUUUUUUUUGUAUAAGUAAAGAUCCAGAAUCACAUUCUUGCUUUGAAAUAAAUGGGCUUAUGAAUAUAUCAGUAGUAUGAAGGUGCACUUACAGUCUUCGUCUGUUUUGAUCCAGUGUUCUCCUUUUCCAGAUGAAUGUGAAUUUCUUAGCUCAUAUUGGAUCCAUCUUUUACUUGUCUUGUGACAUGGUCUCACCUUCUCGGACAUUAGUCCAGUAGAAUUUGCUUUGCUGUUUUUUGGUUCUGUCAUGCUGCUGUAUAUUUUGCUUUCCAUUAUGGAGUCUUCUGGAUAUACUUUCCUAUGGAAAACUUGUGCUAUCUGCACUUACAAUAAAUUCAAGUUUGUUAGAAGCAAGCUUUUCACUAGAGCUAAUUCUGCAACAGUAUUAUAGAAGUGCUCUAGAAAAUGCUUUCAACAUGUUGUAUAUUUCAAGAUGUUGCAUGUAUAGGCAGGCGUUUUAGAGAGCAGAGAAAAAAAAAAUCAUACCUUUUGGAACUUCUUCUUGGUGGAAGCUACUUCAGUUUUACCACUGUCAGGGCUCCUGGAGGAUAGGUGAAGCUUUUUAAGUACCUUCUUCACAAAAUGCUUUGCAGACUUGUGAGUUGAACUGGCUUUCUUCUUUUCCUCCUCAUACUUGUUUUCUGAAUGCUUAUCUUGCACCUCUGUUGCCUGAAACAGUUCUCCAAGUGAUGCCCGUUCCUUCUUCCCUGCAACCUUUGUUUCUGAUGAUUCGAUUUGAGAGCCAAAAAGAUACUCUUGGAGCGGGAACUUCAUUGGCUGAUCAUCUUCUUCGGCAUCUACUCCCUCAGCGGCCUCAAUGGUAGAUGCAAUAGUAUUAGUGUCGCUGUUCCUUCCUGAUGGUUGGUUGUGCCCUUCUUUAGCUUCAGCCUCAAGGAACUUCUCCAAUUCAUUGCUAAUGAGCUUCAGAUCAUUCUCUGUCACUUCUGCAUUAUCUGUUGCUGGUUCCCCAGAUGACAUGCCAAAUGUUGGUGUUGCUGGUUCAUCCAGAAAUGUUUCUCCACCGAGGGUUCCAAUGGCAAGAAAGCCAUGAAAAAAAUCACUGUUUCUCGCUUCACUGAGUCCUGCGAAGGAGCUUUCCUGUAACAGAUUAAAUUGUUUGCUGUAUCUGGGGCCAGCACUUGCUCCAGCGUAAACAUCUUGGCUUUCAAGGGACGGAUGAGCUGAGAGGGGGAAAAGACUGUUACCUGAAAAGGAUUCACAUUUGAAGAGAAGAGUUGUUAAUUUUCUUUCAAAAAAGUGAUGACAGCUACUGAGGGAAAAAGAUAAUGCAUUUGCGCAAAUAAUAGUGAAAGAUGUCGAUUUGUUGCAGUAGACGAGAGAUCUGGUUUAGCUGCUCUCACUCACAAAAUCAAUGGCCAAGAAAAAGUUGGUGUCAUGCAAAUUGACGCCCAUCACAAUGAUUUUACACACGAGCACAUGACCCUACUCUUCUAUCAGGUCAGUUGUUUAAUUUUGUACUAAUGGAUGUUAAAGUAGUGAGACAAUUAAUGACUAGGCCCUAAAAAUGCUUGCUAAGUCCUAUUGCUAUUCUCCUAGAAUUCAACACGCUUCCUAUUCUUGUUCCCACACAUUUUGACAGGAAAAUAAGCAUUUAGAGAAGUACGGUUAAAUUACCAGUUGUAGCAUCUUUCAAUAGCUCUUUGCUGUUCUCCCGUGACUUAUGAUGUAUCCAGCCCCAAAACUGUUAGAAAAAGUAAGCAUGGGUAAGUGUUGGCCACAAGUUAGUUGAUAUUUUUUGUAGAUAUGGAACGUACCUUCAUUUUCGUUCUGACACACGAUACUAGAGGAGAAAGUGACUUUUAUAGAGAACCAUGAUUGCUUGAAAGCCCAUGAUAAAGCAGUGAGUUAGUUGCUAUUGCUAACAGUACCUCAAGACUUUUAGGUUGAUGACAGUGGAGACCAACACCAAGAAAGCUACAAAAUUUUGGUUGGCCGUUCUCUUUCAAGAUCACAUCAAGAACAAGUUGGAGGCCCCUUACAGACAUGAGGCUACUGUUGUGGUUACAUGACACGGAAUUGGAGUAGCUAUCCGUAAUUACAAUCAUCUAUCAUCUCAGGUAUUACAAUUUGAUCUUGAAUUGAGUUUCUAUACAUAAACGUUGUGGAUUUUUGUGGCGUUCAUGAGCCAUCGAUAUUAUAUUAACGAGUCGUUUUGUUAAUAAGAUAUACAUAAAUAUUGGAUGCAAAAUGAAUAUUUCUAUUGCUUUGUGUUUUGUAGAAAUUCUUUGCUGCAAAUUUCGAUAAAAAUUAUCAAACCAUCUCAUGUAUACGCUAGAAGGGAAUAUGCAUUAUGUUUGCAAUUUAGAUACAUAGCCAACGUGACUGGAUGGUAUAAACUCUUCUGUGUUAGUCAUAGAAGAACAGUAAACUUUGUUGUACACUGUGCUGCUUUCCAGAGAGAUUUAUUUAGUUUUUUAUUUGAAAGAAGAAUCAAUGCUGGCUCCUUUUAAGAGUGAUUGAAACUGCAUUAUGUUCAAAUAGUUUCCAAUGGAAAAAAGUACUGUUUCGUUCUGCUUUUGUAGAUUUGGCCGUCUCUGACAAGAAGAAAAGGCAUAUAUAUAUGACUACUGUUGUGCAGAAAAGUAAAGAAAGAGUGCUUUUUCCAGGAAGCCUAUGGAAGCUCUGUGACAGAACAACAACGACUGCUUUUCGUACUAGUUGAUUUAGACAAGUGAAGCCGUCCACGACAUCAGGUACUGUAUUUCUGCAGCAAUGUUUAGUUUGCGUUGUAAUAUUACUAUUGGUAAUGUAAUGGGAUUUGUCGCCUUUAUUAAAUAUAUCCUAUACCUGGUUCCUUAGCCGUAGAAGCACAUUGUUUUGGUAGAUGCAAGUAGGAACUUGGUAGAAACUGAACCGUAAACACUUAGGCGUCUGUGUGAAACACCAUAGACAGUCAAUGCAGAUUAGAUUAGAAUUGAUUUGAUUAGAUUAGCGGGAACAAAGACAAGGAUGAGGGAACAAAAUAAAAAUGAGAAAGCAAAAGGGUGGUUAAGUAGGAUUAAAAGAGGAAAGAAGCAUCUGGGGGUUGAAAGAUAGGAACAAACAGAAGUAGUUAGUUAUGAGGUAUGGGACCAAUGUUCCAGAAUUAAACAAACUUACAAAUGCUAAGUUUUGCAAUCUCGAGUCACUUCCACUGCUCCCACUCCAUUAUAUAUAUCUCUUUGAGAAUGUGAUGGACUUGUGUCAAAAUUCACGUGGACACUUGAUAAGCCGAUUCUCUUCUUUGUCAGUUUCCCCAAUCAUAUCUUCUUUUGGUAUAAUAUCCAACAGUUUCACUUUCCUUUGUUCCCAUGUUGUUGAUGAUAUACAUAAUAGAAAGAUCAACAAUAAAAAAAAUAAUCGCCUUUUCUAUUAUUUUUCUCUACUGUCUUCAUCUGUAGUGGGUCAUGACUCAUGAGCCCCCCUCCUACACCAAUCUGUGAAGUUAUCAAAAAAGAUUUGAUUCUGAUAGUGACUGCUAGGGAGAGUUUGCCAUUCCUACCGAGUAAAUAAGUAAAACUUCUCCCUAGGUGUUCAAUCCGGAUAUCGGUUCGGUUUAGGUUCGGUUUUUUUCGGUUUUCGGUAUUUCGGUUAGUAAAAUAUAACUAUCAUUCUAAAUUCAUAUUUACUUUGGUUCGGUUCGGUUUAUAUACCGUCGGUUUUCGGUUUAUUCGGUUUUAUACCAAAAAAUAUAAUUAUUUAGUUUGAGAUCAUAUAAAAUAAAUUUUAGAGUCAUAUUAUCAACACAGUCAUUUAUAAAAAAUAUAUUACAUGUUCAAAUAAAUGAACAAAAACGUAAAAAUGCUUCUACCAUCAAAUAAAAUCAUCAAAUCUAUAAUUAAAAUCAGAACCUGAAAUUUUGAAAAUAAAAAUAUGAAACAAAACAGAAACAUGAAAGAAAAGUUUUUCCACUCUUCCAUAUUUAGUGUUCAUUAAGGUCAUGCUUUUUCGAUUGAACAUGAAACUCUGUUUGUUUAUAGAUAAGAAAAAAGUUGUGAAAAUUUUCCAUUAAUUAUUUUCCAUCAAAUUUAUCAUCUUCAUAUUAAUUUAGUGAAUACUAAAAUAAAGCAAAAAGAUAAAAAAAGACUUAGAAAAUAAGAUGUCUGAAUUGCGAUGUAUUGUUAUUUAAUUAUAGUUCAAGUGUUUUACAAAUUAUAUAAGGUUCUUUAUUACUAUAACAUUACGGUAAUAGUUAUUAACACAAAUUUAACUUAUAUAACAAAUAGAUUUUCAUGUAUUGUUAUAAAAUAGAUACAUAUUUACAUGUUUCUACUUUUAAUCGGUUUUAUUCGGUUUAUUCGGUUUAAUCGGUUAUAUACCAAACCAUAUCCAAAUCCUACAAUUUUUAUAAAAUUAUAUCUAUUCGGUUUAUAUGAUAUCUACCAAAACCAAACUAUAUUGUCUAUUUCGGUUCGGUUCGGUUCGUUAUGGUUCGGUUUUACCAUAUUGAACAGCCAUACUUCUCCCUGUAAUUUACACUUACCGAUUUUAAUCUUAUAUGGGCCAAACAUGGGCCACUAUGAGUUAGAGUUCUAACUAAUGGGCUGGCUCACUAAGUAAUAUGACUAAUAUCUCCUCCUUCUCCUCUCCAAUUUGACAGCGACCGGAAAUGGUGACGUCAUCUGUCAUGAGACCUGCGGCGGAGCUCGCGGUCAGGAUCGGCCGUGAGCUCCUCAAAGUCUCCGCAACCUCUCGCUCACCUCGGACAUGGAGUCCAUCGAUGGAACAAACUCUUCACAGUCUCGGCUUUCGUCACUCAAUAAGCCCUUCGCUCGUCUCUCGAGUCAUCGACCCGUUCCUCCUCAACCACCACUCCUUAGCACUCGGGUUCUUCAACUGGGCCGCCCAGCAGCCCGGUUACUCCCACGACUCCAUCUCUUACCACUCCAUCUUCAAAACCCUCUCGCUCUCUCGACAGUUCUCCGCCAUGGACGCCCUCUUCAAACAGGUCAAAACUCAGAGAAUCCUCCUCGAUCCCUCCGUGUAUCGCUCCCUCAUCGACGCGCUUCUGUUGGGUAAGAAAGCUCAGAGCGCGUUUUGGGUUUUGGAAGAAGCUCUUUCGACGGGUCGGGAGGUUCAUCACGAUGUGUGCAACCGUCUCUUGGCUGCGUUAACGUCUGAUGGAUAUUCUGAUUAUGCUCAGAAACUGUUCGUUAAAAUGCGUGAGAGAGGUGUUUCUCUCAAUACACUUGUCUUUGGUGUUUAUAUAGGAAGCUUCUGUAAGAGUUUCGAUACGGAUCAGCAAUUGAGACUUGUGGGUGAGGUUAAAAAGAGUAACUUUAACAUCAAUGGGUCCAUUAUUGCGCUCUUGAUUCUUCAUGGUCUUUGUAAAUGUUCGAGAGAGAUGGAUGCUUUUUACAUUUUGGAAGACCUAAGAAACAUUGAUUGCAAACCGGAUUUUAUGGCGUAUAGAAUCAUAGCUGAAGCGUUUGUAGCGACUGGGAAUCUGUACGAGAGACAGGUUGUUUUAAAGAAGAAGAGAAAGCUUGGAGUAGCACCUAGGAGCAGUGAUUACAGAGAUUUUAUCUUGGAUUUGAUCUCUGCUAAACGUUUGGUUGAGGCUAAGGAAGUGGGUGAGGUGAUUGUGAGUGGAAACUUCCCCAUUGAUAGUGAUGUCCUAGACGCGUUGAUUGGAUCAGUCUCUGCGGUUGAUCCAGAUUCUGCUGUUGGAUUCUUGAAUUACAUGGUGGUAAACACAGGGAAACUGCCUGCGAUUCGGACUCUGAGCAAAUUGAGUAAGAAUCUUUGCAGGCACGAGAAGGGGGACCUUUUGGUAAAGGCUUAUGAGGUUUUGUCAAGCAGAGCUUAUUUUUCAGAGCCUGAGAGUUACAGUCUGAUGAUAUCGUUCUUGUGCAAGGCCGGGAGAGUCAGAGAAGGGUACAGUGCUCUGCACGAGAUGAAGAAGAAAGGACUUGAUCCAGACGUUUCACUCUAUAACGCUCUCAUCGAAGCUUGUUGCAAAGCGGAAAUGAUCCGGCCAGCAAAGAAGCUGUGGGAUGAGAUGUUCGUAGAGGGAUGCAGAAUGAAUCUGACGACUUAUAAUGUACUUAUCAAGAAAUUGUCGGAGGAAGGCGAGGUAGAUGAGUCUUUGAGGCUGUUUCGGAAGAUGCUUGAGAAAGGGAUAGAACCAGAUGAAACAAUUUAUACGUCUCUCAUCGAAGGCCUAUGCAAGGAUACAAAACUUGAGGAUGCUUUGGAAGUCUUCAGAAAGUGUAUGGAGAGGGAUCAAAUAGUUGCGAGAAGGGUAUUGAUCACGUUUGUUUUAAAUCUAUGCAGCAACGGUGAGAGAACAAGUAUAUGUGUCAUCUAUGUUACGUUUAGUUGCCUUGCAAGUCAAGUUUGUGAUUGAUUCGUUUGGUGUAUUAUGCGUGUAGGCCAUUUUGGUGAGGCGUCUCAGCUGCUGCGCGAGAGAGAACAUUUGGAACACACAAGUGCACAUGUAGUGUUGUUGAAAUGUGUGGCUGAUGCGAAAGAGGUUGAGGUUGGAAUCAAACAUAUGAAAUGGAUCAAAGAGGUGUCUCCAUCUCUUGUUCACACCAUUUGUUCGGACCUUUCGGCGUCUUUCUGUUCAUCAUCUGAUCCUGAUUCCAUUCUUCCGUUUAUUCGAGCACUUGAGCUCUCAUAGCUACACCGAUAGGCAAAUUUAUUAUGUGUAGACCAGAUCCUAUACCCUAGACUGUAAUGGAGUUGUCUGGGUAUACAUUACAAGUCUAUGUAAGAAUUAUUCAAAUGAAUAAUAUUUUCUUACGGUACAUGUGGUUUAGGUGGGUCUUUUUCAUGAUUAAAAGUGUUAUUGAUGUAAAGGUUGAAGGCUUGAAGUACCGAAGAGAAGCAAAUCUGUGAAGCUAUUGGAUCAGGUAUCAUCUCAUCUUUGACGCAACGGUCGGGUCAAAUCACAGCUUUUUUUUUUGGCGGGUGUCCGUACUAUGGAAUGUGGACCACUAAGGCAGUUAUUUACCUGAUUUAAACAAAAAAAAGGCAGUAAUUUACCUGCAGUUAACAGUUAUUACGGUUGAGAUUUGGGUAGUGAAAAGACCUUGCUCUUGUCUUAAUUUGGCCAUUAUUUGCAAUUCAACAUUGAGAGCUGUAAAACCAGAGAUGGUAUAUAUAGAACGCUAUCCAGAGACAGUGAUUACUAUAUUAUAUACUUGUGUGAUUAAGAGAGACAAAUUAAAGAGCUAAGCUUAAAACAAACGCACUCUUCUCCCCUCAAGUCUCUAAUUCAACACUAAGAUUAACCUCAUCUUUUGUGUUCUUUGAAACCAAAAAAGUAACAAGCAAGGAAAAGGAAAAGAAAACGGAGAAGGUGAACUGUGGACAUGGGGUCAGAGCCAGAGAGCACCAGCAUCUUUGAGAAGAGGGACGAGUGAGCCGUUGAUAUGUGAAGCCAUCACUCUCUCCAUUGAUCCUAUCAUCUUCCUACCGAUGAAUACCACCGGAAGUGCCCCCGGAGAAGUGGGGCUGGAGCAGCCAAGGAGACGAAGAAGGGCUCGGUGGAUAUCGACGCCAUAAGGGUGGAGGUCGAGCUCAUGGACGGCAGGGCUGACUCCCAUUCCGCGGAAGAGACGCUUCAUGGCGUGGCACAUGGAGCAAGUGCUCAUGCUGAAUAUAACCACCGCAUUUUCUGCAGCCAUGGACUCAAUCCUAACAAGAGUCUCCGAUGGAAAGACUCCCAUGUUGUUCAUCUUAUUAUAGGAAAGCGAGUCCCGAGUUUCGGAUUUGUAUUGCAUUUUGUCUUUCUUAGUUAGAGAGAUAUAUAUAGAAGGUGAGGUGUGUGAGUUGGUUGGGAUGUUGAAAAGAGUAAGAUGCAUGCAGACUAUUUACAGAAGGUGAGCUCUUCAUUUGAUUUGUACAUUUUGUUAUUUAUUUAUUCUAUAUUCCAAAUGAGAACAAAGUAACUGAUGUGAUAACUGAUAGCCAUGGUAGUUUAGCUUUUUAUAAUAAUAUGAUAUUUACUAAAGUUUAAAUAUGUUUAUCAGCGUUUUUAAACAAUAUGAAGUGUGGAAUAUUUUUGAUAUUUUCAGUUAAUUAGGUUAAUAGAAUAAAGGAUUUUUUUUUUUUGGUAAAAGAAUAAAGGAAUUGUUGGUAAUAGAUAUUAUAUCAUUCGUGUCGGCUAUUACCGCAAUAACGUCUUUAAUUAUACAGUUACACUAGCUAGUUAUGUCUUCAAAAAUGGUCUACUAUCUACGUAGAUGUGAAUAAAAUAUGAUUUACUGUGAUUUAUAGACAGCGCCGAAUAAAAACUUUGACGCUGCCAACAUUAUGUGAGCAAGUCGUAACAUUGAGAUGAGGUCGAAUGUUUAGAUAUGGCCGGUGGUUUUCCAAUAUAUUCCAUUUUUAUGCUUGGAUUCUCUGAUCAAUCUAUUUAAACAAGCUACACAAAAUAUAAUUAUCAAUAUGAUCAUAAAGAAAUUGGAAUAUUUUGUUUGGAACGCAAUCCAAGUAGGGCAUCGAUAUAUGCAAAUACAUUUAUAUGAGUGGAAUAUGUAAUCAGGGUCGAAUUUUGUGUAAUCAUUUAUCCUAGGUUCAGUGGAGGAUAUAUAAAUUACGCAAAAAAUCAUACAAAAAUAGAAAUAAAGGAGUCAUCAAUAUGCUUGGAAUGACCUUUUCUUUGAAAAAAGAAGCACUACUAAUUUUGAUAUAGUUGCAACCAGCAUUUACUUGCUAGCUAGUAGCUAACAUCAGGAAUAUCAGUGUUCUUGAUGUAUGGAAACUACAAGUUGCCAUGUGUUCUUGCUAACAUCUUUAUAUUUAUAUAUGGUAAAUCAAAAGUAGUGAUUUCUUUUAAAUAAAACUGCAUAAUUCAUAUAAUGUAGACUUUAAUUGUAGAUAAGUUCACUAAAAGUCUGGAAGAAGGUUGAAUUCACAUGCCUUUUUGGCUUCCAUCAUAUGCAUGCUUCUGCCUUCUAGUUUCUCAUGUUUGACCAACCCUUCCACCCCCAAAACAUAAUAUGAAUAAACGUUGUCAGCACAAUGAAAUUUGCAGGUACCAAUCUGCUAUCACUGAGUCACCACCUCUCAUCGAUUCCAUACGAAUAAAGUUCCUAACAUUAUUAAUAUUUUACAUCUAUCUUAUCACAUUUCUGAAUUCUUUUGUUUAUUUAUUUAAAUAAAAAAGAAAGGAUGCUCAUUAGAACAUGGUAUAGUAGUUUAAGUGAGUCCGAAGAGUUAUAUGUCCCUUCAUCAGUUUUAGAUUUUGGUGAAUAAACUAAAGCCGAUUUAUAUCUUAACACACAUUGUUAGCUUUGUGUUGCAUUAAAAAGAUGUCUUAAAGUACGCAGAGUGAAGACCUCUCAAACAUUGCUCUGCCUCUUCAUCAUUCACUAUCAAUGAAAUGUUUACCUGACAAAACACAUUUUCCACUCAUUAUAAAACCAAACCAUAACAAUACUAUAUUCAUAAGUUACAAAAAAAAAAAAAAUACUAUAUUCAUCAGUAUUCACACAGACAUGUAGCAACAGAGUUUUAAAAUUAGAUGCACAAUAAGACUGUAGCCAACUCUCACUCACCUUCUCUAAUAUGAGUGAUGAUUUCUGAAACAAUGACAACAUCUUACUUCUUCUCCAGCACUUACUUUAGAUAUCAAAAUAGUAGACAUUAACAUAGCGUGAGAAAAGACUUGCCCCACUCAGUUCCAAUUAUAUCAUGAAAGAAAAUAUUCCAUUGAUGGAAAAAUGUUGUAAAGGAUAACUGAUAACAGAAGAGUAAUGAGACAAAAGGAAAACACAACAACAAUCUCAAAAACUGCCCAUCGCCAAGGACACACUUCAAGCAUUCAUGUAAUGAUUCAGUUUGUAAAGCAAAACUUUUCCACUAGCGUUUCCCAUAGCCAUGAAGCCACUUCCAGGGCUGAAGUCCAAGCAGCGAGGGUAAUUCAUCUGUUUAUUUGGCGGCGGCCAGUUUGAGAAGACGGUUAGAGACGGAACAUGGACAAGCUUCACACUGUCUUUAUUCAUCCUCGAGAUUAUAGCUAGAAUCUGACCAUCAUGGUUGAACUUCAAGAAAUCAAUCUCCGAAGUGAGAUUGUCCACCGUCUUUAUCGGCUUCCUUUUGCCUCCCAAAAACUCAGCCUUCUUGUAGAUGUUCACGAUCCCUCUAUCAGUCCCAGAGGCAAACAAAGCUCCGUUAGGUGAGCUGCAAAGCGAAGUCCCACACGUGCUCCCUUCAUCCACACCUUUGUAUAAACACUUCAUCGUUCUAAGAUCCCAGACAUAGACUUGUCCAUCCCCUCCUGAGCUCAGCAGCUGCUUCCCGUCGUCACUGAACGCUAAGGACCUCACUGAACCGUUCAUCUUCAACGUUCCCGUAAGCUCUUUGGUCUUUGUGGACACAAGCAAGAUGUAGCCUCCGUUUCCCAUGAAGGCUACGGUCUUGGAGUCUUGCGACACUUCGAAACUCUCCAAGCUCUUCUCCUCUCUACCAACCAAUGGGCCAAUCUUGUCGAACUUCGCGUUCUCCAAAUCAAAGCUGUAAAAGUACUUCCUCCUUCCAGAGACAAUCACCUGAGAUCCGUUGGGCAAGAAAGCAGCUUUGUGAAUGGGACAGUCCUCGAGAAAGAUGCUCUGUAUCUUGGUGUUCCUCUUCCCAUCGAUCUGGAAAAACCUCAGCCUUCUAUCGUUGCCAGCGGUGAGGAGAAGCUGAGCGUUUUGAUGGAACUGGACAGAGUUAAUCGGAGCGUCUGAAGGGUCUGCUAUGUUGGCAUCCGCGUGUUCUGAAUACUCAAGAAGACCAGAACAGAGCUUGGAGCCACCAGACUUCACCACAAGAUCUUCGUUUGUUCUGAGAAUAUCAUCAUCAUCACCACCUUCUCCUCCAUCAUCAUCUGAGGAAUCUCCAUCAGUGAUUUGAGAAUCAGUCCUAGCCCAAUCAGUUCCAGGGUUAAGCUUAGCGUGAUGAGCUCUCAGCCUAGCAAUGUACUCAGAGCCAGAGAUCAAUCCCUCAUCCUCCUCUUUCCUCAGCUUCCUCAGACGGUUAACACUAGCUAUGUUAAUAUUAAUCUCUUUCUCUUCUUCAUCCUCCCAAGCAGCUUCUCCCUUCCUAAUAACUCUCUCUUCAUCAGAAUCUUGUUCAUCAUCAUCUUCAGAAUCUGGAGUUUGCCUCGCAGCAGAACGAUCUACACGAAACAGAUCAGACCCUUCCACAUCUCCUUCUCUCUUACCAAACGAAACAGGGUUGUAGAGUGAUCCAAACAACAAAUUCUCAAGCUUUUUCAUUUCAACCUGCUCAGACUCUCUUUGCUUCUCUUCCUCCAUCUUCCUUCUCUUGGCCCUUACGUCAUCUUCGGUCUCUUCUCUUCUAGCCUUGCUCGUCGGAGCGUUCUGUGAUAACGUACUCAUCGCUCAAUUCCACAAACUCUCUGUAAUCAAAAGAGUAAGUAUAAGAUUCGCACACUAGUUCAAGUUCGAAGAAACAGAGCUUCAAUCAAACCUAGUCUCUGUAAGGAUUACUAUACAAGCAACAACUUUAAACCUAAGCUACGGACUUACAUCGGCGACGGCGAGAGGUUCUCUUCUUCUUCGUAGGAGGAUUAGGGUUUUAAGAGGUUUUUACGAAAAUGUCGUUACAUGCCUUUUAAUGGGUCAACAACGGUGUGUACGCAGCCCUUGAAAAGCCCAUGGGCCACCUAACAGAAAAAUCUAUUACGAAUGGCAUUUUAGUAAAGUAAUGCAAAGUAUAUGCCUUGUUCCAACGGAAUCUGAUUUUUUCAACUAAAUAAAUCAAACAAAAUUAGAAAAUAUCGUUACAUGCCUUUUUUAUGGGUCAACGGCGUGAACUUUACGUCCUUUGAAAAGCUCAUGGGCCAUGACAUUUUUAGAGAAUAAAAAAUUAUUAUAGCUGGUAUUGUCGUAAUUGUUCCAAAGUAUAUUCCAACGGAAUCUAAUUGGCCAAUAAAGAGACGAGAUUCAUGAGGUAAUAAACAGCACUGGUCUUCUUUCUGGGGCAGCGUGAGAUCGGACAUCGAAACAAAACACAUUGCUCUCAUCUUAUCUCCGUCCUCCGUCGCGAUGGAAACGCCCAAGACUUCUUCUCUCAUCCCCAGCUUCCUCUACUCCUCAUCUCCGAGAUCUAUUCUCCGCGAUUCCAACGCCGCGUUCUCAUCCCCCAUUCUCGAGAAGUCUCGUUCAUCUCCGGCCGCGACGAUGGUGUCUCGGAAGAGUUUCCUAAUUGCGUCUCCCACGGAGCCAGGGAAGGGGAUCGAGAUGUACUCGCCUGCCUUCUACGCCGCGUGUACCUUCGGCGGAGUUCUCAGCUGUGGUCUGACUCACAUGACCGUCACCCCUCUCGAUCUCGUCAAGUGCAAUAUGCAGGUAUGUUUGUAAUAACCUUAUAGAUCAUUUAUCCACGUGUUGAGAUCUGCGUUUUAGCCUUUUGCUGUUUCUAUAAUUCAAAACAUUUCGAUCUGGUUAGUUGACUCUUCUGUCUGAAUUUUACUUGACGUUUGUAUUUGUGGAUUGAUUCACUUUUGGUCUUGAUGUUAUUACAUUGCUAACCAGAUUGAUCCGGCCAAGUACAAGAGCAUCUCGUCUGGUUUUGGGAUUCUGCUGAAGGAGCAAGGAGUCAAAGGCUUUUUCCGUGGAUGGGUUCCUACUCUGUUGGGUUACAGUGCUCAGGGUGCUUGCAAGUUUGGAUUCUACGAGUUCUUUAAGAAGUACUACUCCGAUCUUGCUGGACCUGAGUUCGCUGCCAAAUACAAGACCCUCAUCUACCUUGCUGGUUCUGCUUCCGCUGAGGUCAUUGCCGAUGUUGCACUUUGCCCUUUUGAAGCUGUUAAGGUCCGUGUUCAGACACAGCCUGGG
rnacentral:lncRNA from 1 species